rnacentral:lncRNA from 1 species
AAAAAGAAAGUAAGCUCAUGUCCAUUGCAACCGACUAUGCAGGUCAUAGAUGAGUUUGGGUCUUUUGACAAAUAUAUCUGGAGCUUUGUAAACUAUAAACCCAUAGUUAACCAAUUCCGACACUGCCGUCAAGUUCCAGUCAAGACCCCAAAAGCAGACAUCAUGAGCAAAGAUCUAGUAAGAAGAGGAUUUCGUUGUGUGGGGCCAACAGUCAUGUAUUCAUUCAUGCAAGCGGCUGGAUUGACAAAUGACCAUCUCAUCAGUUGCUUCAGAUUCCAGGAGUGUGUUACUGGGAGACAAGUAAAGGAAAAGGAUGCGAGUCUAAAGCCAAAUACUGACAAGAAAGAACGCAUGGAUCCAAUCGAUAUGGGAAGAUAAGUGCUAUGGAUGAGUAUAGUUCCUCAAAAUAACCACGUCAAGGUCGAUUAUCUGUUCUGUGUAAUUUUUGUAUAAAUAGUUACCACUACUGCUGGAAGUCAAGCUCUCUGUUUUUCAUUUUGGUAUGUAAUUACUUAUUUGAAUUGAUGUGACUGUAAGAUGCAAGCAUUAUUUUGUUCGAUCAAGUGAGAAUACGUUGAAAGAUUCUUCGAGAAAAUAUACCUCAAAAUGAAAAUCUGUCUAUGUAUUAUUUAUGGCACCAAUUCUUGGCAGGCUUUCAGAUACAGGGAAUUUUAUCUUUCCUUACAUCUGCAGGAAAGGUUGCUACACUAGUGAUGAGAUCAUUCAACCAGCAGAUUCUUUUUAUUCAGGUAAUAGCCAUCAUGAUUCAACUUGUUCUCUCUAUUGUUUUGUAAGAUCAGAAGCCUUUCUGAUAAGAACUUAUCGAAUCCGACAGAAAAUCAGAGUUUCAUUUUCAGUUAGAUGAUAAUACUUUUCAAUAUUCCUUAUUUUUGUUUCAGUGUGUAUGUGCAGUGUAUUCAUGUAUGCUUCUACUUCUCUUUCCCUUUGAUCACAGUAAAAAAAUAUUCUCCCAGACAUGGCUGCGCUUACCAAGCACAGAGCCUAGCAUCUGUUUAAAGGAAUAAGCCAUCUGUUGCAUCCCAAGUUGUUGGCUUUGGACUUUUAGGCUCCCUUUAGUUCAUCAUACACUGCAAGAAAAUUCUAAAUACAACUCAUCUCUUGUUAUAAAUUGAUGCAUGUACUGUACACGCAAGCUUGUUAGAAUUCCAGGUGCAUUAACAUAGCAUCCAUUCAUGUAAGAACUAGGAGCAUAAUAAAGUUUUUAAAAAAGUAAUAUUUAUUAUUCUUUAAGCAUUUAUUUAUGCAUGAACUCAAUCAAAAGAUAUCAUGAAUUCAGAGAUGGAGAAUGUAUUGAACCCACUUGGUCCUAGAAAAAUUCAAGGUUUUUGACCAAAAGAAGCCAUAAAAGAAGCUUGAGAAGUCAAGAUAGCAGGUUAUAUUUGACUAAGAUGGCACUAAUUGCCAAUUCUCAAGUCUUCCCAAUCCCAGCCACUUUCUUCAAAGCCGUCUGAAAUGAAUAUUUUUCACUUUUUCCCAUGGCCUGGUAAUGUCGUUUUGUUGGGAAGUAGUUGUGGUCCAAUUUUUAUAUAUAUUUAAUACUUUAGCAAAUAAUAACUACACUUUUUUUCAAAAGAUAAACCCAUGUACUGAUCGUAACAUGAACCGAAUCGUAAUUAUUAGAUUCAAAUCAAAACCAAAUGAUAAUGACACUUUGUUCAAAGUAUUUUGAUGUAAAACAAAAUAAUUCAAGACAGUAUUAUGAGGUAGAAGAGUGAUGCUGUCAAAUAAACAUCCACAGCCUAGAAGAUCAAUGAAGUGGUCCAAGUUAAUGUAUCUAUGCAAGUGAGCACUCAUUUGGCCAACUAAACUCCUUCAAGUCAAUUUUGGACAGCUACUUUGUUUAACAUUAAUUUUGGCCAACUAAACUGUAAUAAAAUUCUCAAAACCUAGAAAAUGUAUUACUCUUUUGAAAAGAUGAAUUCACGUUCUUAAAAAUGGCUAGAAAAUAUUUUUUUCAUUCAACAAUUUUUUAAGUACCCAAAAUGACAAAAAUGCAGAAAAGAUUUUCUGUAAAAGAAAAGGAGCUUUUGUUUUCCCUUUCCCCUUUUCUUCUUUUUGAUGUUGUAUUUACAAAUACAUCAGAAUCCAAACUUCAAAAUGGUGAGAGAGAUUACAAACUCAAAAUAAUUAUCAUCUAAAUUAUACAUAUAGUAAAUGGCUAAAUUUUCUGUGUGAUCCUACUGCAACAUUCUUCCUGAAAUAGCUGCUGCUAGUGCUGCUGUGAAAUUGGGAUCUUUAGUCAAGGAAGAAGCCAUCUGUUCCACCAAUAACUGCCUGACAUCAGAACUACUUUCCAUUCUUGAAUUUGAAAUUCUAGCAUCAUUGUUGUUGGUCUUGGAUUUUGUUAAGUCAAGAGUAACGGUCGGUCCAGAAGAGCCAAGUGAGGCUGAGCAGGGUACUGAGCCAAGGUUCAGACUACGAGUUGCAGCUGAAGUUGCCUCCAUUUGUGAGGGAUGUGGAUGAUUGUGCUCUCCUUCAUAAGUUGCCACUAGAACAGAUUGGUCUUCAAUGCUUCUUUGAACCUGAAGAGAAACAGUUAUUUUAUGUGUAAAUAAGACAACAAAUUCACUUUCCAUGAAAUAUGAUCAAUACCCAAUUGCUUUUAUGUAAGAAGAAGAAUGUUGUAAUGAUUUUUGGCUUAAUUUACCUUCUUCUUCACCGGGCAAGUAGGAGCAAAAGAGCAUUUGAAGUAAGCUCUUGGAGACGGAUUAUCUCUUGUGACCUUUUGCCCAUAUUUUCUCCAUUGAUAUCCAUCCUUGACAACCUGCAAAACGUUAAAAAUCUGGAUUUGUAAGAAAUAUUGAACCAAAACUGGCAAAUUAUGAGUGUUUGAUGAUAUUAUGGUACUUACUAGGCUUGCAUCUGAUGCUUGUGUCCUCACAUAGACCUUUGAAACCUUUGAUUUGAUUACUUCUUCCUUUGGUUUCUUGCAUGAUUCUUCAUCAGUUGAGCUGCUCUCAGAAUUCCUAUUCAUUGCAACUGUAUUAUCAUUGAUAUUGUUGUUGCUGCUCUCAGAUUUUCUCUUCCUUGAUGGGCUAAGUUCCUUGUCUGGAUUCUUGCUCAUGUAAUCCAUUAACUGGCUUCUCAAAACGUUGUAGUUUUCACACAGAACAUUCAGCAUUUCUGUGAGCUUCUUGUUCUCUGCGCUCACUCGGUUCAAUUCCUCUACCAAAGCUCCAUUCUGAAUAUAAAAUAAACACAAAACCCACAAGAUAAUUUUCUGGUUAAAAAUUCAAAACCAAGAGAAGCAACUGAUAGUAAUCAUGUUUAGCAAAUUCCCAGAUCGUAAACAAAAUCAGUAUCCAGUUAAACUAUAUAGAAUCUAACCUCUUGUUUCACAGAAACCUUCCUCCCCAACUCCAUGAAAUUGCUUUGAACUUCUUUGGACAAGCCUAAUCUUUCUCGUACAGGAGCAACAUCGUUAGAACGUCGAGGAUUAAUGUUAAGAUCCAAAGAAGUAUCUACCAAUGAAUAAGAAUAAUCCAUAGCUGCCGAAGUCGAACUAGUAUCCAUCCUUACAAGUACUGGAUCAAAACCCAGACCACGAAUUCUUGAUAUUAUCCCUCUCAAAGCUGCUCAAAAGCUUGCAGUAGUUGAAAACGAAAACCCAGAUGGAGAAAGCUAGGUCUCUAGUCUCUAUUCGUUUUGGAGAAGAAAGAAGAAGGUGGAAAGUGAGAAAAUUAAGAUAUGGUACUUGCUGGAAUGAAGAGACUAUAUAAAGCAAGGAGAGAUUGAAGAAGAAGGAGAAAGAAAAGGAAGAAAUAGAGAGGGUCAGUAUGUCGGUUGAGCACAACAAUUUUGUCAAAGUCAAGCGCCCACCAAAACAGCAUUAAACAAUGAAUGUUACAUGUGGGUAUUGUAAUACUAAAUGGUUGGGUUCAGGUCCUCUCGUUUUACAUGGGCCUUUCUAAUUUUUAGUCUAUUAAUUUUUAAAUUUAUUUUUCAUCUAUUUAAAAUAAUUAAUUAAAUUAACUAUAUAUAUAUAUAUUUACUUUAAUUCAACUCGUCAUCGAUAUGAAAUUUCAAAUCUCAUACAUCUAUAAAGAGUGUGACAUUCCUAUAUUAUUCUGCAUUUUGGAUUUUAUGAUUUCUUUUAAAAUUAAAUAAUAGAGUCUCAUUUACACGAAAUGAUAAUUACAUCCUUUUCUUGUUUCAUUAUCCACCUAGGUAUAUAUUAAUUUCUAUGGUUAUAAAUCUAAUUCCAUGAGCUUUUUCGAUUUUAUUAUAUGGUGAAAGAUAUUAUUAAUAAUUAGGUUUCGGUUGAAAACAAAUAAUCUCAAUUAUUUACUUUAAUUAUACCUAUCUCAUGAUAUAUCUGGAAGGAAAGAAAUAAAAUUAUUUUAAAAUUUAUAUAGUCUAAUCCAAUCACUAUAUCAAGUUAUAUCUCUAUUGAUUUUGACUUAUUACAAUAAAGUGUUGUUUUUAUUGAUUCUCUCAUUUAUCCAUUUAGAUCUUAUUCACUUGCGAUUUGGUAUUUUUUUUUGUAAGAUGUAUUAAAUUUGAAUUGUGAUAUAGUAUAGAAUGAUUAAUUCUCACAUAUUACUACUACUGUCAUAGUUAAAAAUAUUAUGGUAGAAAUGUGCAUAAUAUUAGGUAGAGGAAAUAUGUGUUGUGUCAGCACUCAACAGCAAUUCGUUUAAUUUAUAAUAUAAAAUUCAGAAUAUAAAAUAAAAUUGUAUAUACGAUUUUUUGCAGUUUGCCAUUUAUGGUAACUUUAAUUAUGACUAUUUUAAAUAUUUACUCUGACAUUCCACAGAUUUCAUUUUAAUGGAUUCUGCUAUAGAUAAAUAUUGCUCCUCAUAAUAGCUAAACUUUAUUUGAGAUACUUACUACCAUCAAAUUGAUAGCAGUAUCAAUUCAUAAAUUUUCGCUAAUGUUGUAAUAAGUUUCACUGUUACUUGCAGCAUGUAAUACAAUUAUCUUUUGCAUGUAAAAAAUAAAAAAAUUGUUGAAUAGCAUACUUUUUUUUUUUUAUAAUUGCCUACUACAUGCAUGCAUGCAUUUACUUUAAAUUAGCACUUGACUUUAAUCAAUUCCGUACUUAAAUCUAAUUAAGGAAUCCUUCAUUUCAAUUGUAUCCAUAAAUUAAACCUGAAAAUUUUAAAACUAGCCUGCACUCAAUUUUUUAUUUAUUUAUUCAAAAGUAUAUUUAAAAAAAUAUAUAUCUAAAUAAAUUUGAAAGAAUUUAAAUUCUAAUCUUUUAAUUUUUAAUUUUUAUUUAAAAAAAUUAAAAUUACUAUUUAAUAUUUUUUUAGUUUGAGUCCAUAUAUAUGAUAAAACAUAUUAAUUUUUACUUUAAUUUUAAAAAACAUUUUAUAUUAUUUAUUAGUUAAUUAUUUCAUUAAUUCUUAAAAAAUCUAAAAUACUAAAUUGUUUUAAUUAUUCACUUCAUUAAAAAAAGUGAAAUUUUUUAUAUUAAGUCGGUAUUAUUUAAAACCAAUAACACGCUUAAUGAGUUUUUGAUAUUAUAUGUAUUAAAUAAUAAUUUUUCUUAAAAUAUUUAUAUUUAAAUUAAUUAUAUUUUGUAAAAUAAAUAUAUAAUAUUUAAUUUAAUAGUUAUUGGAUUUAUUAACAUAUAAAAUGAAAUUUAGAAUAAUAUAUUUUUUAAUUUGUAGGGCUGAGCAGAAUCCGGUUCAAACCGAAAAAACCGACCGAACCGAAUCGAUUUGAAAAUUUAGUUCGGUUUUUUAUACAUUUCGGUUCGGUUCGGUUUUAAAUUUCAGAAAUUCCGGUUAUUUCGGUUCGGUUCGGUUUUGAUCAGAAAAAAAUCGAAAAAACCGAACCGAACCGAUUAGGGAUAAUAAUAUAUUUUUUCAAUAAUACUAUAGAGAAAUUAAAUUAUAUUAAAAUUAAAAUAUUUUAAUUAAAUUUUAAAAUACUAGAGUAAAAAAUUAAAAAAAUAUUAAAAAUCGAAACCGAUCAAACCGAACCAAAUCAAAUCGGUUCGGUUCGAUUCGGUUUCUGACCAAAAUCAGUUCGAUUUAAUUUUCAUAAAAACUAAAAUUUCAAUUUUUGAUUUAUUCAGUUCGAUUCGAUUUUGAACCGAACCGACCGAAUGCUCACCCUAAUAAGUAAUACAUUAAAGGAAAAUUUAUCGCUUAUAAAAAAAAAAAAAAAAGAAAGAAAAUACAUUAAAGGAAUGUGUUUACGUGUCAAAGCAGGUUGCAAGUUGCCCGUUAAAAAUAUCUAACAUGAGGUGGACCAAUAAAAAAGCGAGUCUAAAGAGAGUGUCCAAAGUGAUUUUGGCCACCAUUUUUCCUAAUUUCAAAUUUAUAAUCUCACUACUAUAGAAAUAAGAAAACUUCCCCCUUUUUUUUUUUUUCAUUUAGGCUUAAAAUAUUAUCUCAUUAAUUUAUAUUAAAAAUAAAAUUUAAUUUUUCUUAAAUUAUUUAUUAAUUAAUUAUGGGUCUCUAAAUUUUUUAUGUUGAUUGUGAUUUAGGUAGGGAUUGAUAUUCUUUUAAUUGAAUAUCUUACAGAUAAUUUGUUGAUUUUGGGCAUGGACUGCAUAUCUAGUUAGAUUUUGUUGUCAGGAAAAUACGCGUUUAAGGAUUCCAAUUGACUUAGGAUGGAAUAAGAAAAAUAAAAAACUAAUUAGUUUAUGUUAUAUCUUGACGUGGAUAGAAGUUGCAUGACUUCCACAUGGUACUUAGCAUAAUUAAAUUAAUUAAACUGUAUACUUAUACAUUUUAACAGAAAAGAAGGAUUCAUUAGCAAUAAAACUACUUAAGGUUUAUUUCAUUUAACUGUCAAAUAUAAUUAAUGGUGGUCGAUUUAUAUAUGAUUUAUUGUAAUUUAUUAUUAUAAUUGAUUUUAAUUGAUAUAUUUUAAAUGUUUAAUAAAUUAUAUUUAAUUGUUAAAAUGAUUUAUAAAAAUAUAUAUUAAUUUAUUAUAUUAAUGAAAUAAAUAUAAAAUUAAAAAAUAAUAGAAAAAAAUAGGUAUAUAUAUAUAUAUAGUCACUAACAAUUUCAAUUUGUAUAAAUAAAAAGAAGCAUCAGACCAUUAACAUGGUACCGCACGUGUUAUGUUACGCUAUCUUGUAACGGAUUCAAAUAGUAUCAAGUUAGGUUUAGAAUAGAUUGAUAGAGCAGAUAUGGCUGAACAGUAUUUUAUUUAAAUUAAAAAAAUAUGAAAUUAAAUUAAUUUAAAUUUUUAUUUAAUUUUUUAUUUGUUUUAAUUUAAUUUAAUUUUAAAUUUUAAAAAUUUCAAUUAUUUUAAUUUGAUUUAAUUUUAAUAAAAAAAAUAAAAAAAUUAAAUCAAAUCGAUUAGUAAUAAUAAUAUAUUAUUUUAAUAAAAUAAAGAUAUUAGAUUAUAUUAAAAUUAAAAUAUUCUAAUUAAAUUUUAAAAUAUUAAAAAAUAGUAUUAAAAAUAAAAAAUUAUUAAAAAUUUAAAACGAUCAAACUGAACUGAAUCGAAUCAAACUAAAUCAAUUCAAUUUAAUUUAAUUUCUGAUCAAAAUUAAUUCGGUUUGAUUUUUAUAAAUAUUAAAAUUUUAAUUAAAAAUUUAAAUUAAUUAAAUCGAACCGAAUCAAAUCUAACUAAAUCGAUUUAAUUUAAUUUGAUUUCUAAUUAAAAUUAAUUCAAUUCAAAUUUUAUAAAUAUUAAAAUUUUAAUUUUAAUUUAUUUAAUUUUACUCAAUUUUAAACUGAAGAUCAAAUGCUUAUUUUGAUAUAAAAUAUCUAAUUUUAAGUUUACAUUCAUUUUAAAUUUUAUGCUUUGAGUAUUGAUUGUCUGUAAUUAUUUAUAUAAAUAAUUAAUUAAAUACAUUUUAAAUAUUUUUUAUUUAUAUUUUACACAUAUUUCAUAUUAAAUUAGAAUUUGAAUAUUUUAUAUCAUUAUUAUAAUUUCAAAAUAUAAAGUAAUAUUCUAAAUUAUGUUUUAGGUAAAGUAUUAAGUUAAAAUUGAUAAAACUAGAAAGAUUCAAUUAUUUUUUAGAAUAAUAAUUAGAUUUUAAAUAGGUUUAAUUAAAUUUUAAAAAAAAUUAAGUAUUAAAUACAUUAAAUUGAUUCAAAGUUGAGUAUGAUAAAUUUUGUGAAAACAUUUAUUAUAAAAACUGAAAUAAUGAAAUUGGAUAGGGCGGUGAUUGGGGUACGUAUACGUCAACGUCACACAGUAGUCAGUAGUGUCAGUCACCUAAUACCUGUGAAGACUCGUAGACGGUAGACCCAAAACUCAAGUUCGUGGGUCAGUCCAUUGAACCUGAAAAUUCUUAUUCCUCUGCGUUCUCAUUCAUGAUUCAUGCAUGUGGUUCGGCUUUUCUUUUUUUAAAAAAUCAAUUAAUUAAUUACAUUAAAGACUGUGAACUACUUAAUUAUUCAUUAAUCUAACCAAGAUUUUAAUUUCCUGUUUGGGAUAUGGAAAUCAAAAUCCUGUGGUCGUACUUCCAAAGCACAUGUUUGAAACUGCUUUCGCCUCCACGACUUCAACUCUGGCUCACGACACUGGGCCCUCCCAUCCCAUUUACUAGUAUAAUUAUAUAAUAAUUGAAUUUUUUAAAAUUGAAUUAAACUAUUUUUUAUUUUUUAUGACAGCCGGAUUUCACUAUCCCGUUAUGAGACCGGACUCAUAACGGCAGUCCGCAUUUUAAGGCUUUUAUAUUUUCUUAAUGGGCCGGCCCAGUCCGUUCGGCCCUAAGAUCAGACCUCUCCUGGGCUUUAGUCUUAAUCUCAUCAUCCAGCUCAGUUCGGAGGAGAAGAAGUAGCCAGCCCAUCCGUCUAGUGGGUCCAUCCGCAUGCGUGCUGGGAGAGAAUUAAAUGGCCGUUACGCAUAGAGCAAAUAUCUGAUAUUCUCGUACGUCCGUAUCCGUAUGGCAGAGACAGGUGGCCCAAUGGCAGCGAGGCCGUUACACGUCACUGACAGAUAAAGGAAAAGAAUAAAAGGGGGGAAACAUUCUCCUCUCGAACCAAGUUCACUCAACCUUUGUAAAACCCUAUUUUUUGGAUCUCAGAUCAUCAAUUGGCGCCGUCUGUGGGAACGAAGGAGAUCUUUUUAUCGUCGGAGUUCCACUCUUACAAUACCCACUGAGAUCCACGAUGGCCAACCAUAAUGAAAACAACCUCGUUAAUACCCCAAAUGACCUGAGCUCUGCUCAGGAGGGACAACAGUUCUCUUUUUCCAGUCCCACAACCCCAAACAACCAACCACCAAUCCCCUUCAACCCCUUGCCGAGCUCGGCAGGGAACAUGCCCGGAGCUGCCUUAUCCAACCAGGACCUCCAAGCCAUGGCCCUUCAACUACAAAAUACCGCCCACUGGUUGGGGCAGAUGAUGCAACAGAGGGGCCUCAAUACCCCAAUGAACGUAUUGCCUGUGGUAGAGGAACCCCGAACCAAUGAACCCCAGCCUACCUUUAACCACCCCCAGACAAACAGCAGAGAAACCGAAGAAAGAGGUAGGAGGGCCGGGGAAGAAGAAGAACCGGAAGCCAGAGUUCGUGGGAGAAGGGUGAGGGAGUUGAUAGAAAACGACGAGGCAGACAAUUAUUCUGCCAGAACAACCAGGAGAACGGAGGAGGAUGAAUGGAAGGAAGAAGAUCGUCUGGAGAAGCGGCCCAGAUAGGAAGAGGAGGGUGUGGAUCAAAAGCUACAGAAAAUGAAGGAGCAGCUCCUGGCUGAGUUGGGAGCGAAAGAUCAUAACCAGGCUCUCUUGCCUACCUCUUCACCUUUCUCGAAAUGGGUGCAACCGGAGACCGUCCCCAAGAAGUUUAUGAUGCCACCCAUGGCAGCUUAUGACGGAGCGGGAAACCCAAGGGAGCACGUCCUCAACUAUAAGACUUUCAUGGAGCUGCAGACUCUAUCGGAUGCCUUGAUGUGCAAGGUAUUCCCCACGACGCUUACAGGGCCGGUACAGGUGUGGUUUAACAAUCUGGAGGCGGGAAGUAUCAGAAGUUUUGGAGACUUGGCCAACGCCUUCAUCAGCCGGUUCAUAGCCGGAGUGCCAGCUGACAGGAAGACCAGCUACUUGGAGACGGUCAGGCAGAGAAGAGAUGAAUCGUUGAGGGAGUAUGUCGCCCGUUUCAAUACAGAGGCCUUACAGAUCCCCGAGCUAGAUGAAGGCAGAGCGGUGGAGGCUAUGCAGAAAGGGACGACCUCGCCCGAGUUUUUUGGCUCGUUGAGUAGAAAGCCCCCCCACCACGCUGGCAGAGCUGAUGAAGAGGGCAGAGAAGUACAUAAGGCAGGAUGACGCCUUAGUAACGAGUAGAUUUGUUAAGGGGUCAGCAGACAGGGGAAAAGCCCUAGAAGAAAGGAGGCCAGAGAGGCAUGAUAAAAAGCAAAGAAAAAGGCCUGAGCCGUACAGGCAGCCCUGGGAUCGAAGGGACCAAAGACCCUUCCCCCCUCGGGUGCCAGAACAAAAGCCGUUUCCCGACGGAUUUCAAAGAACCUGACCCCACUCAACGCCUCCAGAGCCGAAGUGCUCAUGACAGUCCAGAACAAGGAGUUCCUCCAGUGGCCGAAGCUAAUGAGGGCUAAGGCGAGCCAAUGAGAUCCUGACAAGUACUGCCAGUACCAUCGCACGCACGGCCAUGACACCAAUAACUGUUACCAGUUGAUCAGUGAGAUUGAAAGGCUGAUUAAGAGGGGACACUUGUGAAACUUUGUGAAGAAACCAGAGGGGGAAAGGCCUCAGCCGAACCCUACAGCAGAGAGACCCCGAAGAACUGGAGCAGGACCGGUGAAUGAUGGCUCCAGUGGGACCAUCAACAUGAUUGUGGGAGGAACCAGAGGUCAGAUGAGCCGAAGGGGAAAGAAGAGAGGCCGAGACGGGGAGGGCAGCAGUGCCGAGGUCAUGCAGGUAGUUGAACAUUCUCCAGUGACCAUCUCCUUCUCUCCGGAGGAUGUCCAGGGCGUUCAGAUGCCUCACGAUGACGCUCUUAUUGUCGAGGUUGUCAUCCACAACUAUCGAGUGAAGAAGGUUCUCGUCGACGACGGAAGCAAAGUGAACUUAUUACCAUACAGGGUCUUCCAGUAGAUGAGAAUCCCCGAGGAGCAGCUAGUUCGGGACCAGGCCUCAGUCAAAGGGAUCGGAGGAGUCCCAGUACAUGUAGAGGGAAAGGUGAAGCUAGCCCUCACUCUCGGAGAAGCAUCUCUGGCUCGGAUACACUACGCGGUGUUUCUAGUGGUGAAGCUCCCCCUGAACUACAACGCAAUAUUGGGAAGACCUGUGCUGUAUGAUUUUGAGGUCGUAACCAGCAUUAGAUAUCUGGCUAUGAAAUUCUCAACAGAAGCAGGAGUGGCAGUAGUUAGAGGAAGCCAGGAAGAGGCAAGAGCAGUGUACGUGGCCACGGUAUCAGAGCCGAGCUCGGCAGGGGAAAGAUUUGACUCAGAAGUUCUGGAGGUCCGAGAUGAGAAAAAAGAGGCCAGAACAGAGCCGAUCGGAGAGCUGGAAACCUUCCCCUUAUCAGAAGCAGAGGCAGACAAGGUUUUUAGCCUUAACGCCAGCCUGACCGAAGAGCAGAAAACUGAAGUCAUGGCCCUGAUCUGAGGUCACGCAUCAAGCUUCGCCUGAAAGCCUUCUAACAUGCCUGGGAUAGACCCUGAAGUGAUGACUCACAAGCUAAACGUCCUCCCAGAGGCCAGGCCGGUGAAGCAAAAGAAGAGGGUAGUAGGAAGAGAGAAACAGCAGGCCACCAGGGAAGAAGUGCAAAAGCUAGAGGAGGCCAGGUUUAUUAGAGAGGUUAUGUACCCACAAUGGCUAGCAAAUCCUGUAUUAGUAAAAAAAAAAGCCAAUGGCAAAUAUAGGAUGUGUAUAGAUUUUACCGACCUCAACCAGGCAUGUCCCAAAGAUUGUUAUCCCCUCCCUAAUAUUAAUAAAAUGGUCGACUCCACUGCUGGUUUUGAUUAUAUGUCAUCUCUGGAUGCAAUGUCUGCCUAUCACUAAAUCCCAAUGGACAGGUCGAAUGAGGAGAAGACCUCGUUUAUAACAGAAGAUGGGACUUAUUGUUAUAGAGCUAUGCCUUUCGGGCUGAAGAAUGCUGGGGCAACAUACCAGAGACUAAUGAAUAAAAUCUUUAAAGACCAAAUCGGCAGAAAUGUAGAAGUAUACGUGGACGACAUGGUGGUGAAAAGCCCCACUUUUCAGCAGCACUUGAUAGACUUGAGGGAGGUGUUCGAGGUUUUAGAGCAGUACAGAAUGAGGCUGAACCCAGCAAAGUGUGCUUUCUUCAUCAAGGGAGGAAAGUUCUUGGGAUACAUGGUGACUGGAAAAGGCAUCGAGCCCAAUCCUGAGAAGGUGGAAGCCAUCCUGAAGAUGCCCGAACCGACCUGUGUAAGGGACGUCCAGAGACUUACUGUAAGGGUAGUAGCAUUCAAUCGCUUCAUGUCGAGGUCAGCUGAGAGAUGCUUGCCUUUUUUUAAGAAGUUGAGAAAAGUUCUGAACUUUGAAUGGAUUGAAGACUGUCGAGAGGCUUUCAAAGAGCUCAAAAGCUACCUUAGCUCGCCUCAUGUUCUCAACAGUCCGCUGGAAGGAGAAGAGCUCCUGAUUUACUUGUUAGCCUCAGAACAAGCUGUCAGUGCUGUGUUGGUAAGGGNNNNNNNNNNNNNNNNNNNNNNNNNNNNNNNNNNNNNNNNNNNNNNNNNNNNNNNNNNNNNNNNNNNNNNNNNNNNNNNNNNNNNNNNNNNNNNNNNNNNNNNNNNNNNNNNNNNNNNNNNNNNNNNNNNNNNNNNNNNNNNNNNNNNNNNNNNNNNNNNNNNNNNNNNNNNNNNNNNNNNNNNNNNNNNNNNNNNNNNNNNNNNNNNNNNNNNNNNNNNNNNNNNNNNNNNNNNNNNNNNNNNNNNNNNNNNNNNNNNNNNNNNNNNNNNNNNNNNNNNNNNNNNNNNNNNNNNNNNNNNNNNNNNNNNNNNNNNNNNNNNNNNAGUGGAAAGCCCGAGGUGGCAAAGAGGCCAGGCGAGGGAUAGCCCUAGGCCGUGAACGGUAACAGUGCCGGUGAGAGGGCCGGGCUGUUACAUCUGAACAUUGAAAAGAUAGCAUACGCUCUGUUAUUGGCAGUCAGAAAAUUCAGAGUUUACCUAGAAAGCCAUCAAGGAGUAGUAAUGACAGACCAGCCGCUGAAGAAGAUCCUCCACAGAUCGAAAACCUCAGGUCGGAUGCUUGCUUGGUCCAUCGAGAUCAGCCCGUACUGUUUGGAAUACCGGCCUCACACAGCCAUAAAGUCUCAAGCCCUCGCUGACUUCAUAGCAGAAUGUUCUUUCAGUGAGAAACAAGCAGGACCUGGUGAGACACCCCCGGAAGCACCAGAAGGGGAAAGAGAAAGACAGUCCGCUCGAGAAUUCAACUGGAAGUUGUAUGUGGACGGGGCAUCCAGUGCUGGGGGUAGCGGUGCAGGAAUAAUGCUAAAAGGACCUGAGGGUUUCAAAGUCUGUUAUGCUCUGCGCCUGGAAUUCAAAGCCUCUAACAAUGUAGCGGAAUAUGAAGCCCUGAUAAAUGGGAUGAUAAUCGCAAUGGAGGUAGGGGUAACUGAUCUUGAAAUAAAUAGCGACUCCCAGCUAGUGAUCAAUCAGAUAACAGGGGCAUAUCAGGCAAGAGACCAAAUAAUGCAGAACUACUUGGCGAAGGUAAAAGCCAUAGAGGCCGAGCUCGUCGAACAAGGGAUUAUGGUACGGUACCAGAGGAUACCCCGGGAGGACAAUGAGGAGGCAGACUUGCUUAGCCAAUUGUCUAAAGAGGAGCUGGAACAACUCCCUGACGAGGUAUACAUACAACAUAUUAGCACACCUGCUUUUGACAAAACGGCCACUGUAAUGCAGGUUGAGCAGGGCCAAAGCUGGAUGAUCCCAUACCUGGAAUACCUUGAGAAGGGAAAGCUCCCUGAGGACAAGGAUGAAGCAAAGAAAAUAGCUGCUCGAGCUGCCAACUACUAAGCAGUGAGAGGGACCCUAUACAGAAGAGGAAAGUCUACCCCAUGGCUUCGAUGCGUGAGUUCGGAAGAAGCCACAAAGGUGAUGGAAGAAAUACACUGAGGGAUAUGCGGAGCCCACGAGGGAGCAGAAACGCUGGCGAAUAAGAUAUUCAGGCAAGGAUACUACUGGCCCACCAUUAAAAGGGAGGCCGAAGAGUUCGUCCGCAGAUGCGAUGUAUGCCAGAAGUUUUCCAAUGCCAUCAACGUCCCGGCCACUCCUCAGUCCAGCAUAUCCAGCCCGUGGCCAUUCUCACAGUAGAGCAUAGACAUCCUGAGUCCUUUCCCUAAGACCACGGGGCAGAAAAAGUUUAUAGUAGUGGCUGUAGAGUACUUCCCAAAAUGGCCAGAGGCAGAGGCAAUUCCCACAAUUACUGCCCAAAAGAUGAUAGACUUUGUCUGGGGCAAUAUCAUCUGUAGGUUCGGAAUACCGAGGGUACUCAUCUCAGACAACGGCAGGCAAUUUGACUGCAGUGCCUUCAGAGAAUUCAUAGCAAACAUGGGCAUAUGGCAUAAAUUCUCCUCAGUGGCCCACCCCCAAACCAAUGGCCAAACAGAGGUCACUAACAGAGCUAUCCUCCAGGGAUUGAAGAAGCGGCUGGAUGGGGCCAAGACAAAUUGGGCAGAGGAACUCAACAGCAUCCUGUGGGCACUCCGAACUACCCCCAGGACGUCCACUAAAGAGACGCCUUCCGCACUUGCGUUUGGCACCGAAGCUGUGGUUCCAAUUAAGUUGCAGGUCCCUACCCAUCGAGUCCAAUUCAAUAGCAAGAGCAUCAACCUUGAUAAGUUAAGAAGUAACCUGGAUACUCUGGAGGAAGUCAGAGAAGAAGCUCGAGUCCGUAUAGCCGCUUAUCAACAAAGAGCGACUCGUUAUUACAAUCAAAGGGUCAGAGAAAGAAGCCUGAAAGUAGAGGAUCUGGCCCUGAGAAAUCUGGAAGCCACUGGAAAGAGAGCGGCAGUAGAAAAGCUGGCGCCAACCUGGGAGGGUCCUUUCAGAAUAAUAAAGGUGGUCAAACCAAGGAUGUAUCGAAUCGAGGACAUGCAGGGAAACCCUGAGCCUCAUGCUUGGAAUAUCCAGCAUUUGAAAAGGUACUUCCCUUAAGGUGUUACCAAAUGUAAGAGAAUCGAUUGUAUUUUGAAACAUGGCAAUAAAGUAAACGUUAUUACCAUCAAAUUUGUUAUUUGUCAUAACUUACAUUUGUUUCCAUUGAAAGAAACGAAAAAGAAAAAGAAAACAAACACAAAGGCCCAAGAUCUCNNNNNNNNNNNNNNNNNNNNNNNNNNNNNNNNNNNNNNNNNNNNNNNNNNNNNNNNNNNNNNNNNNNNNNNNNNNNNNNNNNNNNNNNNNNNNNNNNNNNNNNNNNNNNNNNNNNNNNNNNNNNNNNNNNNNNNNNNNNNNNNNNNNNNNNNNNNNNNNNNNNNNNNNNNNNNNNNNNNNNNNNNNNNNNNNNNNNNNNNNNNNNNNNNNNNNNNNNNNNNNNNNNNNNNNNNNNNNNNNNNNNNNNNNNNNNNNNNNNNNNNNNNNNNNNNNNNNNNNNNNNNNNNNNNNNNNNNNNNNNNNNNNNNNNNNNNNNNNNNNNNNNNNNNNNNNNNNNNNNNNNNNNNNNNNNNNNNNNNNNNNNNNNNNNNNNNNNNNNNNNNNNNNNNNNNNNNNNNNNNNNNNNNNNNNNNNNNNNNNNNNNNNNNNNNNNNNNNNNNNNNNNNNNNNNNNNNNNNNNNNNNNNNNNNNNNNNNNNNNNNNNNNNNNNNNNNNNNNNNNNNNNNNNNNNNNNNNNNNNNNNNNNNNNNNNNNNNNNNNNNNNNNNNNNNNNNNNNNNNNNNNNNNNNNNNNNNNNNNNNNNNNNNNNNNCCCAUUCAAGAUAAAAAGGGCCCAAACCCUGAGCAAGCUCAAAAAUAAAAAAGAAUAGGGCAGGUCUGGAAAGAGCUGAAACGCGAACCAAGAUGCACAAAUCUGAGCUCGGAAAGCCAAGCAAUAAGAGAGCCGAGCUCAGGAAGCUCAAGGGCAAACUGAAUGUUACAAAUUUCCUCUAGCCCAAGGGGCAAGUCAAAAGUAUGAACUAACGAACAACACCACAACCUCAGUUCCACUCAACACAAGACAUAAAACGAGCUCAAGAAAACAGAUUCAUCAUAAUAAGGUACUUUACCUUACUUACUUUGAUUAUACAAAAAUUAUAUGUCCGAGCUUGCAUUAUUGAUGAGUCAACAGGGUAAAAAAUAAAGAUGUAGUCCCAAAAUUACACAAAUUCACAAGUUAGAAGUUCGGUCAAUUGCUAGAAUUUCAGCCCUAAUUAACAAGGGCGAGAAAUAAAACAAGUAGUAUGGUUGAUUCCUUGAAAAAAUUAUUGAACACAUGGUUUAAGAGUUUUAUCCUUAACAUAUUGACAGAUUAAGCCAGGUAGGCCUUCAAUGGAUUAAGUCAAUUAGACUUUUAGCAGAUUGAGUAAUUUGAUAAGGACAGAAAAAUAAAUAACAGUGGAAAUAGCUCAAAUAUAAACACAAAUGAAAAUUGGAUUUCAUUAAAAGGAAAAUAAAAUUACAACUUAUUCAGUCAUCUACAACUCCUGGAAGAAAAAUUGUCCGUAAAGGACUUACAUGUCUAGGCGCAUCGCUAUUUACACUAUCUCUAUCUACACUACUGCCUACGAAAGGAACAAUUUCUCCUCCUUGGGGCCCUGCAUCUUCCCUCUGAAGCUUGGCAUCAGCCUCCGUGGACUGGCUGUUUCCUUCUUCACCUUCCUCCCCCAGCUUGGCAUCUUCUUUAUGAGACCCAGUUGCAGUGUGAGGAAAUCCUUUGGGCAAAGGUUUGUCGUCCUCCCCGUAAAGCACCUCCUCGCCAUCGAAGUCCUCCUCAGCAGCUCGGAGUUCAGCUAGCGGCGUGGAAGGGGCAUACCUGGCUUCCCUCAAGCCUCGAUUGAAACCGGAGACGAACAUGCGGAAGCCUUUUUGCCAUAUUGUAUUCUUCAUUUCGUCAGAGGCUUUGUAUUCCGCAAGUCGCUCCUCGCAGGCCUCAGCUAUCUUGGCCUUCAACUCCGAAGAGUCCUUAUAACCUUGGAGACAAGCUUCACAGGCCUGCUCGAUCUCUCUUUUGAGCUCUGCCGACUCCUUGUACUCCCUUAAGUGCUUCUCACACUCCAACUGGACUCUGUUCUCAGCGUGCUUGGCAUCCUCGAGCAAGGCUGAACACCUCUUCUUAAGGGCCUCGACUUCCUGGCAGAGGUGUUGGUUUUGAAGUCUAGAUGCCUCUACUGCCAGAGCCAGGUCUUUUUCAUUAUCAGCGCGCUUGCUCAACUCUUGCUCGAGGACCACAACCCGAGCUAGGGCUUCAUCCUUCUGAGCUAGCAUAGCAUCGAAAUUUGCCUUCAACGACUCCUGCUGGUGCCGGGCCUCAUCCCUCUCCUUCUGAGCUUCCUCUAAGGAGGACAGCUGCUCCAAGACCUCAUCACGGUGGGCCUCCGCAGCAGCUGCCCUCUUAUCAGCCCCUUCCAAAGUCUCCUUAGUAUGGGCCAGCUCCCCCCUAAGGGUCUUCAAAUGCUCCUGAGCUGCAGCAAGGUGACCCCGAGCAUCGCUGGUUGCGAUUAAAUUUUCUUCAAGACGCGCCUCUUCAAUCUGGCGGUCCAUUGUGCUCCGAGUUGAUUCGUCCCGGGAGUCUACCUCCAUAAAGAGGCCCAUCAGCUAACACAGAGAGAAAAAAUAUUAGAAUGACAGACAACAGAAACCAAACGAAAGAAUUCAAAAGUAAGAAGAACAACUUACCAUUAGAAGCAUCUCCCUAAUUGUGCCUCCGAGCUCCUCUCGAGUCCGAGACCGGAAUGCUACUUGCUCUCGUGUAGAACUCGCCAAAAGGCCAGUGAGAGCAAGCAGACGAGGAUCCGAAGCUUCUGUGACCCGCCAAACAUCUGCUCCUACAAGAUUUCUGCAACAACGCUCGCCGGAGAUUGAUGAGUGAUAUCCUCCGCGUUCAAAAUGUCGUUGUCGGGAGCAGACAGCAGAGGCACCACAGAAGUCUCCUUCUUCUUCUCGAGAGGAGGCAGAGCUGGAGCUGGUAUUCUAGAGGCCCGAGACCUCUUGGGGACAGGAGCCGGGGCAGGCGCUUCAGAAGGAGGAGGACACUUGCUCCCGACCCUCUCUGCAGCGCCCUCAUCGUCAACUGGUCUGGGCUCCACUCCCUCAGUAACAGGGGCAACCUCCAUCCCCCCUUCAGGAGCCCUCUCCUCAGUUGCGGAGGUCUUGAACCUCUCCUCAGGAACGUCCUCAGAAGGCAAGGCAGAAUCCGUCCUCACCAGCUCGAUGCCUUCAACCGGCCUGGCGGUGACCCUUGGAGCCUUUUUCGCUCCCUCAGUAGGAGCCCGUUGGGACCUGGGGGCUUGAUAAGACUGAGGAGCCAAGCUUGAUCUGCUGCGGCUUGAAGGGCCUGGAAGACCUGACACCUCGAGAGCUCAGCUUGGGAGCUUGGGAAGAAGCAGGAGCAGGAAGAAUGGACUGGCCUGCCGACCUGGAAGAGAUGACCUGGGCCACCUCCUGAGUGGCUUCUGACACAGAUCGCCCAGCUCGGAGGGCGUCUAACGCAGCAUUCAUACUCUCCCGAGAGAGGGUGAAGUUCUUGGGGUCCUUGAUGUUGUCCAUAUCUGCUCGAGAAGCUGCAAAAACAUCAAAUCAACACAAGUUAAACAUCUCUCAAGAAAGGAUAAAAGAGGAGAAAUAAAACAAUCAAACAAAGUAUAAUACCCGCGUCCUUGAUAUCCCGAAGAUUGGACGCAAACAUACACCUUUCGACAUCAUACUUCUUCGCAACAGAAGUCAGUCGAAGGUACCCGACCUGCUUAGUGAGACUCAGCUGAGGCAGGUCGUUACAGCCUAGAAAGACAUCCUCCCAGGAGAGCUCCACCUCCCAAGACAGCCCGGAUUCUUUCUUCAGCUCCACCACUGCAAACCCCUCUACCCAGCCUUUUAUCGAGUCCUUGCGACCCGUAAAGAUGGACAGCCCUCCGCGAGGGGCAAAAUAGUAAAAGCAUUGACUCGCUUUCACUAACCGAAAAAAGGUGAGAAACAGACGCGCUGUGGGUGUGAACCUCCAGCUCAGGCAAACUGACUCGAAGGAACACAUGAAAAGGAUGGAGUUAGGGGCCAGAAUCCGAGGGGUUAUCUCGAAGUACCGGAAUACCUCGAUGAAGAAGGGAGAGAAGGGAAAGGUUAAAUCGUAUUCCCUCUGUUUAGCGAAGAAGACCAGGCUGAGAUCCUUCUGUGGGUCGAUUAAACCAGGGGGAGGAGGAUUAGGAAGAACGAUCCUCUCAUUUCGGAGAGGGGCCCAGAUGAAAAAAAGGAGGGUAUUUAGGUAUUCCCUGGAAAAGAAGUUUUUUAGAGUAGCAGGGGUGAUGCUAGACUCUAGAUUAAUGACGUCGGGGAGAUUUGGGCUAUCCAUGGAAGAAUGAAGAGCGUACCUUGAAAAUAAUGAAGGCAGGAGAACGGAGCUAGCAAUGCGCACGAAGAACAGAGGAAAGCAAGAGUUUGGAGAAGACUGAGAGAAUUCGAAAUUUGAAACAAUAAUAAGACGAAAAGAUGUUUUGAGGAGAAUUGUCCUUGGGCGGCGCGGUCAUAAUGACUCUCGAUAUUUACCCCCUCAUCAUUCGUGCAAUAACUGAUGAAAAGGUAAAGGGGCAAUUGAUGACCGCUGGAUUUCACCAUCCUGUUACGAGGCUGAGCUCAUAACGACAGUCCCCAUUUUAAGGCCUCUAAGUCUUCUUAAUGGGCCGGCCCAGUCCGUUCGGUCCUAAGAUCAGACCUCCCCUGGGCUUCAGUCUUAAUCUCAUCCUCCAGUCCAGUUCGGAGGAGAAGAAGUAGCCAGCCCAUCCGCCUAGUGGGUCCAUCCGCAUGCGUGCCAGGAGAGAAUUAAAUGGUCGUUACGCAUGAAGCAGAUAUCUGAUAUUCUCUUACGUCCGUAUCCGUAUGGUAGAGAUAGUUGGCCCAAUGGCAGCGAGACCGUUACACGUCACUGACAGAUAAAGGAAAAAAAUAAAAGGGGGGAAACAUUCUCCUCUCGGACCAAGUUCACUCAACCCUUGUAAAAUCUUAUUUUUUGGAUAUCAGAUCAUCAAUUUUUAUUUUAAAAUUUUUUUUAUUAAAAAUAAAAAGUGGGGUCAAGUGACCCCACUCCAGAAGUAGAAACCGGCUAUGGUCAAGAGUCUUGCUCUUCUUCACCUACCGAUGUAAGGAGAAAAAACACAUGCAAUGGUAUAAUAUGGUAAUGAAAAAUGUGAACUGAAUCUUGAAAGAGAAUUUAGAAGAAUUGAAUAACAAGACAGAGCUGUUUGUUCUUUGUACAUGUUCAACUAAUUGAUUUCCCACGUAUUAGUCAAUUAGACUUAAUUUUAUCCCUUUGUCUAACCAACUUGAAACAAUUAUUACAACAUUGGCAACACUUGCAAGAAGACCUCAAAUUUGACACGUUUCUUUUAUUUAUUUAUUGUGUAAAUCUAAUUUUGUAUCUCGAGUCGUCUUCUAGUAGCUAGCUACCUUAUAUUUUUCAAAAAGAAUCUACAAAUAUUCAAUCAUGUGUACAUUGGAUGUGAACCCUUUUAUAAUUCAUUUUCUAUUCAGCUAGAUACUAAGUAAAUAAUAUUAUAAUAAAUAAUUUUAAAAAAAUAAAAUUACUUACUAAAUCCAUAUUAUUACUAGACGUCAUAUUUAUAUAAAAAUUGAAAUUUAAUUAAAAUUUAUUAAAUUAAAAAUUUUUUUAAUUAUUUUUAAUGAUUUAAUGUAUCAGCUCAGAUAACGUGAUACAUCAAAAUAUUUAAUAAAUUACUGUUGAAAAAGGAAAUAGUGACUGAGAAGAGGGGUAAAAAUAAUAAAAAAUAAUUUUUUAAAAUAUUCUAGAAGAGUAUAUCUAGAGUAAAAAAAUAUUUUCUUAAAUAAUAAUUAGAAAGCAUUAAAAUUAAAUUAAUUUUUUUUUAUGAAACAGAGAAAGCAAAUAUAAUUAAUUGGACCCAAGAGAUUGAUAUUUUGGUAAUUAAUUAAGGACAGCAGUAAUUGAGAGAAAAUAAUAUGAAAUUGUAUAUAAUAAUUAAUAAAAUUUAGGGUUUAUUAUCCUUCAAAAUCUGACGAUUUGAAAAAUAAUUUACAACAAUUUUCUUAAUUAAAUUGAAAAUGGAAGUAAAAAAAUUGUCCUUUUCAGAAUUGGUAAUUGUGGUGGAUAAGCUUAGGAGUUAAGAUAAUUCAUGACUCUGUGUGAUAUUGGCAAAAAAUGACCAUCUCAUGAUGCACAUGUAAUUCACCCUUCAUUUCAUAUUUACUCGAUAUGCCAUAGGAAUUAAAUUAUUUAUAAUAUAAAAAUAUACACAUAACUAAUAAUUUAACAUAUUAUAACCAAUUUAAUUCUUGUUUGCAAUAGCAUUGUAUUUGUAUAUUUUUGUAAUUAUAAAUAAAUUAUAUAUAUAUAGUUAAUUUGAAGAUGAAAAUUCUAUAAUUAAUAAAUAUUAAAUAAAAAAUUUAAAUUUUUAUCACUUUUUAUAUUUAUAUUCUAACAUUAAAAUAUUAGAUAAUAAAAUCAAUUUUUCAUAUUUACUUCUAUUUUAGCUAUUUGCCAUUAAUCAAUUUUAGUAAAAAAAUUUUAAUUCACAUGUCAUGACAUUUAUAAUUUUUUUUAAAGACAUAUUGAAUAAAAGAAAUUAAAACUUUUAAGUUAAUUCGUAUUUAUAUCUAAAAUUUUAAAUUUUAAAUAAUAAAACUAAAAUUUUUUUAUUUUAUCUCAAUUAUAAAUAAAAAAAAUAUUUGAAUAUGAAAAUUAUUAAAAAAUUAUAAUAUAGUAUUUAAAAUUUUAUUAGACUAUAAAAUAGUUUUUAAAAUAUAUAUUUUUAUUUCAACAAUAUCUUUUUUUUAUUAAUCUCAUUAUUUAUUUUUCAUUCUCUUUUUUAUAUAUAUUGUAGUUUAAUAAAAAUUUAAAAUAUUUUAUUUUAUUAAAUAUUAUUGAUAUAAAAUAUAAUUUUUUUGUCAAAUUAACUAAUAAUUUAAUAUACAUUACAAAUAUAAUUAUUUUAUAAAUAAAUAAAACAAAAAUAUUAAAUAUCUAAAAUAACCUAUAAAAAAUAUAGUUAAUAUAUCUAAAUUUUUAUAAAAAUUAUAAAAAGAUAACUUCACAUAGUAAAAUAUAUAUAUAUUUAAUAUUAUUAAUGUAAAAUAUAAUUUUUUAUAUACUAAAAAUAUAUAUAUAUAAUUUAUAAUAAUAAAUAUAAAUUUUCAAUGAAAUAUUUUAAUAUAUAAUAUUUAUAUGUGAUAUUUUAAUAUAAAAUUUAAAUUAAUAUAAAAUUUUUGAGAUUAUAUUAUAAUUUAUUAUUAAUUGAAAUAAAUGUAAAGGAAUUAAUUAAAUUAUAUAAAAUUUUUAAAUUGAAAUAUAAUUAUAACAAAUAUUAAACAUUUAAAUUUAUUUUUUCCAAUAAACGAAAAAUGUAAUAUGCUUUGACCACGCUUGUAAACAGGACGCUGAAGUUUAAGAAGCGAAGGUUUGUGGUUGACCCCAAGUUGAGUCCAUGGCCGCCAGUGGAUGAGGAUGAUGCAAUCCAUGAUCUUAUCUCCACCAUCAAACGCUAGUGAUUCAUCAUACACAUGGGCCACCACAUGAUUGUAUCAUCUUAUUACUAUUUAUCAUGUUGAUUUAUCCGCUUGCAUGUCUAAGGAAUUUUUGGUUUUACAAUGCAGCAGCUUAAGCGCAAACCUCAUAUGAUAUGGCCAUUGUAGCCCAUAAAGAUAAUUUAAUAAUAAAAAUAUUUCUUUUAAUAUUUAGCAUUUCAAAUAAAAAUUUAAUGAAUACUUACUUUAUUUUAACUUACAACUUCAUUUAAAAAAAAAAAAAAAAAAAUUCUAAAUCGCUCUUACCAAUACGAUUACAUAGAAGAAACCUUCCUCUUGCGUAAGGGAGUUGAACCCUCUUUAUUCGAUCACUGAUUAAGAGGAAUAUUAUUAAGCUUUUCAACACGUUGAUGCAAAUUUAAAUAAAUUAAAAUUUUAAUAUUUAUAUAAAUUAAAUUAGUCUAUUUGAUUGAUUAAAUUUUUUAGUAAAUUUUUUUAUUUUUUAUAUUUUAUUUUUAAUAUUUUAAGAUUUAAUUAAAAUAUUCUAACUAUAGUCUAAUUCUUUUUAUAUUAUAAAAAAUAAUAUAUUAUUAUCACUUUUUAAUUAGUAAAAUUAAACUGAAUUAAAAUAAUUAAAAAUUUUAAAAUUAAAAUUCAAAUCGAAUUGAAAUAAUAAAAAAUUAAAUUAAAAUUUUAAAAUAAUUCAAUUCAAUCAAACUUUUUAAUUUGAAUUAAAUAUGACUCACCUAAUUUUACGAAAGAAAUAUAAAAUUUUAGUUAAAUAUAAUAAUAGAAAUUCAUCGAGUUUAUUCUUUUAAGUUUCGAGCUUGAAUUUUUAAUUAGAGUUAAUUGUAAAUAAAAAAAUAUUAUUAAAUAAAAAAUAUUUCAGUGAAGUGACAUGAACCAUACAAAAAUCAAGUGAUGGUAUGAUAUAUUGAAUUUUUUUUUUUCUCUUUUAUAUUUGGAAGAAUUGUACUCAUUCUUGGUGAAAGAGAGGAUAUAGCAAGAUAGCUUAGAUAAAAAAAAAAUUUAAAAGUGAAUUUAUAUAUAUCUUUUAUAUUCGUUUUAUAAAUUGCAUAAGCCAAAAUAAUUGAAAUUAUUUGAAAUAAAUGAAUUAAAAUUUUUUUAAAUAAUGCAAUAAAUUUAAAUUUCAAUAGCAUUCUUUAUAUGCUGUUAAUAAUUUUAAAUAUAUAUAUAACUAAUGAAAAUUAUCGUUAAACAUUUCAUGAUGUGUAUAAAUCCUAUAAUUUAAUUAAAUUUUGAUUAAAAAUUUAUUAUAUUUUAUAUAUUUACCAUCAAAGCGUAUUAUAUUUCUUGAUGUUAUUUAUUAUGUAAAUCAUUUAGUUGUGUUUAAUUAUCUACCAUUUAAUUAAUAUGUAUGUAUAAUUUUUUUAUUUACGAUAAUAAAUAUUAUUAAAAAUAUAAAUAAUUUUAUAAUCGAUUUUAAUGGAUUUACAAUAAAUUUAUAAAAUAAUAUUAAUAUUUUUAAUGAAUUUAUGAUUAUUUUUGUUAAAAUGAUCUUUCUAUUUUCAAUAGUAAUUUUUCGUCUUUAAUUAUUUCUGACAGAUUAGCGAUAGAUUGAUUAUCGGAUGAAUUUAGAUUUUUUGAUGAAUUUAAUGAUGAAUAAAAUUUAUCACUAAUAUUUUUUGAUGGAAUAAUCAGUCAAAAUUCUGUUGCAAAUAUUUUUGAUAUAUUUUAAAUUGUUAAAAAUCUGUUACAUAUUAGCGAUAAAAUUUUAAGUGACGAAUUUUAAUUUAUAGAAAAUCAUCGCCGAAAGUGUUAGGUGCGGAUUUUAGACUAUCAGCGAUCAAAUUUUCCGUCUAACGGAUAGUCCGUUUUUUAUAAUGAUACAUAUUUAAAAGUUUUAGUUAAAUUAAUUUUAAAUAAUUUUUUUUUUCUUUAUGUAUUUUUCAAAUUCAAUAUAAAUAACUUAUUCUGCACAAUCUCGGACACACAUAUACAAUCAGAACUAUUCUUUUUUUUUUUUUUUUUUGUGGGAGCUUUAAUUUAUUCUCAUCUUAAAAACAGACCAAAAGAAUAUGGAAUUUUAGUUAAAUAUAAUAACGGAAAUUAGAUAAAAUCAUGACUAAAAAUUAUCAGCAUAUAUUUAUUGUCUAUAAAAUUUAUAAUUUAUAACUUUUAAUAAAAAAUUUAUAUUAAUUUAUAACCACUAUAUAUUAUUUAUUAAUUUAUAAAUUAUUUUAAUAUUAAAAUGUAUUAUAUUUCUUGAUCUUAUUUAUUGUGCAACUAUUUUAUAUAAAAUAAUGUUAAAAAAUAUUCAUUGGAGCCUUCUAAUUGGAGGCAUAAUAUAAUAUUCAUUAUAUUUAUCAUUAAAACUAAUAUUAAGUUUGUUUCAAUUUUAAUUCUUAAAAUUUUGUAAAAUUUAAUUAAAUUUUAUAUUUUAUGUUUCUAGUUUGAAGAGAUAUUAAAAUUAGUAUUAAGAAUUCAAUUUUAUGGAAUUGGUUAUAAUUAAAAAAUUAAUUCUUUCAAAUUUUGAUAAAAUUUGAAAUAUUAUAUAAUAAUAUUUUAUAAACUAACAUGUUCAUAAUAAAAAUUUUUCUUUCUAUUAUCAUUUAUUUUAUUAGUUGAUUAAAUAAAUAGUUAAAAAUUAAUAAAUAAUUAAAAAAUAUUGAUGAUUACAAUAAAUGAUUAAAAUUUAUUUUAAUAAAUAAUUAUAUUUUUAAUUUUACUAUUAUUUUAUAAACAUUAAAUAAAAAUAAUAGUAUUACAUAAUCAGUCGUCUACCUUGAACCUUCAAAUUCUCUGAAUAUAUUUUGAUAUCAACUCUCAUAUUAAUUUAUUUUUAUUUUAUCAAUAUAUUAUUAAUAAAUUUAUAUUUUUAUUUAUUAUUACUAUUAUAAUAAAUUUAUUAUGAAUAAUUUUUUUUAUAAUAAAAAAUUAUAUAUAUAUACACUUUAUUCUUAGGGUAAUUUAGAGAGUAAAUAAAUUUCAAUUCUAAAAUUAAAUCAAACAAAAAUUAUGUAAAAUUAAAUUGAAUUCUACAUUUUUAAGUUAUAUUAAAUUAAAUAAUGAAAUUUAUUUCAAAUAAAUUUUAUUCAUAAUUUAAUUGAAUUAUAUAUAAUUUUAGUCAUAAAAUUAAACAGGAGAAUAUAUAUCAAUUACUUGUAUAAGGCACACAUUAGGUUCAUAUAAUAAGGGGAAAUCACAGCAGGAAGAUUAUAAUCCUCCCAUGGUUUUACACACACAGAAACCAAAAAAACCCAAAAGAAAAAAAAAAAAAAAAGGUGGAAAUUACAUUACAUGUUAAUUAUUGAGGAUGGCAAGAACACCAUUUAUUUAUUCCUCCCAUUUCCAGUGAUUAGAAACUUCAAACUUUUUCUUUUUGACAAAGAAAAAAUUUACCUAACAUUAAACCCAAGGUUGUAAGCAUAUUUGACGAGAUCAUCAAUCUCUGACAUGUCGAUAACUCCAUCUCCAUUAGCAUCAGAAAAUUUGAUCCCUUGACGGGCCCUAUAAGCAGGGAACAUAGCUCCAAGAUAAUUGAAAGCUUGUCUGAUCUCUUCUCUGCUAAGAACAUUGUCUCCAUUUAAAUCGAACUUCAUGAAAACUUGCCUCACUUGUUCUUCAGUGAAGGGAACAGGAGCAUCUUUGUAUUUGUUCACACGGAAGGGAUUCACCGCCAUAUGAUAUUGACGUGGUGCCGGUGGCGGUGGUGGUGGUGGAUUGUUUGCAAACCAAACACCUUGUGGAGGAGGAGGAGGAGGUGGAGGUGGUCCCCAGAAAGACUGAGACCUGUCAUAAUAGAUUGGCGGCUUUUCUUCAUACAUUGGCUGAUUGUAUGGAGAAGGAUAAGGAACAACGUUAUAGUCUUGGGUAUAGCAGCGAUCGUAGUACAUGAUUUUCAAGUGGCGAGGAUAAUAACUGGAGCAGGUUUUGAGUUUGAAGUUUUGUUUGAACUUGGGAUGGAUUUGAAUCCAUGAAAGCAAUCUUAUUUAUAAGCUGCUUCAGGGUGUUUUUUUUUUUUUUUUUUUCCACUUGAAUGAAUAAUGUUCUAACUUAUCUUACCAGGAAUAAUUAAAUCUUUCCUUCAAGUGGGAAUCUCUUUUUUAUGUUAUUAAAUAUGCUGCGGUUAAAUUUAAAUUAGAUUUCAUAUCAGUAUGAAUAUAAAAAUUGUACACAAUGUUAUAAAAUACUAUUUAAAUAUAAAAUUGAAUCAUAGACUCUAAAAUGAAAAUUCUUAUAAAAUUAUAAGAUAUUUUUUAUUUUUUUUUUAAUUAUAAAACUUAAGAUAAAUAAAUAAUGAACUGAUAUGCAAAGGACAGUUUAACAUGACAAUACGAAGUGGAGAAUAUGUUACAGGACUCACAUGAUAGAUAUCAUUAUCAAAUUGAUAAUGAAGAAUAAAGAUUUAUGCCUUCAAAUUCAUUCCAUCUUGGACCUCCUUAUUUAAUCAUUUUUAUGCUAUAAAUUAUUACAAUUCAUUUUAGUUAGCUGAGUAAUUAUGUUGCAAUUAACACUUAUAUAUAUUUCAAUUUUUUAAAAAUAAAUAAUUUAUUUUUUAUAUUUUAAUUUUAUUAAAUUAAUAAAAAAUUAUUUUAACAAAAGUACUUUCAGUUUAACAGAAUCAAAAUAUAUGAAUUAAUAUGUUGAAUUUUAAAAGUAAAAUGAUAUGUAUAUUAACAUCAGAGAUAUGUAAAAGUGAUUUUUUUUUUAUUUAUAAGUAUAAAUUAUAAGAUUUAAGUAUGAUAUUAAAUUUGAAUUAUAGCAUUAUUGAAAAGUAAUGAAUAUAGAUUUGCUCAUCUUUCUUAAUCACAUGAAAUGAGAGUUUGGCAUAUAAUAAAAUAAAGUAGCAAAAUAUUCUUAGGUCAGUUGGCCAACAUCAUCUUCAAAGCAUUUUUGACGUCACAGAUGUGCCCACGCCUUUGACUAGUCGGUUUUACAUAUUAUUCUGAAAACUAUAUUUACCUUUGUUUUUUUAAGCAAAGCAAAAUCUUACCAUCAUUCAUCCUUUAAAACCAAGUGAUCCGAUUAGAAGGUAGCAUUUAAUCGGUUCAAUUUAAAAUCAAACUGAAUUAAAUAUAUUAAAAAUUAAAAUUUUAAUAUUUAUAUAAAUUAAAUCGAAUCGAAUUGAUUUUAAUUAGAAAUUAAAUUGGACUGAAUCACUUUGAUUCAGCUCAAUUCAAUUUAAUUUGAUCAGUAUGAAUUUUUAAUAUAUUUUUUUAAUUUUUAUACUUUAUUUUUAAUAAUUAAAAUUUUAAUUAAAAUAUUUUAACUUUAAUAUAAUUUGAUCUUUUUCAAUAAUAUACUAUUAAUAUUAAUUCGUUCGGUUCGAUUUUUUAAAUUCUUUUCUGAUUAAAAUUAAAUCGAAUAAAAAUAAUUGAAAAUUUUAAAAUUAAAAGCUAAAUUAAACUAAAAUAAAUAAAAAAAAUUAAAUCGAAUUUUCAAAUUAAUUUAAUUCGAUUAAUUUUUUUAAUUUAAAUCGAAUACUACUCCCACCAAUUGUAGAACUGAUUAGACUAAUAAUUGGAACAGUGAAUCAGUAAAAGAAAAAAUAAGAAGAAGAAUACUAUAAAUUUAUUUUAAAAUUAUAUAACCAAGGUUAAAUUGUCUAGUUUAAUUGGCUAAAAAAUAGAUGACUUGAUUUCAAAAUUUUAGAUUUCGAGUCUUAUUCCUUUUCGUAGUGUAUUUAAAUAUUAAAAAAAACAUACAUAAUAUUAUUUAAUUUCAUUAAGUUUUCUUUUUUUUUUUAUUAAAUGGUUAUUUAAUUAGUUUAUAUUUUGAUUUUAUUAGUUACCUAAUUAUAUAUAUAUAUGUCAGUUAUGCUAUAAUAAAUAGUAAUUAUUAUUAGGCAAAUUACAAUAUUUGAAAAUCUAUUUAUUAUACAUGCCUAUACUUUUAUAUGUUAUAUACAUAUAAUUUUUGUUUUUAUUUUUUUAUAGAAUAAUUGUGAUUCUCAAAUUAUUAAUAUUAUUUAAAAAUGAUAUUUUUAUAUAUUAUAAAUCUUUAAUAUAUCAAGAGCAUUUUUUUUAUAUAUAUUUGAAAAUAUGAAGAUAUCACAUAAUUUAAUCAAACUUUAAAAUUUUAUAUCUUUAAUCAAUAAAAUUGUGUAAAAUAUAAUUAGUGAUCAUAUUGUCCGCUUGAUAGGUUGGUAUCUUAUUCUUUGCAGCAAUUUGGGCCGUUGAUAUUGAGAUUGUGGUGAAUCCAUUCCUAAAUACAUAAAUUGAUAUUUGAUAGGCAACUGAUUACAAUUCAAAUCAAAGUUUAAAAUUAGAGCUGGUAUAGCCGAUGGAAAUUAUUCUGAUAGGAAGAUUUUUAAUCAAUUAUUCUGGUAGGAAAAAUUAAAAUAAUAAAAUAAAUUUGAUUUGCAAUUAUUCUGAUCAAAUCCAUAAAAAAAAAAAAAAAUUCUUAUACGGAUCAAGAGAAGUGAAUUCAUAUAUUAUUGGUUUUGUCAAAUAUAAAAAUUUAAAAUAAAAUUUAUUUAUUUUUUUAAUUUUUUGAAAAUUUAACCUUCAAGCAAUUUCCAAUUAUUUAUAUGAUUUGUGAUGUAAGAAUGGCACACACCAUUAAUACUUAAAACAUAAAAUAUAUAAUUUUAUGUAUCCAUGAGGGAAAACGUAGCAGGAAGAUUAUAAUCCUCCUAUGGUGUUACAACACAAACAGAAAAAAAAAAAAAAAAAAGGUUAAUUAUUUAGAUCGCAAUUAAGAGCACCAUUUAUUUAGUUGGAUUCCCCUCAUUAGAAUCAUCGAACUCUUUACCUAACAACAUAUCCAAGGUUGUAAGCAUAUUUGACGAGAUCUUCCAUCUCUGACAUGUCCACAACUCCAUCUCCAUUAGCAUCAGCAAGUUUGAUCCCUUGACGGGCCUUUUGAGCAGGGAACAUGGCACCGAGAUAAUUGAAAGCUUGUCUAAUCUCUUCCCUGCUAAGAACAUUGUCUCCGUUCAGGUCGAACUUCAUGAAAAUUUGCCUCACUUGGUCUUCAGUCAGGGGAACAGGAGCACUUUUGUAGUUGUUGGUACGGAAGGGAUUGGAGGGAACAUAAUAUGAACGUGGUGGUGGAGGAGUUGGAUUGCUUGGAAACCAAACAUCUUGGGGAACAGCAGGAGAUGAUCCCCAGAAACCAACAGCUGCAGGCUUGUCAUCACACAUUGAGGGCUUCUCCUCAUUCGUUGGCUGAUGGUUUGGGUAAUGAUAAGGAGUGAUGUUGUAUUCUCGGGAGUAUUGCAUAGAGUAAGCCAUGAUUUUCAAGUGGUUGAGUUCGUAGUUUUAUUUAACUUGCGAUGGAUUUGAACCCAUGGAAGCAACGCUUAUUUAUAAGGAGUUCGUAGUUUUGUUUUUUUUUCCCCACUUGCAUGAAUAAUAUUCUAAGUUAUCUUUGCGAAAAGUGGAACUACUUUUUGGCAAAUUCUAUAUGCCUUUUCUUUUUUUUUUUUUUUUUUAUUAAAGCAAACUCACAUAGUAUAGAUUCUCCACGUGUCCUACAACAUAAAAAUUCUCCACCACCAAAAUGAAAAUGCAAAUAUUCCUAAAUUUAGGAGACAAUUUAUCUCUCAAUACAAAGUAAGCUAUAUAUUUUUCUUAAACGAGUGAUAUGUGAUAUUUUUUAAUAAGAGUAUUAUUUAUUAUUUUUAUUGAGAAUUAAUAAAAAAUUUUCACUUAAAUUUAAAAAAAUUUACUAUAUAUUUUUUGUGACAUUAAAAAAACUCAUUAACUUAUUAUAUUGAUUCUGAAUAAUAUAUUAUGAUUUUUUAGAGUUUAAAAAAUUUAUUAAUUAAUUAUUUUAUUAGUUUUAAUUAUUUAAAAAAAAUAUGAUCCGUAGGUCUCAUUUUUAUAAAAAUAUUUAUUAACUAUUUAAUAUUAAAAAUAUUUAAAUUUUUUUAUAAUAUAAAUUAAUUAAUAAAAUUUUUAAAAUUUUAUAGAUAUUUUAAUUAAUUUUUAAAAAUUAUUAAUAAAUUGAAAUUACAAAUAUAAAUUUAGCAUAUUUAUAUUUCAAAGUAUUAUUUUAUAAAUUUGGUUAUAAUCGAUAUUUAAAAAAUUCCAAUACAUAGAAUUAGAAAUUUUUAAGUUUUUAUAAUAAUAACCAAUGAAAAUAUAUACACUUAUAAAUUAAAAAAAAAAACAAUUUCUAAACAAUCUCAUGAAAAAAAUUCAAUAAUUUAAGAAAUAAAUUUUUUAAAUGAGAAAAAUAUUUAAAUAAUGAUUACAAAAAUCAUUAUUAAUUAAUUCUAAAAUUAUUUAUUAAAUUAGUAAAUUAAAUAUUAAAACGAUUCAACUUUCUAAUUUUACUAGACUAGAAAGUAUUAUCAUCUGAUCAAAUUAAUUUUUUUUAAAAAAAUUUUAAUAAAUAUUAAUUUAAUUUAUAAAUUUUUUUAAUUUUUUUUUUUAAAAUUUGAAUCCGAUCUAACUUAUCUAAAAAUUAGCUUAAAAUAAAAGUGUCUAAAACACUUCUAAAAGACACAUCACCUAUAUUCUAAAUCGAUGUGGAAUCCCCUCACGUCCAAAACUACACUGAAACAUGACAUAUUUAUGAGAGAUUUAAUUUCGGUGGAAAACUCUAAUACCAUGUUCAAUUUGGGUCAAACCUAAUUUAUCCCAAAAAUUAGUUUAAGGAGGGAGAAGUGUUUAAAACUCUUAUAAAGGCUAUAUUGAUUUUAUUCUAAAUUGAUAUGAAAUUUAAAAUUUUUUAUUAGCUAAAAAACUUAUAAAUUUUAUUAACAUGAAAAGAACCAUCAAAAGAGGCUCUCAGAAUCAGCAAGUGAACUCCAUACAUCCAUCUUAAACAAACUAGCAACGUCUAAUGAUGAAAAAUACCUUAAAAGAAACACAAAAGGAAACAAAAACAAAAGCAAGGCAACAAAGUCGUACAAUCUAAGACUUCCAGAUUUAGCAGGAUUAUCAGUAAAGCAAUUUGUUUCCCCUUUUGAGGAUGGAUGAAAGUCACCGUUGCAACAGAAUGGUCCAAGAAAUUGAGCUUAAUUUCAGAGAGGAAAAUAAGACAACCAUCUGAUUUGGAGAAACUUUGUUGAAAAGUUUUAAUUAAUUUUAUUUAAAAGAAUUACCAUCAGUUAACUAGAUUUUAUUAAAAUUUACUAGUUUUUCCUUUUUUUUUUUUUAAUUAAUCAAUUAAAAUAUUUCACAUUUUAUAAACUCAAAUAAUUUAAUCAUUCUGCCUAAAGAAUUGCUAAUCAAUUUAUUUUAAUAUUAAUUAAAUGGACUAAAUUGUAUAAAUAUUUAUCAAUUAUGGUGACUAAAUAACAUAGAACUGAACAAUAUAAAUAUUUGAUAACUCAAAGAUCCACGAGAAACUAAAUUAAGGAAAGUAAAUAUUAUAGAUGAAUUUAGUAAAUGAGGGUAAUAAUAAUUUUGAGUUGAAAAUAUUUCGAAAGUUUGCAGAAAAUCUAUGAACACUCCUAAUAAAAUUUAUUUGGUCGUAAUUUAGUAAAAGUACUAUGAGAACAUACACGUGUUUUAAUCUUAGGUGUUUUAUAUAUUAUUAAUAUCCAAGACAGCCGGUAAUUCUUUUUAAUAAAAAAAUUAAAAAAAUAAAUUUUACAAAUAUAAAAUAUUUUAAUAAAUAAUUUUUAAAUAUAAAUAAAUUAAUAAAUUUCUAAAAAUUUAAAAAUUUAUAAUAAUUUUUCAUUUUAUUUCAUUCAAUUUUGGAAUCUAACUUACCUACAUUACUGCACUAAUUAAAUUACUUUUUUUUUUUUUUGAAAUGGGGAUGGGGAUUCGAACAUGAGAUUUAUCAGGUUUAACCGAAUGCACUUAACAUCAGAUUAAGUCUGGGAGUGCACUAAUUAAAUUACUUCUAAAUAAAUAUUUUUCCUUUUAUAUAUUUUCAAUUUUCAAUAUAUAACUCACUACAGGCAUCUAUGAGCCUUUUUUUCCUGUUUCAUGGAGGGAGCUUUUAUUCUCAUCUUAAAUAUGGAUUUUUUUUUUUUGAAAAGUUAAAUAUAAUAAUGAAAAUUAGAUAAAAUCAUGGCAAUAUUCAUGUAUGAAGUUGCAUACGAAAAUCAAAUACGUAUAUGAGUAUUCUUCUGACCACUUAGAAAAUUUGAGUUUAAAUUCCUCAUCAUAGUUAAUUAUAAAAAAUUUGGAAGUUCAUUUCAUUCUUUUGUUCGUUUUGAGAAUUUCAUAAACCAAAAAAUUGAAAUUAUUUUAAUUAAAUUAAUAAAAAAUAAUUUACAAACAAUCCAAUAAAUUUAGGAUUUUUAACAGCAUACCUCAUAUUAGGUUUAAAAUGCUUAAUCAUGAUAAAUAAAUUCCUUAUAAAAUACUAACGAGUAUUUUAUAAGGAAUCUGUAAAUGCUUAUGAGAUGGAAUCUGUAAAUCCUUGAGUUUUACUAGCUCGGAGGCUCUUUUAUUUCUGAGUAUUUUCAACCAAAUCUUGUCUGUAUAAGAUUGAAGAAGCGGCAAAUCUUCAACAUCUGCUAAACAGAUUCCUGAUACUGAAGCUCAAGUCCUGGAAUGCUAAUGUCUUUGGUUUGGCUAGCCCAAAACUCUUUGAGAUUAAUUUUCUGUAGAUCUAUUCGAAAGUUUUACGAAAGUUCGUGAUCUUACAACCUCUAAACAAGCUAUUUUACAACGUUGUAAAGCUGAUAAAGAAAUAUGGCAAAUGAUAAUGUGUGUCCUUGGAGGCAUCCUAAGAGAUCAUUUGGAACAUUUUCUCUGCAUUUUCUCUUGCCCAAUAGGUAUUGAUGCCUAUAAUGCUACAGAAUUCAAAGAAAUAGCAAAGGCCUUGGAACUGCUAUGCUCAACCUCUUUUCACCCCCAUAUCGGUUCUCAUUUCUUAGUAGAAUCCUAUUCUAUAGCUGCAAUUUCUUUGGCACAAAAUCUAGAUAGCUCACCAUGGCAUCUUUCUGGCAAACUCCAAUGCUUCUUCAUUAUCUUUGUUGCCUAAGGUUAAGUUUUGUCAUACUUUGCGGAAUGGAAAAUCCAUAGCUGGCUCUCUUGAUAAGCAAGGUGUAAAUAGAUAUGAAGACUUCGUGGCUUUCCACUAGUUCUUGGUAACUUAUCGCUACUGUAUUCUAUGCCUUAUAGUUGCCUUUUUAAUGGGUUGGUGCUGGCUAUAGCUUCUUUUUUUUUUGGGUUUGGAUUUGUUUGUUUUUCUUUUGCUCCUGUUGUCAUGAUACACAUACACCAAAUGCAAAAAAAUUUGAGUUAUUGAUAUGGUUUAGGAUAUUGUAAGAAUCACAGACAGAGUUAAAACUUAAAAUACCACAAACAUUGUAUAGGUAUAUAAACCCAUGAGGGGAAAACAUAGCAGGAAGCUUAUAAGCAUACAUGUUAAUUAUUGAGGUGGCAAGAGCACCAUUUAUUUAGUUGGAUUCCCCUCAUUAGAAACAUCCAACUCUUUACCUAACAACAUACCCAAGAUUAUAAGCAUACUUGACGAGAUCUUCCAUCUCGGACAUGUCCACAACACCAUCUCCAUUAGCAUCAGCAAAUUUGAUCCCUUGACGGGCCUUUUGAGCAGGGAACAUAGCACCAAGAUAAUUGAAAGCUUGUCUGAUCUCUUCCCUGCUAAGAACAUUGUCUCCAUUCAGGUCGAACUUCAUGAAAAUUUGCCUCACUUGGUCUUCAGUCAGGGGAACAGGAGCACUUUUGUAAUUGUUGGUACGGAGGGGAUUGGAGGGAAUAUGAUAUGAACGUGGUGGUGGAGGAGUUGGAUUGCUUGGAAACCAAACAUCUUGGGGAACAGCAGGAGAUGAUCCAAAGAAACCACCAGCUGCAGGCUUGUCAUUACACAUUGAGGGCUUCUCCUCAUUCGUUGGCUGAUGGUUUGGGUAAUGAAAAGGAGUGAUGUUGUAUUCUUGGGAGUAUUGGAUAGAGUAAGACAUGAUUUUCAAGUAGUGAGGGGAUUAAAGCAGGUAUUGAGUUUGUAGUUCUAUUGAACUUGCUAUUGAUUUGAAUCCAUGGAAGCAAGCUUAUUUAUAAGCUACUCCAGGUUUUUUUUUUCUUUUUUUUUUUUUUUCUUUUUUCCCACUUGCAUGAAUCAUAUUCUAAGUUAUCUUUCUGAAAAGUGGAUUCUAUAUAUCACAGAUAAGGAACUACUUUAUCUGACAAAUUCUAUAUGCCUUUUUCUUCUCCAUAAAGUAUUUUGAAAUGCAUGCAUGCCGUUUCUUUUUUUUUUUUUUUUCUUUUCCUGAUUAGAUUAUGGCAUUAAAUUGAUAAUCGCGGUGAUGAUUUAAUGUUAUUUUGUAAUUUAAAGAUUCAUAUGUAAAAUAAUUUAUCUUAUUCUUUGCAGCAAUUUGGGCAGUUUAUAUUGAGAUUGUGGCGAAUCCAUCCCUUUCAUGUACAAGAGGGUUCAAAGCUGUGAGUUUAUGUAGUUCUCAAUAUUCUUUUCCUGCUUACAAAUAAAAAUAAAAAUUAUUAUCUAAUCUGUAUGAUAUUGAAAAAAUAAUUUAUAAGCCUCUUAACUUUUAAAAAUAUAUUAAAAUUUUUAUAUAAUUUUUAAAAUAUCUAUUGAAUUUUUUUAGAAAGGCGUAAAAUUAAUAUGUAAAGUACCUAAACCUUUUUAUGUUAAAAAGUAAUUUUAGAAGAGUAAUUUAAAAAAAAAAAUUGUUCUCUAAUCUUUUGUGCUAAAAGUAAUCAUUUUCAAGUUAGCAGCAUGAGCCUUUUAAUAGAUUAUCAAAAUUAUUGGAAGGUUUUAAUUUACUUUUAAAAAUUAAUAGCUCAAUUAGUUAAUUUUUUUUAUAUUUAAAAAUUAAAUAAUAAUUUUAUAAUAGAAAUUUAAUAUUAUUUUCUGAAUAUAUUUUAUUAAGCAAGCAAGAAAUCUGAAGAGAAAAAAAUAAGAAACAAGAUAAUUAGAAAAUAAAAUCCUCUAAGACUUGAUACAUAUUGGGGCCUACAAUGUAGGAAUUUUUUUUUCUAAUUAAAGCAAACUUACAUAUUUAUAUUCUCCAUGUGUCCUAGAACGAAAAAAAUUCUCCACUCACACACCACCAAAAUGAAAACGCAAAUUCCUUAAAUUAAUCUGUUUUUUAAAUUUUUGUUAAGGUCCAAAAGACUGAAGAGGUAUAUGAUGCAAAGUCAAAAGACUAAGAGAAAUACAAAUGAAAACACUCGAUAAAGCUCGAUUAAAACAACUCAAAAAAAUAAAAUCAAACAAACAAACCAAAUUAAAAAAAAAAAAACAAUUAAAUACAGAACCAAAUAAUCAGCCACUGAUCCACCGCACAGCCUACUCGGCUUGGAAUUCAGCAAUAAGAGACAUCAUCGGCCAUAUUAGCGGCAAUACAAACAACCUGAAAAAACUAAAAAGACUCAACACACCAACAAAAAAGCAACAUGCAAACAAUAUCAAGACAGAAAAAGUCCAUGACAAAGUAUUUUUAAAACUUCUUUAAGAUAGAAAACACUAGCAUAUCCGAGGAGGAGAUGACGAUAGAGUUGACGAUUCUAUCUUCACCGGCGAGCGUGGUGGUCACCGGACGUAACUAUACAGUCUCAACAUACCGAAGUCACAUCGGUAAGAAGUCUCUUGAGAAAAGAGAAAUAAACCAAUUAAAAGUAGGUCUAAAGAAGCCUUUACAUGGAUACCACGAGACUUGUAAAUGAGAAAGCAAAAAACUAAAUAAAAAUCGCCAAUGUGUUCGACGAAAAUGAGGUCGUCAAACAGAAGCCAAAACUGAUGGUUUUUCUGCCUCGAAGAGUAAAGAAACCACAAUCAAAGCUACCAACAACGACCCAAUUUUAGAAACAGACAAUACCUUAUAACUAAAAGGAAGAACACUAUUGUGCACACCAAUCGAUUUCUGUCCCCCAUAUUUUUGCCCUUUUCUUCUUUUCUCAAUCUUCUCGUCUUAUUAGAGUGCACAUUUCAGUCGGUUCGGUUUAAAAUUGAAACUAAAAAUUGAAAUUUUAGUUUUUAUAAAAAUCAAAUCGAAUCGAUUUUGAUAAAAAAUUGAAUCAAAUUAAAUUGGUCUAAUUCAAUUUGAUUCGAUUCCGUUUGAUCGGUUUCAAUUUUUAAUAAUUUUUUUUUUAUUUUUUACCAUUUAUUUUUAUUAUUUUAAAAUUUAUUUAAAAUAUUUUAAUUUUAAUAAUUUUAAUAUGAUCUAAUCUCUCCAUAUUAUUGAAAAUAAUAUAUUAUUAUCACUAAUCGGUUCAGUUUGAUUUUUUUAAUUUUUUUCUGAUCAAAAUCCAACCGAACCGAAAUAAUCAAAAUUAAUAAAAAAUCAAACUGAAUUUUCAAAUUAAUUUAAUUCGAUUGAUUUUUUUAAUUUAAAUAGAAUACUCAUCACCCUUAACUCUUCAUCUAUUUAUGUAAUAGUAGAAAUACAGUUGGUUACUAUAUAUUUCAUCAAGUCUCCCUCAACCUUUUGGGAUAUAUCUCCUUAAAUUUAAGAUAUAUAUAUAUAUAUAUAUAAGCAAAUUAUUUUUCUUAAACGGUUAAAAUAAUAUCAUCUUCUAAUGCAAGUAUAAUUUGCCACUUUUAUUGAAAAUUAACAUGUAUAUUUUUUUAAUUAAAUUUUAAAAAAUUUAAUAUUUAGCCUAUAUAAUAUGCAAACUCAUUAGUAAGUCUUAAUUUUAAAAAAUACAUUAAAAUAUUUCUAAACUUUUAAAAUAUUUAUUAAUUUUUUAUUACUUUUAACCAUUAACUAUUUUAUUUUAUUUAAUUCUUAUAAUAUAAAAAAAAUUUAUUAAUUGAUAUUUUAGUUUUAUAAAGAUAUUUACUAAUUAACUUCUCUGGAUUAUUUUCACAAUAUUUAACAUUUAAAAUUAAUAAAAAAAUUAAUUGGUAAAUUUUUUAAAUGUUUAUAAAUAUUUUAUUUUUAAAAAUUAAAAAACUGACUAAUAAUUUUUCUUAUAUUAUAUAUAUGAACCAAAUAGUAUAUUUUAAAAAAAUUAAUUUUAAUUAUUAUUAUUAUUAUAACUAACUUUGUUAGCUUUAGUUAUUUAUGGUUAUUUUUAUUUAAUCAAUAUAAAUCAAAUUAAUUAUUAAUAUUAAUGAUUUUACAUAAAAAUUUUCUAAGUAAGUCCUCAACUAUCACCGUAAAAUAGGGCCAUGCAGCAAGGGUUGAGAAACUGAUAAGCAGUUUCACUCAUAGAAAGAAAGACUUGAACGACCAGCUCGAGCAACCAUCAUGCUCAGAAUUAAAAGAAAAGACCCGGCCUUAGGACAAGUCGGCUUCAGGUCAGAUAGACCCGUCCUCUUAAGCGAUAAGACGAGUCUCCGUAAGAAAGUUACUAUCUACUAGCUACAAUCUUGCAAAUCUCCUGCGAUCACGAGAUUUCCAACUAAUUAGCCAAUAAAAAUACCAUAUUUUCUUGAGAUUAUAGGAAGAAAACUGUUUUUAUUUUCUUACCUCUUGUGUAGUAAGUUACAGUGUUUAUAUAGUACGUAAUAUGAACAAUUAGACCUUUGAUUGUGCUCUCAAUUAUGUCCUAGAAUCAUGCUAUGCUAAACAUGGUAAGAUUUGAUCACUGAUUGAUUUACAAUCAUGACAGAGGAUUCUUUCCAACACUCCCCCUCAAGUUGGUUCAUGUGGAUCUAGCAUACCCAACUUGCCCAAAACCUCAUGGAAUAUUCGUCCAGCUACUGCUUUGGUUAGGAUGUCCGCCCAUUGAUCCUCUGAUUGAACAAACGGUAAAGAUAUUAGACCACUGUCCAACUUUUCUUUGAUGAAAUGUCGGUCUAUUUCAACAUGUUUUGUUCGAUCAUGAUGAACUGGAUUUUCAGAAAUGCUUAUUGUUGCCUUGUUGUCACAACGGAGUUCAGCUGCAUCCUUUGAUCCAAGCUCAAACAUCAACUUUCUAAUCCAUAGGAGUUAUGCCAGUCCUUUUGCUAUUCCCCUGAAUUCUGCAUCAGCACUUGACAGUGCCACCACCUUUUGUUUCUUACUUUUCCACGUUACCAAAUUUCCUCCUACAAAGGUGAAGUAUCCUAAAGUAGAUCGUCUGUCGGAGAGAUCUCCUGCCCAACUUGCGUCCGUAUAUCCACUGAUACUGAAAUGACCAUUCUUUUUGAACAACAUGUCCAUCCCAGCUGUUCCUUUCAGAUAUCGAACGAUUCUCAAUGUUGCCUCCAUAUGGUCUUGUUUUGGAUUAUGCAUGAACUGACUUACCAAACUCACAGCAUAUGCCACGUCUGGUCUGGUGUGUGAUAAAUAAAUCAGUUUUCCUACCAGUCUCUGGUACCUCCCCCUGUCUGUGGGUCCUUCUUUUGAGUCCUUGCUCAACUCGUGAUUGACCAUUACUGGAGUAUCGACUGGUUUGCAAUCUAUCAUUCAUGUUUUAGUUAACAGAUCAAGAAUGUACUUUCUCUGUGAUAUCAAAAUUCCCUGGUCUGACCUGAGAACUUCGAUUCCAAGAAAAUAUUUUAACAUCCCUAGGUCUUUCAUCUCAAAUUCUUGGAAUAAGUUGUCCCUCAGUUGUUUGAUUUCAUCCACAUCGUCUCCAGUUAUAAUCAUGUCAUCCACGUAUAUAAUCAAACACGUGAUCUUCCUUCCUUGCCUCUUCAAGAAUAGAGUGUGAUCGGAGUUACUCUGUCGAUAUCCAUUGUAACACCCCGGAAACCGGUACCUCUCUGUAUCGGCCUAAAGUGCUCGGCACUAGGAUCCAGAUCGGCUUAAGGCUGCCUAGACCCGUAAUAAGCCUGCUAUGAACUCUGUGUACCUGGUAAAAUCCCAUACAUGAUCCAACUCGACUACUAAGUUUUACUUUCUUUCUCUGUAAAAACUACCAGACUUAACCUUUAAAACAUCAGACAUCUCAAUCUGAAAUAGCCCUCAGGGCUAAACCAGUGAUACUCUACCAAGUAACCUCCAUGCACUAUGCUCUGAAACAUAGAACCCACUCUGUAGGGUCAGCAUAUCAUAAGUUAACCUUGGCUACCAUAGAGUCACAGGAUUCAAACCUGGUCUUCUCUAAUGGCCUCUCUAUGGGUCACAGGAAUCAAACCUGAUCUUCCCUCUGCACUGGUCUUGGGUCAAGGGAAUUAAACCCUGUCUUCCCUCACAGUUAUAAUUCACUGGGUUUUCGAAACACAACAUCUAUUAAGUCUGGUUUGACUCAUUUCUCAUCAAGAAACAUAAAACAGGAUACAUGCAUACACUAGGGAUCAACAUACUAUAAAGAUCAACAUACACUAAAAGCAAAGCACAUUCUAACUUAUACAUACACGAUCUUACUAACUAUUACAUGCCUUUACAUCUAUCUCUUUAAUUUACAUCAUGUCCACUACUCUAUUACACAUGCAAUACUGGAGCCAACACUCUGAUGCUUCUGACUCCCCAGCUAACUCUGUACCUGCAAAACUGGGAUUAAGGGAAAGGGAUGAGCUAUAAAGCCCAGUGAGUAGAAACACUGAAAACAGUUCAUUCAUACACACUUUAUAUGAAAUGUGUCACAACUCAAACAUUCCACAUCUUGGAUUAGACAUGACCUCAAAACUCCCUCUGUCGGCACCCGAUUCCCGUAGGAACUCACACAGGAUUUUCACUGCCAUGACAGAUCGUGGGCUAUUGAUGUCGCCUUGGUCCAAUCCCCACUAUCAAUCAAUAAUGCAAUGCACCAUAUUCGUGAUUCUCAUGCAAUCACCCUAAUACAUAACAUGGUAUCCAUGAUGCAUGAACUAUGCUAACGCAUUCCAUUUUCUCAGUAUAAAAGAUUAAGUUUAGUUCUACUCACCUCUGCUCCUCUAGCAGCUACUGUACUGACUCUGAAAUCUCUAACUCUGAUGACCUCCUCGAACUCUAGGGUCCAAACCUACACAAAUGGACUCGCAUGAGGUGUCAAACAGACUCUGAAUAACUCUUAAACAAUUCCCCAUAAUCCCCUCUAAACCUCUGAAAAUAAUUACAUAAAUCAUGCAAAAAAAGGCUGAACAGAACACAUUCGGCGGCAGGUUCGGCGGCCGAAUGUCCUCUCCAGAGCCGAAACUCAUGCAUGUUCGGCGGCACCUUCGACGACCGAAUGUGCAUGACAGAUCCGAAAGUCCAUUCUUUCGGAGGCAACCUUAGGCAGCCGAAACGACCUCCUCAAGGGGUUCGGCGGCCGAAUCCUCCCUUCGGCGGCCGAACCUGAGUUCAUCCAGAACUUAGUUUCGUGCAUGAACAAGCCUGCCAAGCACCAACUCCACUCCACAAGAGGUUCGGCGGUCGAAGCUGGGUUCUCCAGAAGGCAGAACCUUGCUUCCUCUCAUGCACAACCUCUCCAAACUCACUCUAACAUGCAUAACUCAACUCCUCAACUCACAUAUAUUAUGGUAUAUGCACAAAGGGGUCCAAACUACCUAUUAACCCCAACAAAACAACUAACACAACACAUAAUCAUGCUUUCACCAUGAAAACAUCAAAACUAAACUCUAAAACCUAAACAUGCAACUCUACCCUUAACCUCUUUAAAAGCCGUUAAACCAAGAAAACAAGUAUAAAGACCUCUCUUACCUCCGGAAACUAGAAGAGGAACAACUUGCACUCAGCAAAUCCCCUUCACAAAGCUUCAAACCACCAAAACCUCUCUUUUCUCUCAAAACCUUCAAGACUCGUUGAAACACACUCAACCCUCUGCACGAGCUGAUAAAAGCUUGCAGAUGAGUCAAGGGAGACGUGGCCUAACCUCUGGUCAUGAUCUGGAGGUGAACACCUGGCCAAACCACGGACUGAGGAGCGUGCACAACUUACCGACCACCUCAGCUUCGGCUGCCGAAACUGCAUGCAAAACCAUGCAACUUUCGGGGGCCGAACAUAACCUUCGGGGGCCGAACAUUGGGCACUUUCGGCGGCCGAACUUAACCUUCGGGGGCCGAACACGACAGAAACUCCUUUGGCCAAUUCUCCACAAAACUCAACUCUCCACAAAACUCAACUCUUUUCUUAAUCAAAAGCUUAAAACAUGUUAAAACAUUUUAGAACAAACUUACUUUGACCCUUCUAGAAUCUCUGACAGCUCUGAAUUCCACCGGACGGUAAGAAUUCUGAUGCCUGAACUAGCCGGGUAUUACAAUCUUUCCCCCUUAAAAACAUUCGUCCUCGAAUGUUAAAAAACACACAAGAACAAACAAAACCGCAAACUAUUCCUGAACUUCACAGCUUUCGCUGCGCUACUCUGAUCCUUAUCCUUCUCUUUCUUUUUAUCUUUUCUCAACUGUCCUCUUUUCCCUCUUAACUCAAAUAAUCUCUCUGUGAAACUCUCUCUCUUUAAUUCUCAACAGAUCAUAUACCCAUAUCUGUACUCUGAUCAUACCAAACUGUAAAUCCACUCAUCUUUGAUUAGAACAGUUAGUAGAUCAACAAUUCUAACUAGGAACACCUGUCCUUAGUAGGGACUUUGUUAACUGUGUACAGUCAUAACAAAAUCUCAAGAGUCUAUCCUUCGUUUCCCGCAACAAUACUGAAAACAUUCCAGGGUGAGGUACUAAGUCAGAUAAAAUCUUUAUCUACUAAGCUUCUAUACUAUUCUUACAAUUCUUAACUCUCUUUCUCUCUCUGCAGGUGCCAUCCUGUAGGGAAAGGAAAGAAAUGGUUCCGCGUCCAGACACCACUCUCGUUCCAAACUCUAGUUCCCUAACAGAUGGAAAACCUGACAGCUCGUCUAGGAAACAUCUAGUACUCACUGGCAAUAGGCACUGAGGCUAAUUCCCUGUCCUGACUUUUAAACAUGCUCACACGAGCUAGAAUCUUCUGAUAACCUUUCCUUUGUAGCUAUGAGCCUGAUGGGCUGAUAUCAAACCUCUGAGCAUCUAUACUCUGGACUCUGUCCUGUCUAAGGACUACCACUGAUCCAUCCUGUACUCUGACCUUUCUUACUUUCACUCUGUUGGCACAAGAAGUACCAUGAGUAGUUAGCCAAUCCGCCCUAGAAUGACAUCACACAGUCAAAUCUAGAACCAUAAGGUCAGCUGGAUCGCAUCUACUCACCUCUACGCUGAACUGAACGGACUGACUCUGCCUCUGAUGGAUCAUACUCAGGUCUACCGACCCAAAGAAAACACUCUAAGCCCAGAAGUCAUCAAACCCCCUCUAUCAAUGGCUCACUAAGCAACAAGGAAAAUGAAACACUGGGUUUCAAAACAACCAGCAUACACAUCCAAGCACUUCUAAGUGAACGUAUCUCACGUCACCGUGCAUAAUGUGUUAGCCGCCUACUAAAUCAGGAUGAAGAUCCAAGCUAAAGCUAAUGGAACUUCCCUCGGGAAUCUACUAAAGAAAAGACUGACUCUUUUCUCUGCCUCAACUACCAACUAAUCCCAGACUGACUUUAUCCUCUUUCUACGCUCACUCUUACUCCUCUUUCUUUUGAGAAAUCAAUUCUCACGAUUCUUGGGUUUAUAACAACCUGAGAUAUUAAAAUCUCACAGCAACUUUUUCUAGCUUUUCUUUGAUUCACUAAUCCUUUAACUAUUAACUCUUCUCUGAAUCUUUGCCAUAAAACUGACAUCCUACUAGGAUCCUCACAAACAUACCUCAGAUUACUCAAAACAAAAUGAGCAUACCUGGCGCAGAGGUAUCAGAUGUGUCUGCCUCUCUUCCUUGCCUAUUGGCUUGAGCCACUCUAUCUGCUAAAGUCUGCUGGGACUGAACUAUCCAGGGCGCAAUAGGACACUCACGCAUCAUAUGCCCCUCCUGACCACAUCUAUAACAUCCUGUUGUCCCUGCAAGACAAACUCCCUUAUGCAUUCUUCCACAUCUCUCACAUUUUGGUUUACCUCUACCAGAACUUGGACCAGCUCCACUAGUCCCUAACUCCUUAUUCUCAGACCCUUUAAAACCUCUCACCUUUUUCUUUCUAGUUCUCCCCCACUUCACUCCUGUCCAAGUGGCUGUACUCCAAGUGGAAAGUUCAUUCGCUCCUACACCUGACAUUUUAGUCUCCCUGAUCUGAUCAUCUUCUUCUACCAUAUUUACCUGUACACCAAUAUCCCUUCUUUGUACACCUACCUCUAUCUCUCUCCCGUCUCCUAACAUUCCUUUUCGGUCCAUUUCUUCUCUAUUUUCCUCACAAGACCCUUCAGACGGAUCUGAUUCCACAGAACUACUCAUCUUAGUUCUCCUUAAGAACAACACACAAAGAAACAAACAUUAGCACACAUGUUCAUAUGAAACCACAUGAACGUACAAUAUAUACAUGCAUACAUAGCAUAACAUUAAUACCCAUGAAUAUACAUGUGUAUUUCACAUCAGCAUGCAAAACAACUUCCUAUCUUAGUGGACAUGAUUCUACUUAUUGUGCUUUGCCUUUCUAUGACUCUAAACCAACCUCUUUCCGAUGUGGGAUCUCUCUAAUCCUUGAACAAACAUGCUCAACACACCGUACUUAGGAGGUCCUAUGCUCUGAUACCAACUGUAACACCCCGGAAACCGGUACCUCUCUGUAUCGGCCCAAAGUGCUCGGCACUAGGAUCCAGAUCGGCUUAAGGCCGCCUAGACCCGUAGUAAGCCUGCUAUGAACUCUGUGUACCUGGUAAAAUCCCAUACAUGAUCCAACUCGACUACUAAGUUUUACUUUCUUUCUCUGUAAAAACUACCAGACUUAACCUUUAAAACAUCAGACAUCUCAAUCUGAAAUAGCCCUCAGGGCUAAACCAGUGAUACUCUACCAAGUAACCUCCAUGCACUAUGCUCUGAAACAUAGAACCCACUCUGUAGGGUCAGCAUAUCAUAAGUUAACCUUGGCUACCAUAGAGUCACAGGAUUCAAACCUGGUCUUCUCUAAUGGCCUCUCUAUGGGUCACAGGAAUCAAACCUGAUCUUCCCUCUGCACUGGUCUUGGGUCAAGGAAAUUAAACCCUGUCUUCCCUCACAGUUAUAAUUCACUGGGUUUUCGAAACACAACAUCUAUUAAGUCUGGUUUGACUCAUUUCUCAUCAAGAAACAUAAAACAGGAUACAUGCAUACACUAGGGAUCAACAUACUAUAAGGAUCAACAUACACUAAAAGCAAAGCACAUUCUAACUCAUACAUACACGAUCUUACUAACUAUUACAUGCCUUUACAUCUAUCUCUUUAAUUUACAUCAUGUCCACUACUCUAUUACACAUGCAAUACUGGAACCAACACUCUGAUGCUUCUGACUCCCCAGCUAACUCUGUACCUGCAAAACUAGGAUUAAGGGAAAGGGAUGAGCUAUAAAGCCCAGUGAGUAGAAACACUGAAAAUAGUUCAUUCAUACACACUUUAUAUGAAAUGUGUCACAACUCAAACAUUCCACAUCUUGGAUUAGACAUGACCUCAAAACUCCCUCUGUCGGCACCCGAUUCCCGUAGGAACUCACACAGGAUUUUCACUGCCAUGACAGAUCGUGGGCUGUUGAUGUCGCCUUGGUCCAAUCCCCACUAUCAAUCAAUAAUGCAAUGCACCAUAUUCGUGAUUCUCAUGCAAUCACCCUAAUACAUAACAUGGUAUCCAUGAUGCAUGAACUAUGCUAACACAUUCCAUUUUCUCAGUAUAAAAGAUUAAGUUUAGUUCUACUCACCUCUGCUCCUCUAGCAGCUACUGUACUGACUCUGAAAUCUCUAACUCUGAUGACCUCCUCGAACUCUCGGGUCCAAACCUACACAAAUGGACUCGCAUGAGGUGUCAAACAGACUCUGAAUAACUCUUAAACAAUUCCCCAUAAUCCCCUCUAAACCUCUGAAAAUAAUUACAUAAAUCAUGCAAAAGAAGGCUGAACAGAACACAUUCGGCGGCAGGUUCGGCGGCCGAAUGUCCUCUCCAGAGCCGAAACUCAUGCAUGUUCGGCGGCACCUUCGGCGGCCGAAUGUGCAUGACAGAUCCGAAAGUCCAUUCUUUCGGAGGCAACCUUAGGCAGCCGAAAGGACCUCCUCAAGGGGUUCGGCGGUCGAAUCCUCCCUUAGGGGGCCAAACCUGAGUUCAUCCAGAACUCAGCUUCGUGCAUGAACAAGCCUGCCAAGCACCAACUCCACUCCACAAGAGGUUCGGCGGCCGAAUCUUUACUUCGGCGGCCGAAGCUGGGUUCUCCAGAAGGCAGAACCUUGCUUCCUCUCAUGCACAACCUCUCCAAACUCACUCUAACAUGCAUAACUCAACUCCUCAACUCACAUAUAUUCUGGUAUAUGCACAAAGGGGUCCAAACUACCUAUUAACCCCAACAAAACAACUAACACAACACAUAAUCAUGCUUUCACCAUGAAAACAUCAAAACUAAACUCUAAAUCCUAAACAUGCAACUCUACCCUUAACCUCUUUAAAAGCUGUUAAACCAAGAAAACAAGUAUAAAGACCUCUCUUACCUCCGGAAACUAGAAGAGGAACAACUUGCACUCAGCAAAUCCCCUUCACAAAGCUUCAAACCACCAAAACCUCUCUUUUCUCUCAAAACCUUCAAAACUCGUUGAAACACACUCAACCCUCUGCACGAGCUGAUAAAAGCUUGCAGAUGAGUCAAGGGAGACGUGGCCUAACCUCUGGUCAUGAUCUGGAGGUGAACACCUGGCCAAACCACGGACUGAGGAGCGUGCACAACUUACCGACCACCUCAGCUUCUGCUGCCGAAACUGCAUGCAAAACUAUGCAACUUUCGGGGGCCGAACAUAACCUUCGGGGGCCGAACAUAACCUUCGGGGGCCGAACAUUGGGCACUUUCGGCGGCCGAACUUAACCUUCAGGGGCCGAACACGACAGAAACUCCUUUGGCCAAUUCUCCACAAAACUCAACUCUCCACAAAACUCAACUCUUUUCUUAAUCAAAAGCUUAAAACAUGUUAAAACAUUUUAGAACAAACUUACUUUGACCCUUCUAGAAUCUCUGACAGCUCUGAAUUCCACCGGACGGUAAGAAUUCUGAUGCCUGAACUAGCCGGGUAUUACAUCCAUUUUUCUUCAUUGCUUGAGUAAAUCUCCCAAACCAUGCUCUGGGUGACUGUUUCAACCCAUACAAGGCUUGCCUCAAUCGACACACUUCUCCCCUUCUAUAUCCACUCAUGAACCCUAGUGGAGCAUCCAUGUAUACUUCCUCUUCCAGAUCACCAUGCAAGAAAGCAUUUUUUACAUCAAAUUGGUGAAGUGGCCAGUCUAGGUUUGCAACUAGAGAGAAUAGGACUCGUAUUGUAUCAAUUUUUGCUACUGGAGAGAAUGUUUCAGGAUAGUCAACUCCAUAAGUCUGAGUAUAUACUUUUGCUACAAGUCUAGCUUUAUAUCUGUCCACCAUUCCGUCUGACUUGUACUUUAUGGUAAACACCCAUUUGCAUCCCACUGGUCGUUUUCUCUUAGGUAGCCAGCAUUUUUUCCAGGUCUUGUUUUUCUCCAGGGCAUCCAUCUCGGUCUCCAUCGCCUCAACCCAUCUUUUGUCCUUCUGGGCCUCUGUGGCAUCCUUUGGUAUCCAUUCUGAGCAAAUAUUUUUUUGUAGGUUGACCAACUGAGGUGAUAGUUUUUCUCCUCUGGUAACGUUUGCCACAUGGUAUCUAGACUUGGCUGCCUCGAAUUCUGGAUCAUAUCUCCUGGGUGGAAUUCCUCUAUUAUUCCGAGGGGGUAGAAUAUAUUGGCCUGUUUCAGGAACCUCAAGGGAAAUGGGUUCACUGGUGAGGUUAUUAGGAACAGGGAAAAGUUCAGAUUCACAUACCUCAGUUGUGUGUUCCUCAGGAUAUUCUACGGUGUCAGGUUCUGGUUGUGACAUUGAGGCCGAGGACUGUACUAAAUGGUCAGUGUCUCCCGGUUCUGGUGUAGACUCAAGAAGGGAAGAAUGAUCAAGUUUUGGCCCCCCCCCCCUGACUAAGCCAAUUUGGCAGUGGUGGUGAUUGUGCCGCUGUCUCCCCCUCACUGCUAGUUGGCGAGGGAAAAAAAUAUUCCUCUUCCAGAAAGGUGCAGUCCAUGGUGGUGAAGAUCCGUUUAGAGAUUGGGUCAAAACACCGAUAACCCUUUUUAUGUACACCAUAUCCAAAGAAAACACAUUUAAGAGCACAUGGAUCAAGUUUAGUGCGGUGUGUUUUAGGAAUGUGAACAUAAACUGUGCAGCCAAAAAUUUUAGGUGGAAGGUUGAGAUGGGAAGGGAUGGUAUGAUGAGAGGACAAGGUAUGCAAGGGAGAUUGGAAAUUAAGAACGCGAGACGGAAGUCGAUUGAUGAGGUAAAUGGACGUGGCAACUGCUUCAGACCAAAACUUAGGAGGAACUUGGGCUUCAAACAAUAGGGCUCGGGCAAUCUCAAGAAUAUGUCGAUUUUUCCUUUCAGCGACCCCAUUUUGCAAGAUUAUAGGAAGAAAACUGUUUUUAUUUUCUUACCUCUUGUGUAGUAAGUUACAGUGUUUAUAUAGUACAUAAUAUGAACAAUUAGACCUUUGAUUGUGCCCUCAAUUAUGUCCUAGAAUUGCUAUGCUAAACAUGGUAAGAUUUGAUCACUGAUUGAUUUACAAUCAUGACAGGGGAUUCUUUCCAACAUAUUUAUCUCCAUUUUCUUAUAGCAUAAAAGGAGAACGAUAUCAGAGAUCGAAGUAUGCUAUCUUCUCACACAAAUACUCUGAACUUUAAGUAAUUUUUUACUCCCGCCUUGUUUUUCAGUUUACUGACUUGAGUAUCAGAGUGGCUGUCGUAGGUGUCAACCACCUCACACACACUUUCUCGCAGGAUUAGCCAAUCGUGCACAACAACUCAGUUCCGCUUUGGCCACAUCACCAUUUUUCAGUUCCAGCAACAUCAUUAGUUUCGCUGUCGGGAGAUCCAUUGAAUUUUCUCUGUUUAUUUGGAUUAAAACCGAUUUUCUAUCCCUUUUAUCUUAAAAGAAACCUUUUCUUUUAUUUUCUUUUGAAUGGUUGGCAUUUCACGAGUUGAUAAUAAGGUUCCUGCCAAUGAAGAUACCAUUAUAUCUUCCAUUCCUAGCAAUGAAUAAAUCACAUCUUCUAGGGUUCAUGAGCCAAAUUUUAACAAUAUGAGCACUGAGCAAAUGCUUCAGUAUGUCAGAAGAUUACGGAUUAUUUUUUAGUGGUGGAAAGCUCGGGAAGAGACGUCACUCAUGGCUCCUAAAACAAGAGAGGAAGUCUCCAUUGAUACCUUAAAGUCUCGGCCAGGAGCAAUCCAGACAUGGUCCAAAGGGAAGAACAAGAUCGAGGAAGAUGAGGUAUCAGACGAUGCUCCGAAAGACAUCGACCGGAGGCUAAUACAAGCUACUCCAAUGUACCAGGGAGGAUAGAAAGAAAAUAAAAAGAUGAGCCAAAAGCAAGACCAAAAGUAAAAAAAAAAAUAAAGAUAUGAGAGAGAUCACAAAAGUGACCAAGUCUCCCAAAAGAGGGAGAAUCAAAGUAAGUGUAAGAAUUAUAGUCCAUUGAAUGAUUUAUGAAUACAUAUUCUAAUGUGGAUUAGGAAGAGUGACAGGUAGGUCGGGUGGCCUCUCAAGCUCAAUCCAAAGGAAGCUGAAAAGCGAGAUAGGACUAGAUAUUACUGUUUUCAUAAAGACCAUGGAUAUAUAAUAGAGGAGCGCAGGCAUUUGAAAUGCGAGAUCGAAAGGUUAAAAACGGCACACUUCGAAAGUUCAUCAGAAAGAGUAGAAAAGAUAAGAGGUCUAAACUCGAGAUCACAAUUUCCAAAAUCACCCUUGACAGUAAACCUAUGAAAGAUUAUUCAUGUGAUUUAAGGAGAACCGAAGUUAAUAGGGGACCCCUGAAUCAAACUCUAAGAUUUUGAUAUUAGUCAAGUUAGAUAACCGAGUCUUUUAUUUUAUUUCUAAAAAGAGGUAAUUCGUGAAAAAUAUUAUAAAUAAAAGUAUUAUGUAUUCUUUAACAUUUUCUUUUAUCAAAAAAAUUGGAUGGAUAAAAGUGUGGAGAUAGAACCAAAGGCCAUAAGGCCGUCCGGACAGGGUCUCAGACUGGGCAUGGGUCCCACACAUAUAUUAGUCUUUGAAAACAAAUGCCACAAGGCUAUCCGGACAGAGGUCCCAGAUCGGGCAUAAGUUUUGCACAUAUUUUAGGCAUUGGUCCGCAGAAACAAAGAUCACAAGACCAUUCAGCAGAGGUCCCGGAUCGGGCAUGGAUCCCGCAUCAUAAUUUGGACGUUGAUCCACAGAAACGAACUCAUAAAAGCAAUGGAUAACUCAUCAGCAAUUGGACGAGUGUCGCUCAUGUAUUCGGCUACAGGGUGACUGCCUUUGGUGAUACGAGCAAGUUGGUCUUGUAAAUGAAUGAUUCGGGUUUGAGAUUUGCUGCCAAAAGCAGUUUGAAGAGAGGUCCAUACUUUGCAAGCAAUGGAAGCAUUUGUGAUCGAAUAAGCAAGUGUGGGAACAACAGAAGCUAAUAUGGCAUUAUGAACUAAUUUAUCUUGUUGAAACCAUUUCUGGUAAGCCGGAUUGGAAGUAGUAUUGUUGUCAAUAGUGAUUGUUUAUGGUGGGGCAGGGAAGCUACCAUCUAGAUAGCCAUGAAUAUUGUGUCCAUACAUUGAGCAUGGAGACUUGGGAUUUCUAAGUUGUGUAGUUGCUGCUGCCUGUGAGUUUGAGAGGUAACUGAGAUGCUGGAUUAAAUUGCACUACAAUGUUAGUGCCGGUGGUGAUGUCAGAGUUGACAGCGUUUAUAGUUGAGGCCAUUAUGAGAUCGGAAACUGUGGGCGACGAAGGGAAAAAUAAAUAAAUCAAUACUCGUUGGAGUGUAUUAUUACUCUGAUACUAUAAGAGAUAUUUAAGUAAAUGGAGAAAUUUAUAUUUUAUUCAAUAAUAAAUUAAGUAUAUAUAAGUAAUAUAUUCAACACAGUUCUAAAAUAAUCUCAAUAAUAUAAUUGAAAUAUAAAAAAUAAAAAAAUAAAAAAUCAAUCAAUAAAAAUUAAAAUUAAGAAAAAUUAAAUAAAAAAAUAAUAAAAUAGUGGACUUGGUGAUCAGCAUUUGAAACAGUUGGUUAUUAAUUUGCAGCAGAAUAAAGACAUCUCUUGCUAAUUCCGUCAAAAAUAUAAAAGGAUGAACGAGGAAUUUGUGGGCUAUAUAUGAACGAGGAAUUGUGAGCCCACAAAAAUAACCUUAAUUUAAAUAUUAUUUUAUAAUUUUAAUUAUAAUAUAAUUAUAUGUUAGAAAUUCUUAAUAAUAAUUUAAGUAAAAGCCUAUUUAUGUGCAUACAGUAGUAUUAUUUUAGAAUUUUGAUUUUAAUAUAAUUAUAUUGUAAAUGGAAAUCAAUUGUCUUUUUAAAAUUAGAAUUCUAAUCAAUAUUUACAUUUAAAUAUAAACAUUUUAAUUUCAAUUUAAUUUUAUUUAAAUUUUAAAUGCCUUUAAUGGCUAAGUCUAUAAAAAAAAAAAAAGAAUUUUGAACAAUAAUAUAAAUGAAACGUUGAGAAUCUACGCAUGUAAAUUGUGGAUAGUGUAUGUGUAUAGAUUAUAUAGAAUUAGAGUGUUUAAAAUCACCAUAAUUUUAAAAUUAAUUGUUUUUUAAUAAAAAAAAUUAAUUUUAUAAAAUAUAAAAAUAUUUUAAUUAAAUAAUUUUUAAAUAUAAAUGAACUAAUAAUUUUUUACCCAUUAUAAUUCUCUCAUAUGGUUUGGAAUUUUUGUUUUAAAUGAAAAUUGAAAAUUGAAUAUUGAAAAUUGGAGAGUAGAAUUAGACAUCUAUUAGAUUUACUCAAAUACACUUAUUAUAAGACUAAAUUUGUGAGUGCAUAGUUUGGGAUAUUAUUAAAUUUUAAAAUACCACAAACAUUAUAUAAAUAUAUAAACCCAUGAGGCGAAAACAUAGCAGGAAACUUAUAAGCAUACAUGUCAAUUAUUGAGAUGGCAAGAGCACCAUUUAUUUACUUGGAUUCCCCUCAAUAGAAACAUCCAACACUUUACCUAACAACGUACCCAAGAUUAUAAGCAUACUUGACGAGAUCUUCCAUUUCUGACAUGUCCACAACUCCAUCUCCAUUAGAAUCAGCAAGUUUGAUUCCUUGACGGGCCUGUUGAGCAGGGAACAUAGCACCAAGAUAAUUGAAAGCUUGUCUAAUCUCUUCCCGGCUAAGAACGUUGUCUCCAUUCAGAUCGAACUUCAUGAAGAUUUGCCUCACUUGGUCUUCAGUCAGGGGAGCAGGAGCACUUCUGUAACUGUUCACACGGCGGGGAUUGGAGGGAAUAUGAUAUGAACAUGGUGGUGGUGGAGUUGGGUUGCUUGGAAACCAAGCAGAUUGGGCAACAGCAGGAGAUGAUCCCCAGAAAGCACCAUUUGCGGGCUUGUCAUUGCACAUUGAGGGCUUCUCCUCAUGCAUUGGCUGAUGGUUUUGGGAAUGGAAAGGAAAAGGAGUGAUGUUAUAUUCUUGGGUGUAUUGGAUAGAGUAAGACAUGGUUUUCAAGUGGUGAGGGGACUUAAACAGGUUUUGAGUUUGUAGUUUUCUUGAGCUUGGGAUGGAUUUCAAUCCAUGGAAGCAAGCUUAUUUAUAAGCUGCUCCAGGGAUUUUUUUUUUCCCCACUUGCAUGAAUAAUAUUCUAAGUUAUCUUUCUGAAAAGUGGAUUCUGCCACAGAUAGGGAACUACUUUAUGGCAAAUUCUAUAUGCCUUUCCCCACUGCAUACGGUAUUUCGUGAAAUUAUAUAUUAUUCUGAAAAGUAUACUUUCUUUUUUUCACCCAUAAUUCUCUAAUAUAUAUAGAAAAUGAAAAGAGAAUAAUAAUGAGAUUUUUAAAUUACCCAUAAUAAUUUUAUUUUGUGACUGUCCAAGAUCAAAUUUAAUUAGUUAUAUUCAAAAUUAUUUUAUUUUAUUUUUUUUAUUUAAAAAUAUUUUAGAGUUCAUAUAGAUUCAAAUUAUUUUGUAUUUAAAUUCUAUUUAAUUGUUUUAAAUAAAAUUCUAAAAAAUUAACUUUAUAGUUAAAAAUUAUUAAUUACUUGUAUAAAAAUGUAAUGUUGAAAAUAAUAGAAUUACCUAGAUUAUCCGUAAGAUUUUAUAUUAUUUACAAUGAUAUUUUUAUUAUUAAAUUAAUUUUAGAAUUCAUGUAAAUUAGUUAUUUUAAUUUAUAUAAUUUCAAUAAUUAUUUUCUUUUUAAAAUGAUGGAAAAAAAUCAAAGCAUUAGUAACUAAUUGUGUUAUUAAAAAAUUUAGUAUAUUAUUUUGUUAUAGAGAUAGAAAUAAUAUUGUUUUUAUUUAAUUAAUAUAUAUUUAUAAUGAUUACUAUAAAAAAAUUUAGUAUAUUAUUAAUAAUUGACUCACUUUUUAUAUUUUAAAAGUAAAAGAGAAUCAACCAUGUAUUAAAUAAUUAUUAUUAUUCGAUAAAUUAAAAUAUAUGAAAAUAUAUUUAUUCUACAGACUAUACUUUUAUAUGUUAUAUAUAUAUAGUUUUGUUUUCAUUUUUCUUUUUACAAUAUAAUUGUGAUUUUCAUAUUACUAUUAUUAUUUUAAAAUAAUAUUAAUUCUUUUUGAAAUUUAAAUUUUUAUUAUUUUUAAUUUAAAGAAAAAACUUAACAUAUAAGAUUCAUACUACAUUUAUAAUUAAUAAAACACCUAAAAUAUACUCAAUUUUUUUAAAUGGAAAAUAUACUCAAUUUAAAAUAUUAAGUAAAAAAUUUUAAAAAAAUUUAGAAUUAAGAAUAUUACAAGUCCAAAUAUACAAGUAGGGUUGAGUAGUAUUCGGUUCAAAUAAAAAAAAUUAAUCGAAUAGAAUUAAUUUAAAAAUUGGGUUCAGUUUUUUAUUCAUUUCGAUUCGAUUUAGUUUUUUAUUUUAAAAAUUUUGAUUAUUUCGAUUCGAUUCGCUUUUAAUAAAAAAAAUCAAAAAAAUUAAAUAAAUCAAAUCGAACUAAUUAGUGGUAAUAGUAUAUUAUUUUCAAUAAUAUAAAAUGAUUAGAUCAUAAAAUAUUUUAAUUAAAUUUUAAAAUACUUUAAAUAAAAAAUUUAUUAAAAAUUUAAAUCGAUCAAACCGAACUGAAUCGAAUUAAAUCAAUUCGAUUUAAUUUAAUUUUUAAUCAAAAUUAAUUUAAUUUAAUUUUUAUAAAUACUAAAAUUUCAAUUUUCGAUUUAUUCGAUUUGGUUCGAUUUUAAUUGUUGACCCCUGUAUGUAUAUAAAAGUAACUAUUUAAUUUAUCUUUCCAAUCCACUAAAUUCAAUCAAACCAUUGUGAAAGGAUGAUGUCUGCACCAUGGUUAACGACAUCCAAUCAAACUAUUACAAUCCACCAAUUGCUCCAAUUGGCAGAACCAGAAAAGGUUCCUUGCUAAAGAGAAGAACCAGAAAAGAGGACAAAAAUGGAAGGCAAAAACAUGGCAGCAACUGCAUCGGACUGAACCGAUGCCGUUUUGCCCCGGAUUACCCAAAGAUGAACCGUCUAUAUAUGUUACUAUUUGGUGAAGGGGAGACCAUGCUAGAGGAGGUCUGAUUUUUCUAUUGUUGGAAAAGAAACGAAUUGCAUUGGACUCUCCUGACAAUUGCAAACCAGAGUGCGGGAAGCUUUUACAAUUUCCUUUUAUCCAUAAGGAUGCAAGAUAAUGGAGCAAAGAGAAGAGAAGCAUGGGUUCGUAGCUUUAAAAGCUACUUCAUUGCCAUGAAUCCACAAGGACCACAAAAUUCUUAAAAAAGGGGCAGCACCAAAAAUUUCUCUGCAUUUUACCAUUUGCUAAAAGCUACAACUGCUUAAAAAGAUAUAUGCCACCUUUAGAGGUAGGCUAAAUUGCACCUUCAUAACCAUUGCAAAGAAAAAUACCAAACCCUUGUUGAGAAAUUACAAUGAAUAAAAACAUGAUUAACUUCCUUUUUUUCAAAAAAAAAAAUACAUGUCUUUAAAUUUAAGGGAUAUAAUUUACUCUCUUACAUUACCAAUUUAAUUUUUAAUUAGAAAAAAAAUAAAAUAAUAAAAUAAAUUUUAAUUUGUUUUGAUUCUAACCAAUUUUAUAUAUUUUUUUAGAAUUACGGACACAGUUGAUAAAAGAAAUUUAAAUACCACACAAUGGGGGAACAUAAAGCAGGAAGAUUACAAUCCUCCUAUAGUUUUACAACACAAGUAGAAAGUGAAAUAAAAGAGAAAGAAAAAAAAAAAAGUGUGGGUGGAAAUUGCAUUGCAUGAUAAUUAUUUGGGAUGGCAAGAACACCAUUUAUUUACUUUCCCCCUCCAAGUGAUUAGCAACUUGAAACUUUUUACCGAACAACAUACCCAAGAUUGUAAGCAUACUUGACGAGAUCUUCCAUCUCUGACAUGUCCACAACUCCAUCUCCAUUACCAUCAGCAAGUUUGAUCCCUUGACGGGCCUUUUGAGCAGGGAACAUUGCACCAAGAUAAUUGAAAGCUUGUCUGAUCUCUUCUCUGCUAAGAACAUUGUCUCCAUUCAGGUCAAAUUUCAUGAAAAUUUGCCUCACUUGGUCUUCAGUCAGGGGAACAGGAGAACUUUUGUAAUUGUUCACACGAUGGGGAUUGGAGGGAAUAUGAUAUGAACGUGGUGGUGGUGGUGGUGGUGGAUUGCUUGGGAACCAAACAUCUUGAGAAACAGCAGGAGAUGAUCCCCAGAAAGCACCAGCUGCGGGCCUGUCAAUACACAUUGACGGCUUCUCCUCGUACAUCGGGUGAUGGCUUGGAGGAUGAAAAGAAUUGACCUUGUCAUAAAACAUUGGCGGCCUCUCCUCGUACAUUGGCUGAUGGCUUGGGGAAUGAUAAGCACUGAAGUUAUAAUCUUCGGAAUAGUGGCGAGAAUAAAACAUGAUUGAUUUUCAAGUGCUAAGGAAACUAAAACAGGUUUCGAGUUUGUAGUUUCCUUGAACUUGCAAUGGAUUUGAAUCCAUGGAAGCAAGCUUAUUUAUAGCUGCUUCAGGCUGUUUUUUUUUCCCCACUUGCAUGAGUCAUAUGAUUCCAACUUAUCUUCCUAACAAGUGGAUUUGCACUUACCUUCAUUUUUAUUUAUUUAUUUAAUUUUGCCUUGGUGAGUGCUGAUCUUAUUAUUUGAUUCUUUUGUUAUACAUAUAAUUUACUUAUUUAUAAUUCCAUGUUCUUUUAGAUUGGUUGUUAAUAAGUAAAGGAGAACUUGAGAUGGCAAUACGUAGUGGAGAAUGUAUUACACGAGGCUCACGAUAUAAAGAUAGAUGCCUUCAAAUACAUUUCAUUUUGGACCACCUUAUUUAAUCAUCAAUGCUUUAAAUUAUCAUAAUUCUUUCGAGUUACCUGAUUUGAAAUAAAAUUAAUGAAUUAAAAUUUACUUUCUUUUUUUUAUCAUUUUUAUUAGUAAAUUAUAAUAUUUAAGAAUUCGAUUAUAAUCCAACAAUGACGGACAGCUAGAUCUAGUUCGAUUUACAGAGUGCACUAUUUUUUCCUUUGAAAGAGAUUAAAGCAAAAAAAUCUAAAAUUAAAACCAAUGGGGAAAGGUAAUGGACGGAGGGCCAGACUUCCUCCAAUUUACUCAUCUUUCUAAAAGUUUUUUUUUUUUUUUUUUUUUUGAAAUCAAUGAUUUACUCAUCUUUCUUAAUCAUAUGAUACGAAAGUUUUGGAAUAUAAUUGAAUGAAGUGGCAAAAUAUUAGUGAGAUGGAAAGUUGGCCAACAUCAUCUUCAAGGCAUUUUUCAUGUCACGUCACCAAUGAGUCCACCCUCCUUGGUCGGUUUUAUAGAUUCUUCUAAAAGUAUACUUACAUUUUUUGCUUUUAAAUCUCAAGAAAUCCCUAUCCUGUGAUUUCAAGCAAACAGUCUGAUACAAAUAAAUUUUAUAAAUAAAAAAAAAUCCUAAAAUAAAUAAUAUUAAGUUUUUUUUUUUCUGAAACAAAUAUUUUUAUCUGAUACAAAUAUUUUAUAAUUACACCAUUUUUAGAAAAUUAAAAAAUUUUAAAAAUUUCAAAAAUUAAGCAGUUAAGAUUAGAAUUGAAUGAUGAGAAUAAAUUCCUAGUGAAUAUAAAGAAAGAAAUGAGCCAAGUAUUCAUAAUAUAUUAUUUUGCUCGAUUCUCAUGAAAGAUAAAUAGUCAAAAGAAUAUUAGAAAGAAAGGGCAGUAGUGGAUUUUAUUUCAACAAUAAUGAUGGACAGAUUUUUAAAAAAAAAAAUCAAAUCAAAUGGUUCUUAUUAAUGUGAUAUAAUUUAAUUAAAAUUUUAUAAAAUAUAAUUAGUGAUCAUAUUGGUGAAUGACAAGUUUGGUAUCUUAUGCUUUGCUGCAUUUUGGGCAAUUUAUAUUGAAAUUGUGGUGAAUCCAUUCUUUUCGUGUAAUCUCUGAGUUUAUGUCUUUUCCUGCUUAAUCAUAGAAAUUUUUGUACUAUUUUCUAUUAUAUUUUAAGCAAGCAAGAAAUUGGAGGCGUAAAUACUAGAUUACAAAUUAGAUUUUUAUAUGUAAUAAUUAAUUUAUUCAAAGAGGUAACUUUCAAAAAAUCAUAGUCUAUAGGUGAAAUUAUAAUUAAUCAAUUCGAAAGUUUUAUAUUAUGAUCUAAAAUAAUAUCUUUUAAGAAACGUAUUAAUAUUAGGGUUUAAGAGUUGUGCUCGUUCUUUUUCUUUUUUAAGCUUUCAGUGAGCUUUCCAAAGAGAUGAAAAUACUUUCCUCUUUAAUUUAAUCAUGUGAUUUGUACAACCAUAGUCAACAUUCUAAAUAUCUAUUUACGUUUUACUCAACUUGCAAAAAAAUUCCCUUUAGAACUGAAAUUGAUUUUUUUUUUUUAAAAAAAAAAAGAAUCGAAAAUUGAAGAGUAGAACCUAUCAAAUUUAUUCAUAUUUACUUAUCACCAAAUUAAGUCUGUGAAUACAUAAGUUGAAAUUAAUUUAUUGAUUUUACUUUACGAUAAAAUUUUUGAAUGUGACUUUAUUUAUGACAAAAAUUACAUUCGUAUAUAUUCUAUUCUCAUGUCUAUAUGGUUUGUCUUUUCAUAAUUACUAUAAGUUAGAAAAUUUUGCAAUCUCUAUUUUCAUCUUCAUUUCACCUUUAGUCACUAAAAUAAAAUGAUUGUACAAAAUUAAUAAAUGGAUAAAUGGUAUUAAACUGUGAUUAUUUCAGCGAAAAAUAUUUUGUAUAUAUAUGAAUAAUUUCUCAAAAAAAUAACUUAGUUUAUAUUAUUAUAUUAUAAUGUUAAUAAAAAUAUUUUAUCAAAAAAUAUUUUUUAUUAAUCAAUUUUUUUAAUGCUCAAAAAUUAAAAAAAAAAGUGAAAAAUAUUUCUUUCAAAAAUGUGAAACAAGCUUGUAAUGUGAACCAAUAGGUUGCAAAGUCCUCUUCUAAUAUAUUGGCCCACAAGCUUUAGGUUCUCGUGGGCUUUUGUUUAGAUAGGUUUUGUAGGCUAACUUCUCUUUGUAGGCUGAAACCCUCAUGUACUUAUAUCAGCAAGGGGUGAGCAUUCGGUCGGUUCGGUUCAAAACCGAACCGAACCGAAUAAAUCAAAAAUCGAAAUUUUAAUGUUUAUAAAAAUCGAAUCGAAUCGAUUUUAGUUAGAAAUCGAACCGAACCAAACCGGUCUGAUUCGGUUCGAUUCGGUUCGGUUUGAUCGGUUUCGAUUUUUAAUAAUUUUUUACUUUUUUACACUUUAUUUUUUAUAUUUUAAAAUUUAAUUAAAAUAUUUUAAUCUUUAUAUGAUUUAAUUUCUCUAUAUUAUUGAAAAAACAUAUUAUUAUCACUAAUCGGUUCAGUUCGAUUUUUUCGGUUUUUUCUGAUUAAAAUUGAACCGAAUCGAAAUAACUAAAAUUUCUAAAAUUAAAAACCGAACCGAAUCGAAAUGUAUAAAAAACUGAACUAAAUUUUCAAACCGAUUCAGUUUGAUCAAUUUUUUCGGUUUGAACCGAAUACUGCACACCCCUUAUCAGCAAAUGCGUUUAUAUCUCCACAUCUAAUCUUUACAGUCAUAUCAAGACAACAAGAAUAUUUGGGUUAACAGUUAGUUUUAUUAAAUGGGUGUAUUUGGGUUGCAUCUAUUGAUCUGGGAUUUGGUUUAAGUUGGGUUUUUUCCAUUAAUUUUUAUCUAACAAAAGUUUGUAUAGAAAAAAAAUAUGAAUAACCUUGAGAAAGGAUCUCCGCAUGGAUAGGUUUAAAAUCUUAAAUAAUUUCAAUUUUAGUAUGGAAUAUGAGUAUAAUUCAAUAAUAUUAAAAUUAUAUUCAAUUUGAUCGGCAAUUUUGUCCAUGAGAAAAAAAAAAAAAAAAGUUAAUGAAAGUGCCGAAAUUUUCUUCAAAGCAGCAACAAACUUGAGGAUCAAGGUAACUGGUGGAGGCGAUAAAGGAAGGAAACAAUCCUACACAUCUUCGUUUAUCAUGAUGAAAGCCCUCAAAACAUAUUUUCUUCGUCUGCAAGUUUUGGAAUCCAUCCAUCUUAGAAAAUUAAUCAAAUCGAAGAAAAUAAAAUUUAAUUUUAAUUGAGUAAGUUGAAAAUAUAUAAUGAUUUAUUUAAAUAAAAAAAAUAAAACCUACUUAGUAUGUUGCAUUAGCAGUAAAUUUUAAUUAAUUUAAUUUUAAUAAUUCAUAUACAACACUAAAAAAAAUAUAUAAUUGAAUAAAUAAUAUCUGCUGCAUUCAAACAAGAACAGAAUUAUUCAAAAUGAGGAGAAAUUGGUUGCAUCAUUAAUUCUUAUGCAAUAAUUAACAAAAUUCUACUUUUAGUCAUUUAUAGUAUUUCCUUAUAAAGGAAACCUUUUAUUAUUAUUACUUUUUUUUGGAAAUUACAAGAAGACCUUUUAUAUAGACAUAGAAAGUGAGAAUGCAUAUAAAUUCUAUAAAAAGGAAAAAAAAAAAAAAAAAGAGAAAGAAAACAAAAAGACAGUGAGGAAUGUUUGACUGUUUCUUAUUCUGUUUAUUUCGAUUUUAUAAAUAAUGAAAUUUUAAUUUUUGAUCUAAUUAAUUUAAUUUUAAAUCUAUCUCAUUAAAUACUAAUCCAACCAAUCAAAUUUCACCCCUAACUAAUUCUUUUUUUAACGAGUUGAAUUUUGAAUGAAAAAUGUUAAUGAAAAUAAAGGAGUUAAAAUUUUCAAUUUGCUCGGUAUUUGUGUCCAUGAAAAAAAAGAAACCGUCCAUGGAGGUGCCGAAAUUUCUUUAAACAGCAAGCCGUCCACUACAGCGCAAAGUUGAGGAUCAAGGUAACUUGUGGAGGCGAUAAAGGAGGAAGACAGUCCUACACCUCUUCUUCUUUCUCUCUCAAAAAGAUUUUCUUCAUUUGCAAGUUUUGAAAUCCCUAAUUCCCUAUUUUAUCUCACAUUCUUUUUUAUUUUCGGUUGAUUAUAAUAAUAAAUUUAAUAACUGUUAAUAUAAAUAUAAAAUCAAUAUUUAUAUAAGAUUAUGAGCCCAAGCUAUUUUCGUAUUCAAAUCCCGCAAGUCCUGACGUGCAACGGCUACUUUUCCAAUUAAUUUCUGCCACGUUUACUUCGGCCCGUGCUUUGCGACUUGCUUCUCUAUAAAAUUAUUUAAUAAACUUAGUAUUUAAUAAAAACAGUAUAUUUAUUGUUCUCUUAAAAUGUAAGAUUUGCUGUAAAUUUUUAAUUAAUUUAAUUUUAUAAUUCAUAAAAAAAAUCGAUAAUUAUAUAUAAUUGAAUAAAUAAUAUCUGCUAUAUUCAAACAAAAAUAAAUGGAUUCAAAAUGAGGAGAAAUUGGUUGCGUCAUUAAUUCGUAUGCAAUAAUUAAUAAAUUAAAUUUCUACUCUUAAUUUUAUCAUUUAUAGGCUGUCGUUUUGAAGAAAAUAAGACCUUUUACUACGUAAAAGGAAAAAAAAGUAACAUUGAGAAAAAAAGAAGAAAGUGAGGAGGAAUGUUUGACUGAUAUGAUGAAGCAGUUUUUUUCUUUAAAUUUUCUUUUUUUAAAAAAAAUCAUUUAUGAACACUUCAAAACAUACCCAUAAUGACUUGCGUCGCUGAUUCGCAUGUGCUUGUCUUUGAAUUGUGAAAAGGAGAAAAAAAAGAGGAAAAGCUAGACUUGUGUCUGGUCACAUGGAAGAAGCCUGCACUAUAUGUACAUAAACCGUCAAUCUUCAGAAACUGCCAAUAGCCACCACUGCCCAAUAGUAGCCAGUAUACAUAAACCCCCCAAAUAGCUAUAUCACCAUAAUGGUCUGUUCAAUGUUGAUUUGGAAGAAAGCCCUUGUUCUUGGAGCAAAGGUGAUAAUGAUCUUUGCAUUAUUUCUUCUAUUAUUCACGGCAGCAGCAACCAACGCAAGGCCUUCUGGUGGGGAGGAGGACACCACUUUCGGCGCAAGCAAAGCUGCUUCCGUAGAGAGCAAAGGCGGAGGAUACAAUUCAGAGCCAAAUCCCUGCACUCUCCUUCCUAUUUAUGAUCCUAAUCAUUGCGACUGAGCUAUAACGUAUCAUUCAAAUCCAUGCACUCUCUAUUAAUUUCUAGCUUAUAUGUUCUUUCUAUCUUGUCGUUUAAUUUAAUCAUUAGCUCAUUGCAUAAAUCAGCUAUAAUGAUUAAUAUUUUAUAUAUUUGCAAUACCCUCAUUUGCAUAAAUGUAAGGUUCACUUUUCACGAUCUGCAACUCUAUUUAGAAUUAAAAAUUUCUAAAAAAUUCAAUUGAAUUAAAUUUUUUUUGUUUUUUAAAUUUAAAAAAUAUUAUUUAAAAAGAAUUAAAUGAUUCAAUUUAGUUUUGAACCAUUAGAUCAAAAUUUUUCUAUUCUAAGGAUUCAAUUUUUCAUAGCUUUUAAUUCUUACCUAUUAGAUUAAAAGUUGUUGAAGUAAACAAGACAAGAUAUUGAACUUUUAAAUUCCAACCAUUCAAUUUUCAGUACCUUUUAUUUUUUAGCCCUUAGAUUAAGAGUUUGUUAAAGUUGAAGAAAUAGAUUAUACACUUGUUAAUCCUAAUCUUUAAUUUUGUUUAAGUAAAUUUUCUAAACAUUGGAUUAAAAAACAAUAAAAGCAAAAUCUAUAAAAUGAUCCCAGCCCUUCAUUCAUAAAUUAGGUUUUAUAUUUGUUUAAUUUUUAUUAAUUUGUUAUAUCAUACAGGUAAUUUUAUAUAAUAUAAUUGUUCUUUAUUAUUAAUUUUAUAUUAAUAAAAAAAUAAGUAACAUUAUGAUCAUACCCUCUUUGAUGUAAUUUUAGAUAUUUUUAUUUAAUAUUGAUAAGUUGUUUUACAUAAAAUUAAUAAGUUAUUAUAUUUAGUAAAUGUGGCAUUGCUAACAAAAACAUGUAAAAGAAAUGAUUAAACUUGAAUUGGAGACGCGAAAAGGCAUAAAUGUAUUAUCCCUUGAUUCCACCAUUUCACAAUUUUUUCUAUCUUAUUUUUUUAUAUAUUAAGAAAAAUAAUUUUAUAUUAAUUUUUCAAUUAUAUUAUUUUAUAAAUAUUAAAAAAUAUUUUAAAUACUCAUUUAAAAAAUAAUAAUUAUUAAAAAAUAUAAAAAAUAAAGAUUAAUAAAAAAUUUUAAGCAGCACGAUUUCAAUUUUUUCAAACGUCUAAACAUGAACUAAAAACAUCGGUGCAAUGAGUAGAUAGAGAAUAUAGCUUUUAUAAGAGUUUUAGAUUCUUUUACUUUUUGAAUGAGCUUUCGAAAAUGAAUAAUAGUAAUCAUAAAAAAUUUUGAAUGUUUAAAAGGUUUGAAAAAACUUUUUGAUUUUAAAAAUUACAACUAUAAUACUUAAAAGAGUGUAUAAAAUUUUAAGAGUAAAUUGAAAAUUAAAUUUAAACUAAUUAUAAGUAAAUAUAGUAAUAAACAAAUAUGGAGUCGUAGAAUCAGGGAGAGAGGCUUUUCAGAUGAUAAAGACACAGAACAACUCAACUGUUUGAAUUGCCACUGUGGCUCCCAUAAAUCUCACACGGGACCAUUAAAGUUAAUUUUGGAUAUAUAUUUGCUUUUUUUUUUCUCUUAUUUUUUUUAUGAAAAAAAAUCGAAAUAUUUAAAUUAAGAGUUAUAUUUAUAUAAGAUUUAUUUUCAAAUAUUAUUAUUUUAUAAUUUUAAAAUAAUUUUAACCUAUUAAUUUUUAUUUAUAAUAAUUAAAAUAAUAGAUUUUAAUAAGAAUAAAACUUUAUUGAUAACAAUCUUUUAUUAUAUUAAAAAAAUAAUAAUAAUAAAAUUAGUUAUAUCUUUUAAAUUAUGAAUAAUUAAAUUUAAAAUUAAAUAUUUUAAGUAAAAUAAAAAUAUAAAAUUUUUCAUUUUAAAUUUUAAAUUUUAUCAUAUUAGAAUAAAAUUAAUAGCUAAUAAACCAUAAAUUUUACCUGCCACUUCUGUUAUAAUACUUUUUUAAAAAUAUAUACAUGCUUAAUUACUUUAUUAUAUAAUAAGCAUUAUUACAUCAAUAAAAAUUUUAUAUUUUAUUACACAUUUAUAAUAUUUUAAUUAUAAUAAUAAAUUGACGAAAGUAAUUAAUAUAUCUUAUUUAUUAUUUUUUUUAUAUUAUGAUAAUCUUAUUAAUUAAUUUUGAUUAGAUAUAGUUAUAAUAAUUUGGUAUUAUAAUAAUAGAGUAUUAAAUUUAAUUUUUUUAUAAAUAACUAAAUUUUAAAAUCAAUAAUUUUAUGCAACAAAAAUUAUUAAUUUUAAAAUUUUAUCAAUAGGAUAAAAUUAAUUAGUAAUAAAUCAUUAUUGUACUUAUAAUAUAUAUUAUAAUUGUACCAUACAAAUAAUAUCUUUUAUUGUAUUAAAAAUAAUUAUAAGUAAAAUAAUUAAUAAUAAAAAAUUAGUCAUAUAUUUAAAAUUAUGAAUUUCUACAUUUAAAAUAAAUAAUUUUAUACAAAAUAAAAAUAUAAAAUUAUUAAUUUUAAAAUUUUUAUUAUUUUAAGAUAAAGUUACUUUCUUGGCAAUUCUUAUUUACAAAAGUAAAUAGGAAAUUGUGUGGUUGAACAUUUUCAAUUUUUAAUCACCACGUGUCAUUAUUGAUAGACUUUUCAAUCACUAAAAACUUUUAAUUGAAUUUUGAGAAAAUUUUAAAUUAUUUUAGUGAUUUUAUGAAAUAAUUAAUAUUUAAUAUGCUAUUUUUUUUUUUUGAAACGGGGUGGGGGAGUCGAACCUUUGACCUCAAAGGAUUACAAGGAUGCACUUUCCACCAGACUAAGCCUCGGAGUGCAUAUUUAAUACGCUAUUGUCUUGCUUUAAUACAUGACUGAAAUAUCAUAAUUAAAUUUAAUUGGUUAUAUAUAUAUUUACUAGAGUUAUUCUAUAUUUUAAUUCAAUAUAAAUAUAGUUAAAUCUUUUAAAAUUUAGAAUUUAAUAAUUAAAAAUUAAAUGAGUAGUAAAUAUAUUAUGAAACUAAAUCGGCAUAUAUAAAACUAUAGUAUUAUUGAAAUUUCUAUUUUGAUUUAAUAAAAUUUUUAACUAAAUUGAAAUUAUAUUUAUUUUAUCUUCACCAACUUUCUAAAUGGUUUAAAAUUAAUUUUAUCUUCAGAGAAUCAGAUAGGAUAAUUUAUCAAUAAUAUAUUUUAUCAGCUGGGAAUCAAACAAGUUCAUUAGAAUACAUAAUCAGAACACGUGGACAUUUAAAGGAUGGUUGAACAUGGAGAAUUUCAUCAGAAAACAGGAAGAAAAAGUUUAUAUUUUUUAGUAAUUUCAAUUUAGUUAUAUAUCUAAUUAAUUAAUGUUUUUUAGUGAGGUUUUAGGAUUAAAUUGUAAAGGAGUUCUGUGGGUGUUUGUGGAUUGGAAGAUGACCUUUCUCCUGCAAACUCUUAACUGUUUCAUAGAGGCAUUGCUUCACUGGGAUCAAUUCCAGUCCAAGGUCCUUGAGCUUUUUGCUUGAGAAUUUGUGUGGUUUUGCUCUUGGGUUCUUCUCAUCUGAACACCUGCAAUUAUCUUUCGCAUUAUUUUCAUUUUUAAGAGAAAUUAGUAAAAUUACUUGACCAAUAUGAUCCACAUGUAUUCGUUAUAUAACAAGAAAUUUGCCGACAGUACUGAAUAAUAACAAUAACUUACCUCGUGGGGAUUGGAUACUCUGGGAAGAACUUAGCAAGCAUUUCCACCACUUCGCCGCGGUGGAGGACGCUCUCACCACAAAUGUAUCGCCCGGAGGCAGAGGGCGUUUCAUAGAUAAGAAUAUGGGCAUGUGCCACGUUCUUAACAUGCACAUAGCCUUGAACAGCAUUGACAUAGGUCUUGGCUGAGCCAGUUAGGUACUUAAGGAUGUGAAUGCUACUAGCAUUUAUAGUGGACUGCAACAAUGGUCCAAGCACCACUACUGGGUUCAGCACUACUAGGUCCACCCCUUUCUCCUUGGCCAACUCCCAUGCUGCCUGCUCCGCCACUGUCUUCGCGUAGCAGUACCAGUUCUGCAAUAAUUAUCGGAUUAGUAACAUGACCAGUUUGGCUAACAACUCUAGCUCUGGGCUGUUAAGGAAGCUCUUGGCAAAUCAUAAAUAUUAAGAAGAACGGUGAAGUAAAACUUGCCUUCACUAUUGUAUUAGUAAGAAAAGGUGGCGACUAAUUCAACAGGAUAAUCAUACUUGAAAAUUUGAUAAUUACAAUUAAAUACGGCCAUUAUAAGACUAGAUUCAUAUGAAAGUGAAAUUAAAAUUUUAAAAAAUUAUUUUUUUAAUCGUUAACAUUUAAUAUAAUUAAAAAUCAUUUUAUAAAAAAAUUAUGGGAAAAUUACUUUUUAGUCCCUCAGGUUUAACGUAAUUAACACUUCUGUCCCUCUAUUUUGGCGACCCAACACUNNNNNNNNNNNNNNNNNNNNNNNNNNNNNNNNNNNNNNNNNNNNNNNNNNNNNNNNNNNNNNNNNNNNNNNNNNNNNNNNNNNNNNNNNNNNNNNNNNNNNNNNNNNNNNNNNNNNNNNNNNNNNNNNNNNNNNNNNNNNNNNNNNNNNNNNNNNNNNNNNNNNNNNNNNNNNNNNNNNNNNNNNNNNNNNNNNNNNNNNNNNNNNNNNNNNNNNNNNNNNNNNNNNNNNNNNNNNNNNNNNNNNNNNNNNNNNNNNNNNNNNNNNNNNNNNNNNNNNNNNNNNNNNNNNNNNNNNNNNNNNNNNNNNNNNNNNNNNNNNNNNNNNNNNNNNNNNNNNNNNNNNNNNNNNNNNNNNNNNNNNNNNNNNNNNNNNNNNNNNNNNNNNNNNNNNNNNNNNNNNNNNNNNNNNNNNNNNNNNNNNNNNNNNNNNNNNNNNNNNNNNNNNNNNNNNNNNNNNNNNNNNNNNNNNNNNNNNNNNNNNNNNNNNNNNNNNNNNNNNNNNNNNNNNNNNNNNNNNNNNNNNNNNNNNNNNNNNNNNNNNNNNNNNNNNNNNNNNNNNNNNNNNACUCCCUCUCCCUCUCUCUCUAAUGAUUGAGAGGUCGCCAUUGUCAACCUCCCACUCUACGCUUAUUCUUCUUCUCAAUGCUUCUCUUCAAAGCUACCUCAUAUCCUAUCCUUUCACUUUCUCUAUUGUGUUCCCCAUGCACCCAUGCAUGAUUCAUUGUCCUUUACUGCAAGAGCUGCCCUAUGGAUGCUUUGUUUCAAGAGGCUGGAGCUAGGUACCUGUACUUCUCGCCUCCACCUUUGAUUUACAGAUCAAAAGCGAGAAUUACAGGACACUCAUUAUAUUCCACCUACAGCUCUUGUUCAAUACCCAUAGAAGGUUUCCACUUUGAAGCAGGAAGCAAGCAUGGAUUAGGAUUGGAGACGUUCAUGGUUGGAAGGAUGACUUGUUAGAGGGAAUGAAAUAUGUUAAACCUCAGGAAUUAAAAAACUAUUUUUUAUAAUAAAUUUUACAUUAGAUAAUUUAGAUUAAAUAGUAAUACUAAUGCUGAUAAAUUAAUUUAACCUGAGUAUUCUUGCAAAAGUCGAGGUCACUCCAGCAAGAUUCAUCGACAACAUCAUCUGGAUUCCUAUUGGGAUUCAUAUAAACCGUUCCGAUGGUAGAUGUGAAAACCACUCGCCGGACUUUGGCUUCUGCGGCUGCUAUCAUCACAUUUUUGGUCCCAUUCACGGCUGGCUCCAGCAUUUGUUCCUUCAAAAUUUAAUUAAAAAAAAAACAUAAUUACUAUUAAUAUCGUAUUUUAUUUUUAAAAAAUCGUCUAGAACAUAUUAACAAUAUUUCGGCGUCAUACAGGAUCAUUAGUGAGAGGAGACGCAGUGUGGAAAACUCCAUCACAUCCAGUAAUGGCCUCUCGAAGACUUUCAUAAUCAAGAAGAUCAGCUCUGCACAGACUUAAUCUCUCCUUGGCACCUUCAAGCUCUCUCAAAUGAGAAUUCUUGGGAUCAUCUAUCACUCAAAAAAAAAAAACAUACGUAAAAUAGAGCCCUUCCGUUCCCAAAAAAAAAUCUUCAUCAUUAACAUAUCCAAAAACAGAACCAGAAUAAAAAAAAAAAAACAGAAUUAGAAUCAAACCAGGGUUCCGCAUAGUUCCUUUAACGGUGUAACCUCUUUGAAGAAGCAACUUAACGAUCCAAGAAGCAAUGAAGCCACCGGCUCCGGUGACGCAGACGGUUUGGCCAUGGCCAGAGAGUGAUGAGGUGUGAGCAGGCAUGGUAAUUUGGGGGAAAAGACGAGAAGAUAGAGAAGUGGAAGUGGGGGGUUUUGGGCGGUCGAGAGGGAUGAGAUGAGUAAAGUGUAUUGUUUAGAAGAAUGGAAGGCAGGCAGGGCACAAAAGCAAAGCAUGUGCCUGCGUCCGUAAUUUAUAAGGAAAAGUACUGUUCUACUUAUUUAUUUAAUUUCAUAUCUAUCAAUUUAGAGAAAUUCUUCCGUCAAUCCGGUUCACCGGCCAGUUUGCAAAAUUAUAAAUAAAUGGGUUUAUUUUUUUUUUUAUAAAAAGAAUUACUUAUUUAUACGUUAUAAAUAUUUUAAUUCAUAGUGAAUCUACUAAAUAUUUUUCAUUUAUUUAUUUGUAUUUCAAAUUUCAAUGAUAAUCUGAGUUUUGAUAAAAAUUGCACCUUACCAUACUAUUUUAUUAAAAAAAAAAACUUAAUUACACUAAAUAUACAUGGAUCUGUAAUAUAUAAUAUAAAAUAAUAAUGGAAUUUUAUACCUUUAUAUUAAAAAUCCUUGUAAAUAUAAUUUAAAUAAAAAUUAUUGAACUUAUUUACAGAGAGAUUAAUUUAUGUAAUAUUUAUUUCUUAAGAGUUUUCCCUUCUCUCUUAUUUCAAGUAUACGUUGCUUGAUUUAAUAUUUACGUGUUUAGAUCGUAAUAAUUUUUAUUUAUUUUUUUAUUGUAUCAAAUUAUUAUUAUUUUUUUAUAAUGUAAUAACCUAUAAAUUUACUAUUAUAAUUCUCCUCAUUAAUUAUUAUUUUUUAAAAAAAUUUAAAAUAUUUUUUAAUAUUUAGUAAAAUUUAAUAUUUUUAACAUAAAUAUAAUUAAAAAAUUAAUAAAAUUUUUUUUUAUUAAUUUAGACUGAUUAAUAUAUUUUGAAAACUAAUACUCCUAUACAUCUAGUUAAUUUUGGUAUGUAUUAAAAAAUGUAAUUAAUAUAGUUAAAAAAAUAAAUUUUAUGUUCUCUUCCCUAAUAUUUAUUUUCCAUUUAUAUUAAUUUAUUAUUAAAUUAUUUUGAAAUAAAUAGUUUUUAUUUUUCAUUUUACUAUCUUAAAAAAUUAAAAUUUAAUUAUAUAACAAUCAUAAGUGUCCUCAAUUUACUAACCUGACGCUAAAUUCUGUCUGCACGGAUUGACUCACUAAAAGCUAAAAUACAUCUGAAGAUUUUUUCUCCAUACAUGAAAAUAAAAAAUUAUCGAUGUCACAAUCACGCAUCUCAAUAUUCAUUGAUAAAAUAUAAAAAAAAUUAUUUUAUUGCUAAUUUUAUUGAUUGUAUUUUAAAUUUCUUUUAUUUAAUUUUAUCAAUUUAUAAAAACUUAAAGUAUAAUCAAUAAAUUUUAGAGUGCAGUACGAUUAAUAAUAUAUGUAAUUAAUAUCAAUUUUUUAAUGAUUAUUAAUAAUAUAAUUAAUUUAUAUUUAAUUAUUAUAAAUUUAAAUAUUUAAUAAAUUAUAAUUUUAAUGUAAAUAUUUAAUAAAUUUAUCUUAAUUAAUAUAAGAGUCGACGUAUAUAGGUAAGUAGUAUUUGGUUUAAAUUAAAAAAUCGAUCGAAUCGAAUUGAUUUAAAAAUUUAAUUUGUUUUUUUAUAUUUUUUGGUUUGAUUCGGUUUUUAAUUUCAGAAAUUUUAGUUAUUUCGGUUCGAUUCGAUUUUGAUUAGAAAAAAAGGGAAAAAAUUAAACCAAACCGAUUAGUGAUAAUAAUAUGUUUUUUCAAUAAUAUAGAGAAAUUAAAUUAUAUUAAAUUAAAAUAUUUUAAUUAAAUUUUAAAAUAUUAAAAAUAAAGUGUAAAAAAUAAAAAAAAUUAUUAAAAAUCGAAAUUGAUCAGAUCGAACCAAAUCGAACCAAAUCGAACCGAAUCAGAUCGGUUCGAUUCAAUACGAUUUUCAAUCAAAAUUAAUUCGAUUUGAUUUUUAUAAACACUAAAAUUUCAAUUUUUAAUUUAUUCAAUUCGAUUUGAUUUUAAAUUGAACCGACCAAAUGAUCACCCGUAGAAGUAUAUAUUCAGUCCAAUACAAAUUAUUGUCCACGUAAAAACAAGUCAUCCUUACGCCUCUACCUGCUGCACUGCAGCUACUACUGCCAUAGAAAAGAAGAUAACAUUGAAAAAGUCAAGAUAUUUUAGGUACUGCAAAUUUAAAUUGUAGACCACUAAACCUACCUUGUUUUGCAUAUUUCUAGAUAAAUUAUUUUUUAUUAUUAAUUUAUAUAAAAUUAAUAUAUUAUUAUUUUUAAAAUUAAUAAUUUUAUUUUAAUUUAAUUUCAUAAAUUAAAAGUUCUUCCAUUUAAUUCUUUUCAAUAUUAAGGAAAUAAUUACACCACCUUUUAAAAUAAAUUACUUUUAAUCACCAAAUUAUAUUAAAAUUAGUAUAAAUGUAUCUGGACUUUUCUAAACAUUAAUAAUUUAGUCUUAUAUUUUAAAUUUAUCAAUUAAAAAAAAUACACUAUUAAAAGGAUCUCAAUUUGAUAAAUUAUAUUAGAAUUAUUAUAUUUUAAAAAAAAAAUUGCUUAAAUAUAUUAGAGGUUCUAUAAUUAAUUUAAAGUUGAAUUAAUAUUAUGUAAAUAUUUCAAUAUUUAACAAUAAUACUAUUUUAAAAAAUAUUAAAAAAAAUAUUUAUUAUUUAAUUUUUAAAUAUUACUAUUAUUAAUAAAUUAAUUUUUAUAUUUUUAAAAUUAUAUUUAAAUAUUUUUAUUUUUUUAUAACCUAUUAAAACACUUUUAUUAUUUAUUCGUUAAUAAAAUAGUCAUUUAUUUUAGAAAAAAAAAAUGACGAUAGUAAAUAAAAAGAAAAAUUAAAAUUAUUUUUUUAUUUUUCUUUCAAAAGAGGAAAAAGAAAAAAAUCGAAGAGAAAAGGUUGAAUAAGAAAGAGAAAAAUAUAAAUGGGAGAAAGAGAAAAAAGAGGGGGAAAAUGGAGAGUAAUUUAAUUUUUUAUUAUAUUUUUAAUGAUAAAAACAGAGGAAAAUGCUAUUUUAUUUAGAGAAAAUAAAUAAAAAUAUUUUUUAUAAAUUUUUAAAAAUAUAAAAAUUAAUUUAUUAAUAAUAUAAUACUAAAAUAUUAAAUUAUAAAUUUAAAAAAAAAACCCUCAGAUUUAAAAGGGAGCAGCACUUGACGGGAACAAAAAUCAGCGACUGCCAAGUGCCAACAACAAUGAUAAUUUUCUUCCCACAUUCAAAUCAUUUCCAUUAAUGUCUUUGACAUUUGGCUCCGUGUAAUGUUCGGCAGCAUGUUGUCACAUAUCAAAUUAUUUUUGCAUGAAUUAAUUCACAAUAAAUAUUUAUGUCGGUUUAAAUCUAUCAUGAAAGUUCAGUGAAAAAGAAAUCACAAUAAAUAUUUAAAUUUAUGAAAUUGAUGGAUAAAUAAAAUAAAAAUAAAUAAAUGUGGAUCAGGUUGAUUCACAUUUGAAUUAAAUCUAUGUAUAAAAAUAUCUUAUCUUAAAAAAAAAUAUCUUAUCUUAAAAAAAUAAAAUAUCUUAUGCUAAAAAAUAGUUAAAUACAAAAUAACGUAAAUUAAAAAAAAGAUUAUUAAAAAGAAAAUAAAAUCAAUACACCGUCUAAAGUCUACUACAAAUUAAAAAGAGAAAAAGGUAGAUAUCUAAUAGUCAUUUAAGCCAUAUUUAGUAAAUAAAUUUAUUUUUAAAAAAUAAAUUUAAUUUGAUAAAUAAAUUAUAUUAAUUUUUUAGGAUAAAAAAUAAUUUUAUAAAAUUUAUGAACUAAAUAAAAUAUUAGUAAGAAUUUAGGAAUAUAAAGAUAAUUCUUUAUUUUAAUAAAACACUUACUUCAAAUGAAUUUUUAAAAUUAAGACUUAAAUAUUUGGAGGGCUACUUGGCAAAAGUAUUUCAAGUUGUUAGGAACAAGUUCUUCAAAAGAGAUGAUAAAAUUCAGAGAGAAAACGAUUGAUCAACUAACAACUGUGUGAAUUUCAUCAAAGCUCCACAUCACCUGAAACUAAAGAUACAGGAGCUUUCUACGUCAUUUUCAACGCUUGGAAUUUCAUGGGGCUUGGACUAAUUUUUAUCUUUGAAGAAAAAAAAAAAAAAGAUCAGAAUCCAAAAAUCCACCCUCUUUCAAUUCAACAUGGAUUUUACUGUUAUUAUUAUUAUUAUUCAAAAAAAUUAAGAUUUAAUUCUAAUAAUACAGAAAAACUCACUAAUUUAUUUUUUAAUUUUAAAAAAUAUAUUAAAUUAUUUUUAAAAUUAAAAAAAUUUAUUAAUUAAUUUCUCUAAUAAUUUUUAACUAUUAAAUAUUAAAAAUAAAAUAAAAUACUCUAAUAUGAAAGGAUUAAUUAUUAAACUUUUAAAAAUUUUAAAAAUUAACUAAUAAUUUUUUUAAAAUUAUACAAAUUAAAUAGUAAAAUUAAUAAAAAAAUUUUAAUAUAUUUUUAAACGAAAGAUUAAUUAGUAAAUUUUUUUAUGUUUUAAUUUUUUCUUAUUAUUUUAGUUCGGAAAGAAGACGAAUCAAUUGCUUAAAAGAAAUUCCAUUUCCUGCCUCCAGUAAUCUACUUACAGGCUCAGCAACCAAAAAUCCCAAUGCUUACCAUGCAAAAAACAAUAUUUAUGUCAACUUCAUGCAAAGAGACAACAACCCUGCACCAAACCAAGACUUGCAGGGCUUUCUAGCUUCUUCCUCUCUGUACACACUACACUUUGUUUCUAUUAACUAGGGUCAGCCGAGUCCAAAAGAUCUCCCAACCAACUUUCACUUUGUUGCUGACUUUUUUACAGGAUAGUUUAGUGCUCCUUUUUAGGUCUGGCUGUGACACAAAAUUCAUAUACCGCCUCCGAGACUUUCAUCGCCGGAUGGACUUGCAGUCUCUAGUGUUGUCUGUUUGGAGUUUAUUCCAGUCCUUGGACUUCUGAUCUUCAACUUGCUACCAGAUUCUUUGCCAUCUCCUUCUGAGCCACUGUUAGGCUUAGGUGUAUAAUCUAUAGAUUUGUCAGCAGCAAUUGGUUUAUCCCGCGUAACGGCACCUGUAGACUUUCUGGCUUUUCUCUUAGAAAUGCUGGUGGUUCCACUCCUAGAAAACCAUCAUAAUCUUUCAUUCUAAAUAUACCAAACUAUCAUAAUUCAGAAUUUGAUGAAUGUAAACCAACCUUUUUGAAUCAACCUUCAGUUGUUUGCCUGACUCUGAAAUCACCUUGCCGUUUUGCUUUCGAGGUCUGGACUGUCUGCUCGUGCAUUUCACAAAGGACAAGACAUUUAUAACUAAACAACAGAUAUGGUAGCAAACAAUCAUGUGCGUGAAUUAUGCGGCAACUAUUUUACCGCUGAGGAUCAAUGGCAACAAUCACUUGGUGUGAUAGAGUAACAAGCCCUCUUCUUUAUUUUAUUUUAUAUCAACUGUAUAUUUCUCAUGGAAAUUAAAAGGAAAGACUCUUUUUCUUCUUGAUUUUAUGUUAUACUCACUCUAAAAUGUCCUUACCUCACAGAUGUAGCAUCAAGAUGCAGGAAAAUAAUUCUUCUCCAUUGACAAGGCAAUAUAAUAAACACAGUAGGAGAGGCAGGAAAGCCAAUUUUACCAUUUCCUUUUCUCAACAUGGAAAUAAACGAAAGGGAAAGGAGAAGAGCUUUUCAACACAUCAGUUCCAAAUAGACUCUUAACAAUAAAUUUCUCGAGUCUUACAUGGUUAAACAUAAAACUAAAUACACUAGAUGUUGCAGGAUUGAAAAUAGCAGCAUCAAAAUCAUUGGAACAACGGAACUUACUUCUCAGAUGAAGGAUCAGCAUUUGAAAUGUCAGGUUUUCGCUCCUGCAAAUAUUAUCACCACAAUUGCAAGACAAGGAAGUUACUUUGCAGAAAUAAGUUAUUGAGGAAAAAUAGCAGGUCUAAACAAAGAGAAAAGACCCACUUCAUCAUGCAAAAUAUCAUCUCCAAUUAGUUCCCACCGUUCCCUUCUGAGAUUUAGUAUCUCUUCAUCUCCAUCAGCAUACAAAACCUAAAAAUGUCAUCAGCAAAAGUGUUUAAGCUAUAGUAAGGAGAAACUAAAGAUGAUCAUGGAACUUUUAUGAUAAGAGAAGAAUUAAAAUGGUUCUGAAAAUUUAUACUUGCUCUAAACAGGGAUGAGUACUUUAAAAUGGUUGAUUUUGCAACAAAAACCAUAGGAGGACCAACUAUAAGAUAGUCCAAGGGGUCAUGGAUGUGAAAAGAAAUAAUUGCUCAUCGUUUAACAUAAGAGAUGCCCCUCAGAAGGGCCAGUAUAUGGAAAAUAAGAAUAGGAAACCACUACCAAGUGCGAAUAAUAGGUUCUAGAAACCUCUGUCCUAAAAUUCACACGGAGAGGGAAAAAAGAAGUAGAUGAAAGAAGAAGAACCAAGUAGGGUUAAGCUAGAACCAUCUCACCUUAUGCUUCUUUUUGAUAGGGUCAUAGGAUUCAAGUACUCCUUCAUAAAACCUGGAAAACAAGAAAACACAUUCAAGAAAACAAGCAUCAAUAUCUGCACUUAGAAAGAUCAAGAGAAAUUGUUACAAUGGAUAUAUGCAGAGUCCAGAAAUUUUAGCCAAUGAUGUCUAGUAAAUAUAAAAAAUCAAGAACUAAAAACAAAAAGCACUAGAAAAAGGGUUACUUCCUCAACACCCACCCCCCCUUCUCCUUCUGGGUGAAUGGUGCAGUUCUUUGCAAUAAGCUGACUUUAGGCAACAGAAUGCACCCACAUUCUCCAUUAACCAAUUAAUUCAAAUAAAUUUCAAAUCCUAUUCAGCCAGACUAGAUUUAGUCCCAGUUAGCACUAGUAAUUAUUAAACUAAUCCGAACUAAUGUGGCAUGUCAGUAUGGCAUUUUCCCUAGAGAGGAGCAAAACCCAGAGCUCUUCUAUUUUAACUGUUGUUCCCUUCAUCAUAUUUCAAAUGCCAUUUAAGGUUUUUGCACAAGAAUUAAGGAAAUGAUUGGGUAAUCCCAUUUUUGUAAUGAAAAAGUACUAAUAGAAGAGUAUCUUUGCAAUACACUUGGUAUGUUCUUAUUUUUAAUUUCCUGAGAGAUAUAUGCUAAUAGUUGAAUAAGAGAUCAAAUGCACUGGGAAUAAGAAUACACAAGGGUAAAGUUGGAAAAAAUUUAAUUAAUGCUUUCUUAAUUUUCUAAAAUGGAGAACAAAGUGGGACAAAAAGAAAUUUCUAAAAUAACAUUUGAAAUGGGACAAAGGGAGUAACAACUAUUAAGCUUACAGCCCUAUUGAUAAUCUUAAAAUAACAAGUAACCACUGAGAAAAUAUAAAUAGUUUUGAACAUUUAUUUGGUCACUUCCUGAUUGUAUUUCACAACUCUGUAACCAAGAGCAAACGCUCAUCACUUGCUAAUCCUGUCUACAUAGUAAAGACCAACUAUUAUCCUGAUGAUGCAACCACCUCCCAGCAAUUGUGCUAGUCUCCAUCUAUUUAUUCACUUCUUUUAUCAAAUUGUAUAUUGCAUGCCAUGGUAUUCAUAGGGCCAUAUCCUACAUUCAAAUUUUAAUUCUAAUUAAGAUUCCAGCAACUAGUCCUUUCUUUUCAAGAUUUAAGGUGAAAGCCUACAAAAUUCUGCAGAAGUAUUUAAUCCUCACUAUCUUCCAAAAUUAUCAUGAUAAAAAAUGCCUAUAUGAUAGUCUCAAAACGAGGUACUUCAUCAGCAUCAGAUUUGAGAAUUGGAAGUCAAAAUGUCGUCAUAUAUACACAUGACAUGAAACCUAAAAAAUCCUCCAGGAACAAAUUAUUGGACACAAGUAAAUAAAAGAUACUUUUGCAUUACUGAAACUUGAAAAAAUCAAAGAAAUUCUAAACAACCAACAAAAUAUAACAGAUAAAUGAACUAUAAUCAAAAUAAAAGCUUUAGGCAUCUCACAUCUUGUCUUUUGGCCACCAAACUUUUAUUCUGCUACCAACCAAUUGCUCACCAAGAUCAGGAGUCUGAAUUGGGGGAAAAUACAUAAAUUAUAACUUGAAGAGUGCGGAAGGAUGAAGCACUAAAAAUUCUCCCCAUCUAGUAGAACUUUAAGCAAGUACAAAAUAUAGAAAAGUUAUAUUUGAAAUUUUGCAGUAAAAGAAGUAUAUAUAUAUAUACCAAGAGCGCAGCAGCCAGCUCCUCAGACUAAUUAUUCAAUAUUUUGAUUAUCAACACUAACAAAGAGAAAACAGGACUGUAUCUUGGGCAAUGCAGUACAGAGAGUUUAGUUUUCCAAAUAUUGUGCAGCUUUCACGUAACUUCUAUUCUUUAUUGCUUGUCUGUUGGUUAAGCCAUUCCUAUUGCUUGUCUGUCAGUAAAAGCCAUUCCUAUUCGCAAUGAGUUGAAACACCAAAGAGGCACUAUAGAAGUUGCAAACCAUAGAAGAGCUGGACAUUUCAGGGUUCUAAUUCAUGCAAUGCUGAUAAUUCUAAGUUUAACUGCUAGGCCCAAAACCUUCCAAUUCAUUUUUUCCUGUUCUCUGGGAAAAUAGAAGAUGUCAAAUUCAAAUAUUAAAUUAUGAGAAAUAGAUAAACAGAAACUGUUACUUCUUAUUCUUAAAGAUAGAACUAAACAACUACCUAAAUUAGAAAGGAACCAGCACUAUUUAAUGAAGAACAAAUGCCCUAGAACUAUGAGGUUUUUUAUUUAUUUACUUAUUUAUUUUACUAAUACCAGUUCAGAUAAAUGAUCGCAACAAGAAAACAAUUCUCAAUACAUUCUUUUCUCUUCUUUCUUAAAAAAAGGCUAACUGAUAUGCAUAACUAUCAUCAACCAAGUAGAAGUUACAAGACACAAUGAAUAAAAUGCAUACCACUUCCUUCCGUGGUGUCCGCAUCCCCUUGAGAUUUGUUUUUGGGACCUGUUCAUCAUAAAUUCCACCUCUAGAUGAUUUCUUUUUCUGUACAGUUGACCGCAGGGAGAGGUAAAUUAAAAGCUCAACAAAUUAAUGCCCGUAGGAUAGUUUUCAAAAAUGAAGUUCAUAUAAAAUUAAUACCUUAACCUUAGAUGCUUGAGCAUCCACAUCUGAAAUACCACUCACUGAACUUCUUUUCCUAACAUCUGAUUGGACUAGCGAGCUGUCUCUUUUGAAGUUCCUUACCACCACCUUUGUUGACUGUUGCCGUGGUUUUUCCUCAUGUUCACCGAGUAACCCGGCUUUCUCAUCGGCAGAAGGCAAAGGUGCCCCUUCAGUAGCCUUUGCAGCAGAUCCAAAUUUUCUUGUGCGCUUCUGUUGCUUUGGUUCUGAGUUACGAUCAGCACCUUGAUUCAUAAUACCCCAAUUUUUCUUUGGCCGGCCUCUUUUAGGAUGAGUUCCAUGAGUAAGGCUUUGAUUCAGAGAUGGGGAAGAAGCAUCGAUAACACUAGCAGUUUCUGGUCUUAAUCCUGUAGGUUCCCUCAUACGUGCUAAUGGCAGAGCUACCUUCUUUGGAACUGUAUUUUCUGGGUUUAAAUCUACUCCCUUGUCAUGAGUUAUUCUCUCACAAGGUACUUUUGCAGUUUUUCUUCCUGAAGAAAUCCAAGAAUGAUCAUAGCCUUCCUCUGGAUUCAUCAAAGAAUUAGGUUUCCACCCCCUUUUCCUUGGGACGGUCCCUGGGUCCAUUUCCAAGUUGAAUUCUGGUUUGGUAUCCCCUAGUAUAUCACUACUUUCACUAUGCUGGAUAAGAGAACAGUGCUCCAGUAUUUUUGAAGAAUUAUUAUUUAUGACAUCACCAGCAUUUCUAGUUGAGGAAUUUCCAUUGGUUGUUGAUUUGGGAAUAGCAUCCACAGCUUGGAGAACUUCUCCAGGAGAAGCAGCAGCUGGUGAUAGCCCCUUAGUAGCCUCACCAGAUAAAUUGAAUUUUGCAGCAAUUAUUAGCCAUAGCUUACAUUGAAGAAUCAUGAUAUACAUUGAAUAUAGUACAGGGGAAAAACAAGGCAAAGUUGCACCCAUAAAAAGUUUCAUCAUGAAUCUUUAUUAUUUCUUUCCUUACAACUACACCAACAAAAUACAAAUAAAAGUAGCAACCUCCUAAAGUAAGAGGAGUCAAAUGUGAAAGGAACACAAAUACAGUUCCUUUGCAGAAACCAUAUGCCAUUUUAUGAGCAAUUUUCUGCAUUAAGGUGUGCUUCUAAAGAAUUCAAAUUUUGAUUUUUAACUUGUCACAUAAGGCUGAUAAGGCUGAUAAGUUGUUUUCUCAUGGAAUUUUUGUUUGCUUUACAAUAUAUAUUGAUUUGAUUUGCUAGAGGUCAUCUAACUGGUGAAAUCAUUUCUGUUAUCAACCUUUCCCGAGUCCGUCAAAAAAUUAUGUCCAUCUUCCACAAUUAUGGAUUCCAAAUUGCCCACCAAAAAUGAACUUAUACACAAAUGCACCAGGAGAAACAUGGUGCCAAGGAACUGUGAACGUACAAAUGAUAAUUUGCAAGUCCAUUAGAAAAAUGUUUUACAAUAUGUAUCCACCUUCUCCCCAAAAAAAUUGAAAGGGAGAUGAAAUCCACAAGAAAAGUCACGGGUUAAUCAUUAGGUAAACUUAUUUCAUGGAAAGAAAAUAAUGAAGUUAGGAUUUAUAUUCAGCAAGUGAAGAAACUUCCAUGUCAAUUUUAGUCUGAAAAAAAGUAGUAUACCAUUACAUCUCAUAGUAAUAGGCAGGAAGAAACAUACCAAAUCGUCCCCUGAACCAUUGAGAUGAUUCUGUUGAAGGGAAAGACUCUCAUCCUGGCAAAUCGAAGCAACUAUUGGAGCAUACUCAUCUAAAGGUAUGCCUAUGGACUGCACUGCCUCCUUGAGACAGGGAUUAAGUUUAGCAGCACAAUUAGCGAUAACUUUUUCACCAAGCUUCCAUGCAAUAGGAGAAACACUCUGGAGUCAUAAUGCAUUGAAUUGAUAAAUCCCACUUAAGCAAUAAAAACUAUAGUAAGCAAGCAGGGAACAGUUAGCAGAAAAGCACAUACAACAUACCUGACUUUCCUUUGUUAUACUGGCCAAAAGGGGAGUGAGAAGGUCAACUGAUACAUCUUCACUUUCAUCUAUGAUCAGUGUCAUAACCGUUUCCAUGGCCAAAAAUACAGCAUGUGGGUGAUUGGACCUUGGGUGAAUGUGAAGAAUCUAUCAUUUGUCUAUUAGAUACAAAGAUAAACAUAGGCAAAUAAAAUGAAAAUGGAAAACAGCCAUCAAAUUCCAUGAUAUUGGUCUGCCAAAACAGCAAAUAGGAUGACUGCAGUUAAAAAUAUAACAUCGUAGAAGCUUGCCAAGUCAAAGCGUGCAAUUUAAGGAAAUAUAUGUUUACUGCUACGAACUUUUGACAAGUACAUUUCUAUGUAUAGAAAGACCAGAAAGAUAAUUCAAACAUUGGCUUUGUUAAUCUUAGCAACUAUAAAACUUAGCUGCACAAGAUCUUUUAGAUGUUACUGUCAUAUAUAUGACAUUGAGAAGAGACUUAGGCAGAAGCAAGUAGCUAAGUCUGAUGAGGAAUAAAGUUCUCAGGAAUAAGUGAUUUCGGGAGGAAAUUAGAAAGUCAGUUUGGAUAUUGGUUAUAUGUUGUAGAUGAACAGAAACUGUACAAGAAAAUGAUCUCUGUUGAACUUGACCCUUCAAGUAAUAUGGUCCUUUGCAACUCUAAUCUUGAUAUUUUUACUAGUGAAGAGUUACUAGCAAGAAUGAUGUAAAUUUCCAAGGUAGUGAAGUUAAGAAAUGUACUGAAGAAGGAUGCAAGAAGCUGAGGAUAUCAAUGGGAAAGACUGCAUCAUUUGAAAAGCAGGACAUACAAGAAAGGCUGUCAAAGCUCUCUGGUGGAGGGGCAACUGAGGCAGAAUAUUUUCUUCAGGAGAAUUUUGACAAGGAGCAGUCUAAUCAACAACAAAUCAAGCAAGGUUUUGCAACGUAUCUUCAGAUGAAAUCAAAAGAUGGUGGGUCCUAUUCUUGUGACUUUAUAAUUCUUAGGAAGGAUGAAUUGGAGAUGUCAAGAAAGCAAAGAAAGGAAACAAUCUCCUGUAGUCCUCUGUUGCAGAGAAAAAAUAGAGGAGAGAGAAAUACAGAGAGUAAAAACAGCAAGGAAACUACUCAUACAUGAGCAUGUGUUGAUUCACCAAUUCAGGAAUCUGGUCUUUUGGUCUAGAAUUGCUGCUGCAACAUAUUUCCCGCAUGCCAAGAAGACCAUGCUACAGGAGUAGCAACUGAGGAGUUGCUUCAGAUGAUGCUACUUUGGAAGAUCAACCUUUUCUCCGAGCUCAAUAUCUAGAACUUCAACCUUUUUGGGGACAAGGUCCUCAUGAGAAGGGUACUGUCACAUAUAUGAGAAGAGACUGAGACAAAAGCAAGUAGCUGACUCUGACUUGGAAUAAGGCUCUUGGGAUUUGGAAAUAGGUGAAUUUUGGGGGAAGUUAGAGGGUAAGUAAGGAGAUUGGUUAUAUGUUGUUAAAGACAGUUGUCGUAGCAGUAGUAUAAAAGCAAAGCAUACCUGUAACAGGGAAUUAUCCAAGAAUCUAAUAACAAUCAGCUAUUUUUCUCUCAAUAUUCUUGUUCUAUUUAUUCCUUUCUCAUCUAUCUCAUCUCUGAGAUUCUUCUACCUUCUGUACUUUCUAUUUUUUCCCUUAGUAGAAACCGUGAUCUCAGGGUUGCCACUGACAGUUAUCCAAGAAUCAAACAUGAACUACAAAAAGAUCAAUUUCUGGCCAAAUCACUCUGGAUAUGGAAUUAUAUUGAAGGAUAUGGUACAAAUAUGAGUCAUUUCUGAUUCAGAAACUAACAUGUUCAUUAGCAGAUGAUGUACUAAAUGGUAACUGCUGUCCACAAAGCUCUUACCUAAUGAUCUUCAGGAAGUGUUGGAACAUCUUUGUGAUUAGUUCAUCCAACUCUAGGUCCAACAUCACCAAGCAUGACCUAACCCUUGCAACAGUGUCGAGAAUGGAAACUGCCUUUGUAUAACAGCGACUUGACACAUGGGACAAUUUCUCAAAAGCUGCUAUAGUCAAUUGAAAAAUUUCCUGCCCACCAAUGGAAAUGUAGACCACACAAGAACCAAAAGAAACUAUGUUUAAGCAGAUGUAUUGAAAUAUUUCAUUGCAUUUGAAAGCACAUAAUAAGGAUUGCCUGCAAAAUAUGAAAAUUUAUUUUAAUUUUAGCUGCCUAUAAUACCUUCAUAUGGUCAUCACUGUAAGGAGCAUCAGGUGCAGUUAUUCUUGUAAUCUCACUAAUACAAGACACAACUGAAACUUUCACAUCUGUAUCUGAGUUCCUCAAAAGGGCAUUGGAAAUCAAUGCCUUCAUGGGGGAUAGAAGUGCAUCUUGCAUUGAUCUUGAUGGUGCUUGCUCCACAUUUAUCAAUAAACACUCAAGUUUCUAGGAGACAACAAUACAAGUCAACUGAUCAAUCCUUUUAUCCAAUGAUCAGAAAAAUUAAGAUAUGCAGCUGAUUUGCAGAAAUUAUUACAGGCAAAAACUUGACUUAUUUACUGAUUAGAAUCUCAAACCACCAUAAGUUCAGAAAGUUUCAUGGUAUGAACCCAUGAAAGGAAUUUAUCAAUUGACAAUAAGCAUGUUUGUAGGCGUCAUCUAGCAUUAGCAAAAGAAUAACAGAAAUGAUACUUACAGUAUGUAAAUACCAAAUUGAAAACAAGCAUAAGACCGCUUUACAUGUCUCAUCUAAAAUUAAGAUAGAAAAGACCUGAAUAUCCACCAAGGCAAGUUAAAGUCACAUGAACAGUUACUAGCAUAUGCAGCUGCAAACCAAGUAGAAUGAAAGAAAAGGAUCCAUAUAGCCAAGUCUAGAUAGAGAUUUGAGUAAUAAGCAACCUUUGUUACAUAUCAGAAGUUCAGAACAAUAUCCUAACUGUAUAUCAAUUGGUUUAUAGGAAAAAUCUAAUUUGUGUAACUUGCAGAAGCUUUUACCACCAAUUUUACUGGGUAAUUAAAGAUGUAAUGGAAAUAAAGACCUCAAAUGUGCAUAAUGCUUUCUGUACACAACAGCAAUUCCAUAAAUUCAAAGGCUUGCACAUUUUGUUCUCUCCCAGUUCAUCACAAAAUUUUCCAAGAUAAUGGCCCACGCUCUUUCUACACAGUUUUACAAUGAGAAUCCCUGCAAGCAUCAAGUUCCAUCUCCACAUUCUCCACAAGGAAACCCAAUUGAUACUGUAAGUAUUAGUUUUAUCAGAUCCUUCACAUUCUCAAUUCCCUCACUAUUCAUGGACAAAUUUGAAUUUCACCUAGAUAAUCUAACUUCAACCAUGGGCAUAAUCUAUUGCAUUUUACUAUAUGAUUCCAGAUCCAAUAAAAGUACCAGAUACAAUAAACAGGAACGCCCAGAUAUCAUAAACAGGAAGGCAAAUGAGUAAGCCAGAUAGGUAUAUGGAAAUUAUAGCCAAAUUUAUGGCAAUAGGUCUUGCCUGGCCUGGAAAGAUUACAAGUUUGUUGUUUUUCAACAAUGUUCUUGAACAGGAAUAUACACAUGAGCUUCUUAAGUAAUGAAUCAUACACACAGAGAGAACUGAAAGGAUAAUAGAAGAAACUAUAAAAAAACACCAAUUACACAUAAAUCAAAAGUCAUGCGGCAAAAUUCAUGGCAGCAAUUGGGAAGAGAUCCCACACAAUGACAAAACUUGUUGAUCUCCAAAAUCCACUACACUGAUUCCACAAACAAGGAUGGAUCCAUGAUUUACUAAAACACAAAUAAGUCAUCUGAGCCAAAACAUAGUACAAGAAGCUAUAUGCAUAUGAAUGAAAAGCUAUUACAAAAGCAACAAUUUGCAACCUUUAACAUUGACCAUACAAUCAAACCCACAAAUUAAUAAAACAAAUAACUAUAUUUCAUGUUUUCAAUAUCAGGAAAUUAAAUUGAUCAAAUGAGCUGCUGAUUAAAAUAAAAGUUCCUAUGAGGAACUUGCUGUUCCAUUGACAUUCCAAACGAAUAAAGUACACAAACAACAUCCAAAAGACAUAUACAUAUUCAUAGGAGUAUCCAUGAAAAAUAAUAUAAAACCCCCAGUUAAACCAUUACUUGCCAGCGAUUAUACCAAAUACUAAUCAAGUCCAAAAGCAAUACUCAAUUGUAAUUUAAAAGACAAGUAAACAACAAAGCAUACACACAGACAUCGACAUGUAUGAUUAAAAAGCAAUAGGAAAAUGAAAGCCUAUAUAACCCAAACAACAUUCCUGAUAAAAGAAAAACGAUGACCAACAGAAAAUGAUUAAGAAAAAAAGUCCGCCCCAAUUCAACAUGCCACUCAAACAAAGUCACCAAGAAAUUGAAACAUAAAAUUCCCAAAUAAACACGCAUGCAUCAACAAAACCCUACAAAAUUGAUCAACAGUACAAUUCACCAGUUCUAUCAACAAUACAAUAUAUCAAUAGAAACCCAAAAAGAUAGACACAAAUAAAGUGGAACGAGAAAACAAGUGCAUUACAUCAAGCAAAUUAAGAAGCUCGUCAAUGGAUGAUGGGGGGUCUAGGAGCCUAUUCCCAGUCUCUUUAAGCUGCUCCUGGAGCUCAAUCUCAUUGACAACCAUUUUUAACACUCUCGGCUACAAAAUCCAAGAAACCCAGAAACAAGAAACUAGACUCACUUUCUCCCAAGCUCUGUACUUUUGCACAUUUUCACUCAAACCCACAUAACAAAGAGUCCCAUUUAUAACCCUAAAAGCAAAUAAAGCAUUGCUUGUCUGUUUACAACUCCCCCAGCAACCUUAGGGGUGAUAAGCUAAGUGUAGAGCAUGCAAACAAAUUAACGAGGAGGCACUUCAGGAUUGGUUAAUUUCAGAGGCUUUGAAUCCGAUGUUGCUUCGUCCUAGACUUCUAAUGCUGUGUUAGGUAUUUUGGGUUUCUCCUUCCCAGCCGUUUAUGGUCCUUUAUAUUGGCCUUUGGUAGUGGGUUCUUGCUUCCUCGUUCAUUGGCGCUUUAUUUUCCAAUUUUCUCUCCUUGAGAGAGCCAAGCAUAUCAUAGUUGGAACAACUUUGAUCAUUGGAAAGUACAUUAUUGCCCCCUGCCCCCUGCCCCAUCUACCUAACACAAUUAUAAACCAUCUUCACCAAUACUGACUGUUUUAAUAAUUUUUAACUGUAAUUAAAACUAUAAAAUAUUUUUUUAUAAUCAGCUCAUUCCACUUUUUAUAAUCCCUUCAAAAUGUUUUAUUUUUUAAAAAGUAUAUUAUUCAUAAAGUAUUUUUAAAAAAAUAAUUUAUUAGAAAGUAUAUAAUUAUGUAUACGAUUUAAUUUUUAAAUAAAAAUAUAUAAAAAAUUUAUAAAAUAUAUUUUUUAUAUAUUUUUAUAAAUAUCAUUAUAAAAUAUUUAUAAAUAUUUUUUAUAUAAAAAAAAUUGCAUCUGUACUGCCACAGGGCUUUUAUGGGUACUACAAUUUUUUACCGACAUCUUGUUGGCUCCUUAGGCUGCCACCUUAAACCUUGGGUUGGGUCUGUUCAGUGUGGUCUAGUGGGCAAGCAGAUGUUUGGUUUGAAAUCCCUUUCAUUUUUAAGCCUUUAAUCAUUCUUUGAUAUAAAAAUAUAUCACUAGAACAAUGCUCUAAAGAUCAAUAUUUGAAAAUUAUAAAUAAAUAUAAUUAUGAAAUAUAUUUUUGUGUUAACUUUUAACCCUUGAAACCAACAACUAAAAUUUAACUGUUCAACCUUUCAUAGUAUUUGGAGAACAUUUGGUUUAGUUUCUAUAUAAAUUGUUAAUGUCAUUGAUAGUUAUAAAAGAUUAAAUAUUUGAAUUUGAUACUCAAUUUUCUUUUAAAAAAAAUUCUUAUUAGGAAAAAGACAGUUGUGUUGAAUGCAAUGUAUUGGCCUUCAAGCUUAUUUCUUGGAAGCUUCAAAUCAAAUUUUGAAUUGAUGCUUGUGGCUUAAAUAAGUAAGAGGUUAUUAAGGUUUUCUUCACCCAUAAAUGUCUCAGAGUAAUACUUUUGAAGGUAAGAUGAGAGUUUUUGAAUUAAUACGGCUAUUUUGAAGGUUUUUAAACCCUAAAAUCUUACUUUUUCGACCCAUUAAAUUAGUAAUCAGGAAAAAUUUUACUACCUUAAUUUAUAGAACCGCCCCUCAUUCCACCAUUGUUGGAGGACAAUCACACUAUCUAAAAUUUUAACAGCAAAUCUGCCCAUAUAGAUGGAAGGCAAUUGUGCUCGACUGAACCCAAAAUCAAUAAAUAAAUAUCAUUGAGAUAUCUAAAUGCAACCAUUAGUUGACAUUAGAUGUGCCUGUUCAGGUCCAUCUAAGAAAAAUAGGGUGGAAAAAAUAGCAACACAAAAAACCAUGACACUGCUGCAACAUGAGAUCCUGACUCUGAGAGUAAGAUAACCAAAAGAUCAAGUAAACUAAUGUUGUAAGUAUUCAUUUACAGAGAAUUCCUGAAUCCUGAAUAAUGGAGAUGAGGCCUAACUGAUCUGUUCAUGAAAAUAGUCCAGGCACAAGAGACGUUGAUGAUCUUGAAUAGCGUUCGAGAAGUGAUAAAACUCUUGUAGCCUUCCUCCCAAUUCCGCUAUCCUCAUGAACAUUCCUCCCUGUAAGGCUAACAAGAAGAAACCUAGUUGUUGAUUUAUAGUAUUCCACCAUGUCCCUUGACAAAAAUACCUUCUCCAAGAGUGUCAAAGCCUCUUCUUUUAGAGAAUCUGUUCCCCGACUUAAAAUCUCUAUCACAGGCUGUAUGGCGUCAGCCUCAUGCAACACAUUGGCCCCUCUGUUAGGAGAGCCUUCCUGAACCAGUGUGGAGAGCGUAUGAAUUGCUUCAUGAGCAGUAGCAGGAGUCUCUCCAUGCAAGAGUUCUACCAAGGAAGGCAACGCAUUUGCCUUCAAGAGACAAAAUGUAGUUGUUACACCACAUAUGCCUCCAUGUGCUGGACAUAAAUUAGGGCGUGUUGGCCGAAAACACCAGCAGCCAGUUGGAUUGGAGACAAUAACAAGCUUCGGACUGCUCAUGGAAAGAUCACCAAUAAGUGCUGCUGCUCUUGCCUUUGCAGUUACAGAACCAGUUCUCAGUAAGUUUACAAGCAAAGGGUAAGCUCCUAGUUCAACUACAAUACGUUGUGACUCAAGAUUUGUGGGAUCUGUGAACCUGAACAGUGCACUUAGAGCAUUUUCUUUUGAUUCCAUGUCCCCUGUUCUUAUGAUGUUUAUGAGUGCAAUAAGCCCAUCCAACUCAACUAGUUUCAUAGUCAGUGUUACCUCAGAUUUGGGAAGAUUGGCCAAUAAACCAGCAGCAGCCUUCUGUACAUCUCCCUUGUCAUCAUUCUCAAGAAACCCAACCAAAGCCUCCAGCCUUUUCGGCUUAAGCAGGUAUUCCACCACUCCCUGCGGUUCAUGAUGGGAGAAGAGGAAAAGAAGAGUAAUUGCAAUUUCACGAAUUUCUGAAUCUGUGUCAUCAAGAAGGGGAAGUAUUAAAGAUACACCAUUGGCAGUAAGAACUGCAGUCUUAACCAACCCUGCAUCAAACUUGCAUAUCCCGAGAAGUGCGCGUAAUGCAGGCCUCCGAACACUGUGGGAUGAGCUUGGGACCUGUUGCAAACCUAACAAAUUCAUGAUAAUUGGUUCUAAGUCGAGCUGGGUUCCAUUUUCAUCAAUGAAGUACUUAAUUCCAUCAUCAGAAGAGGAUAUUUUCUCUAGGAUUUCAGCACAUUUAAUAAUAAUAAUUGUUCGUAUGCGGGGAGAGAACAUUAGUUUUAAAACAACAGAAAGCCCACCAGCAGCAGCAAUAAGCUCUUUGUUUAAAUUGCAAUCAGAUAGCUUAAGCAAAGCAGACAAGGACAACUCCUUUGAUCCGAUAUUUCCAGAUCCCACCAUUUCAAGCAAAGGAGGUAUUAUCCCUUCCUCACCAAGUACCUUUAAGUUUGAAUCAACGAAUUCCAUAUUAACUAUAGCUCUGACCAUCAAAAUCCUUGAAGACUCUGGCCCUGAAAAAUUAUCAUAAUGAUCAAAACAACAUCACAAACUUUUCACGUCUAUGGAUAAUAGUCAACCAAGCACAGACAACUAAGAAAAGUUCCGGAUGCAGUUGGAAAUCCUAUGAAGAUGACUCAAGCUUUAACCUGCUCAGAUAGAUGUAGAAGUACAACUGUGUCGAAGCUAUCUACAGCAUCUAAGUAGGAUUCACCUAGAGUCUCAAUAAUUAAUGAAGUGGGUUUUACCAAUAAGAGUAGGGUACUGUCCAAUUAUUAUUUUUUCUUUUAUGCAUUUUUAACUGAACAGAAGUAGAGAAAGUGGAAUCAUUUGAAUGGAUAUGCAUGGUUGCUUCAUAGAUCUUAUAGCAUCAUAGCCUGUCUGUUGGUAAAUAAGCUACACAGCCACAACAAAAUGACCUGAAAUGAAAUGGGUUCCAAAGCCUCAUUAUUUGUCAACUUAUCUUAACAUACAAGUUAAUUACUUGAUAAACUUGAGGUGUAGCAUGGACUAUGUUUGCAAUAUGAUUGGAUGUUUACUUCAGUGUGAGUCUGUACGUCCAAAAUAGAUUUUUUUUUUCUUUUUCUGAGAGGUGUGCGUGUGCUAUAGACAUUUUUGUGUGAUCUGAGGGUUGCUUGUGGGCAAGAGUUUUGAGAAGCUAUAAUAAAUUUACAUUAGUAGCAGAUUGUGGAGGGGGAUAAUUUGCUGAACCAGCUUAGAUUCUUAAUUCCUACUAUUUUACUUGAAUUACUUUGCAGGUUGUUUCACCACAUCUGUGAUCUGUUGCCUUAGUUCCACUUAUUUUACCUUUGUUUAGGGUUGUGUUCUGACAACUAUUCAAAGACAUGUAAAUAUUUUCUACAAAAGCUUCUACCUUGGACAUUUAUUUCAUUGCAUUCUUGAUCAGCAUGUUAUAGAGACCAUUUUUCUUUUUUCUUUUUUUUUUUUUCUCUUUCAAUAAACCAUUGUGAAAUUUAGUCUAGAGGGUUAUACAAGUGUCUUGCAGCUCAUCAAUUCAUUAUCAAGUCUAUACCAGACUUUUGUUUAAUCAACCAAUUCAGAGCUCUAUCUAUACCAGACUUUGUUUAAUCAACCAAUUCAGAGCUCUAUCACAAGACAAGCAAAACUUCCAAUGAUUUUGUAGUUACUUUCUUAUUAAUUUUCAUAUUGGAUAUGUCCAUUUCCAAUUUAAAGGUAUGGUUUUAUAGAGUGAGUUUCUCGCUUACUGUUCUCUUUUACCUUAUGUUGAUAUACUCUUCCUAUUUAGGAAUUCUUUUUUCUUUACUGCAUAUAUCUUAAUUAGGGCCAUAAUUAGGGUUCCUAACAAAGGUUGUAAAAUAUAUAUAUUUAUAUUUUAUAUAUUAUAAUUUCCUGGUUUAGAAUAUUCCUAUUGUAAAAAUAUUGCGUUAACCAAGUUGACUUCCAGAGUUAAGACAAAAGAAUUACUUCGUUCACUCUUUUGUCACUUCUUUAUCAACACUUUAUUUUCUCUAGGAUAUCCUAAUUACACAUUGAAGAAUUAGGCAAGAGUGGACAACAGUGUAAAGCAUUUGGAUAAUCUGCUGCUAAUAACUCAGAGCUUAAGUUUUGGGCCCCAUGACUGAACCUACUCCAUCACAGUAUUUCAGCAUUGUUCACAAUCUUACUAAAAUACACUUCAUAUCCUUAUUCUUUGCUGCUGAAAAACCAAAAACUUCUUAAAUUGCCUGGCUGUAGCCUGUCAUAAUAACAGAAGUGAACAGAUUACACAAAUCUGUCCAGCAAAUGCAAUAUUUAUCGGGAACCAGGCUUCAGCAAGAAUUUAUGUUUUUGACAGUAGCAAAUGACUUAAAUGUGGACAAAUUGACAUUGGUCAAAAAAUGAAAUCUUAUAAAGUAUAGAUGGAAAAUAGUUUUCUGACCUUGUACAAUCCGAUCAACAAGUGGCUUGUACCAGCCUGAUUUUGCAGCACGGGGAAUAUUCUCCUCAUCAACUUCAAAAAGUUUAUUCAAGAUUUUUUCAGCAUAAACUGCUGAUUCUGUGACAGGACUAUUCAAGAGGGUGACAAGGAAAAGAAUUGCACUGCACUGUUGUGAAAGUUUCCUGCAAACAGAAACAUUCCAACCAGACCUCUCUUGCAACAACUCAAAUAGCAAUUCCACUGCAGCCUUGGAGAUGCUCGAGUCACGAGCUAAGCAGGGAAUAAUGUGAUCCCAACCUUCAUGGUUGAUCAAUUUUUCCUACAACAAUUGAUUCAAGUGGAUAAAUAACACCAAGGUUUAAUAUGUUUGUGGUGCAUAUUCUUACAUUAAUAGUGUUAUAGUGGGGAAACGGUUUUUUUUUUUGAAAAAGAUAAAAAAUCUAGAUAUUAUAUUUAAAACAAAUAUAAAACUUCAAUUUGUUAACUUCUCUCCAUUUAAUAACUAACACACAAAAAUUGUGCAUCCCAGGCCCAGCAUCAAAAUAACCAUAGAAGCUGUACUAGUCUAAGCAUAAAAAAAUAAAAUAAAAUACUAUUCUACAAAAUGGAGAAUGUGUGAGAACUAGGUUAGCUGGAAGAAUUAACAAUCCCCUGUUCCAUUAGGUGUGUUCUCACAAGAGCUUACCUUAUUCUUUGCAUGCCCUUCAGCUAUAUCCUUUGAAGUAACUAAAAUCUUCCUCUUUACAUCUUUGUUAUGAGAGCUCCCAAGGAUAGAUAUGACAAUGUCUGUAAGGCCUCCUAUAGAUACCCAAUCCUUGUUUAUAGAGUUUUCCCUCAUCAUAUCCUGCAUUUGGCUUAAGGCAUCUUCCACUAAGGAGUCCACAUUUGAUAACAACUUUGCCUUACAAGUUCUUAUUCUAAGGCAAUAAUUCAGUUCUCUCCAUUCCUCUAUUGAUUGUCUAAGGGGAAGGUUUGACCUCAAAGUUAUGUCCUCAAGAAUCUCACCAGUUUCUGGGUCAGUUCUCUGUCCACAGUCAAACCAAGCUUCAAUGGCAGCUCUCUCGCAUGUAGUACCAGUGCAAAGGCUAACAGGAUCAUUCAUCACGGUCCCAUUUAUACAACAAAGGAAAGGAGUAAGAGGAACUAUAUAUUCCUCCCUCUCAUCAUACCGUUCUAUCACUUGAACCCUCUGAAAAUACUGCUUCUUGACUUCUUCAUAGUCUCGGGCAGCAUCAGCUCGAGAAAGCAGCUCAAUAACCUGUUCUAAGAAGAGAACUUCGGCCCUCUCUUUCCGGUUGGCAGCUUCUUCUUUUUCCUUUCUAAAGCUUGCCAAUUCUUUGCUUAUCUCUGAAGGUUCUACAGGUACCCCAACUGCCCGGGCUAUUUCUUCCAGCAUAUCAUUUGCAAAACCCUGAUCGAGUUUCUGAUCUCGAAGACCCUGGUUUAAUUUGUCAACAAUUUGAAGCUGAGAAUGUGAUGCUUCAAAUUCCACUCUUUGCAUUUCAUUCUGUAGCCUAUUCACCUGGUCAGAUAUUUCUGCAAGGACCUCAGUAUUGGCAAGUGAUAAUGCAGCUAAAGAUCUUCCAAUAUCCCUAGUGACUUCCUGUACCUCGUUGACAAUGUGACGGCACCUCAACAAUAAAUAGAAACGGCCUCGAUUUUUAUAUUUCUCAACCAAGUUAUUUGCCUUCUUGACAUCUGAUUCAAGUGUUUCAAGUGCUAGCCUUGCAGCUUGAGAAUCAUUCAAUUUUUUAAGUUGCAAUUCCUUUAACACAGGUUCAAUAUCAAACAGAUGCUUUGACAGAACCUUGAAACUUUCCUUCUCAAAUAUAACAUCUUUUGCAGCCUGAGCUGUUUUCAGGACCUGACUCGUCAGCACAGCCAAAAUUGUUCCUAUAGGUAUGAGCUCCAGUGACAUUUAUGCCAGAUCCUAUAAGGAACCUACAGUGAACUUGGAUGAUGUCACUUGCUUAUUGAUUCAAUUUAUAUUCUACUACCAUUAAGCAAAUUUUGUCUGCUACACUCCUCUAUAUAGCUCCUACCACUCAGAAGAAACAGCCAUGAAUAACAAUUAAGGAAAUCUAAAAGCUGUAAAAUCAAAUGCAAAGCAUAAUUUGUUUCCAAAACACAUCAACAAUUUUAUUCAGCCACAAAAUAUUAAUAAAUUGAAAUGUGCCCACUAGGACUGAUUGUCAACCAAGUCAAAAGUCCAGCAAGUCACGGAACAAAGCCAACUUCAGGGCUCGAGAGGCCAUCAUACAACCCAAACGAAGUUGUCCACGGACUUGCUUAUAAUAAAAUUUAGCAUUCAACACCUAUGACAAUCAUAAUUUGUUUGCAUAUAGAGUUAUACAGCUUCUUUCUGCUUCUCUAUUAAUUGUAAAAUGUUCACGUUUCAUGCAUAAUAAUUAUUUGGUUUUUUCUUUCCAUUUAAUUACAAUCAUAUUAGUAAUUAAAAAAAAUUGUAAUAAUUCAAUUCUUAUGAGUUCUUUACUUUGAUUUGAAAAACAAGGUCCUGAUGAAUGAUAUAUUCAAAUUGCAAGGAAUACAGUUUAAUAAACUCGAGAUUAAGAAAAAUUAGAUUUCUAACCUUUAAUCUUCUGUUUGUAGGAACUAUAAAUAAAAGUACGGAAUCCAAUCUAUAUUAUCUAAUAAUACAAGAGUUGAACACUGCCCCCCAAGUAAAAUUGCUUGCUCCACAAACGGGUUGGAGAGUAUUUCAGUAUACAGUAGCAAAUUAAACUGUACAACCAAUAAUUCAAGCAAAAUUGCAAGAAAACAAUCAGAACCAGAAGGAAGAUCCAAGCUCCAAAAGCAUAAUUCUGCAGCUAUUAAAUUAAACAGAAGCAAACCCACUUCAGAAAAUGAAACAGCCAUGCAAAAUACUGCGAGUAUACAGCAACUAAAACGAUUUGCGACAAACAAAUUUCCUGAGAGACCCAUUAAUGGCAGAGAGAAAAUUUUCUAAAAUAAUAGAAGAAAGAAGUUCAAAAUAAACAUAUUAUAUAUAUAUAUAUAUAUAUAUAUAUAUGUAGAAACAGCAGUGUGUGAGGAACCGAAAAGAUGUAUAUAUGCAAAUUAAUUCCAUAGAAAGCUUAAGAAGCAGAAAUUUAAUUACCUAUGAAGCUUGGCGUGGAUGGAAGAAGCAGAAAUAGGGAGAAAGAAAAGGAAGUGAAAUAAGGUGUGGAUAUGGCUCAUUACCGUUUUAUUGGAUCAUUGACUUGUGAGAGCUUCAAGUCAAGGUGAAGAGGGAAAUUCCUUGGAACAUGGCUAAUGAACCAGACAUUUGAAUUGACCGUUUUAAUUUUAAAACUUUUAACUAUAAGAAGAAGAAGAGGAAGAAGAAGAUGCGAUGGAAUUUACCAGAGACAAGGAGGGUCCACCGUGCUAUCAUACGGUAAAGCCAACGCUAGCUAUUUUAUUAUAAUAGGAAUCCGUAAAUAUUUAUUAUAUAAUAUAUUAAUAUCAAAUAUAAAAUGUUUUUACUUUAAACAUAAAUUUUAAAUUUAAGAGUAUACAAUUUAUUAAUAAAAAAAAUAGAGAUCAUAUUGAAAUUAAGGAGCAAUAAUCUUUUUAAAUUCAGGUUUGUAAUAUGACUAGAAUGGUGAUAUCAUCUAAAGUUUAAAAUUUUUAAGUAUACAUUCCAUUUAAUCGCAAUUCGACUUUUUCAAUAUCUCUAAAUAGGAGAAAUAUUCUCCGGUUGAAGAGUGAAUGAUAAUAUAUAAAAUACGGUCCUUUGAAUACUAAGAUACAUAUACCGAACCAUCAACCUACAUAGGUCUCUAGCCUUGUCACUAACCAAUUAGGCCAUUAUAAUUUCGGCCUCCUAAAUGUUAGACUUCCGACCUUUGACGGCCGUGUGAGACUUUAACUAUUUUAACACAAUAUGUAUGUUAAACAAAGCAUAGUUUAAUCUAACUAAAUAUUAAUAAAUCAAUUGCCUAAUCUCUUUAAAAAUCUAUAAAAUUACAAUUGUCCUCUUUGAAGGGAUUAUUGAAGGAGUAUGACGUACAAAUAUAGUAUGUAUACUCCUAUAAUAUAGUAUGUAUACUCCUAUAACUCUUGAGAACACAGAUGAUCUCUUUUGUUUUCUGAAACCUCCACUACUUCCCUGUAACUAAGAAAUCUGAGCUCCUCUAAAGUGUAUCGCUUAACUUUAUUACUACCUUCAUUACUGACCCGCUUAACUUUAUUAAUACCUUCAUUACUGACCCGAGUUCAUUUACUCCCUAAGAACACCAUUAAUUCCACCACGUCUCACUAUCCUGUGAUCUCCUAAUUUAAAGAUUCAUCGGUGGGUUUAGCUCUUCCUACUAUCAAGUGGGAGNNNNNNNNNNNNNNNNNNNNNNNNNNNNNNNNNNNNNNNNNNNCUUUGUUUCGAUUUUGAUUUUAUUAUUUGGAUAAAUUACACUUCAGUUCAUAAAUUUUAACGUAAUUAAUAGAUCGAUUCCUCAAUUUUUAAAAUCUGAACGCUUAAACCUCUAGUUUUAAUCUCAUGCAAAUAGAUGCUUCCAUCGAUAAAAUCUAUUAGUCAAGUAUUUAAAUAUGAUAAAAAAGAAAGAAAUCAUUUUAAUACCUCUCUCCUUCUCAAGUGAUCUGACUUUCAAUAAUAAACCCUCGUCAUCUUCAAUAAUCACAACAUUAUUCCUUCAAAAAUCACAAUCUAACCAGUCAAAAUGAUUCUCUAGAAAUCAAUAUCUACUUUGAAUCAGGUCUUCUUGUGAGACAAAUCAUUGAUUAUGUAAAUAGAAACAAUAACCUCUACGAUAUUUGCGUCAUCGAAUAGCUUCUUCUCCUUCUUCUCACGGCACUCCUCGACCCUCAAUGAAGAAGAUGGCUGCUCCUUAUGAAAGAGACUGAUGAAUGUUCCUUGCUACGUGUCAGAGCCCAGGUUUUAGCACUUACUUGGGACUAUAUGGAACUUGACUUGAACACUAUUAAGACAAGUCAAUCGAUGUAUUUACACGUUGAACUGCAUAAUAAAACAUGUUGAUUAGCACCGAGUGGCUAGUAUAUUAUAAAAGUGAGCAAUAUAUACAUAUCAAGCGGAUAUCAGCAUCAAACAGGCGUAAUAGCAUAAGCAACACAAAUAUAGAAUGUAUGCACAAAGAUUUUAAUAAAAGAGCUACUCAUUUUAUUUCAGGGGUAAAAUAAUCAUUAUACAAUUCAAAGCAACGAUCCUCACACCACUUGUGGAUAGGGGGAAAUGCCUACAAGAAGGGGAGGCAUAGCACAGGGAUUCAAUAGGCCUACGGUGGCAAGCUGGGCCCAGCCCUCACUGGUGGCAAUUAGUCACUCCCCCCUAAAGAGCUUUAAGAACAAGUUGAGCUGUGACAAAAGGAGACAUCAAUAUGUCUGAGGUAACACUCCCCCUUAAUAAAUACACAAAAAUGAAUUAUAAGUAACUAACACGGCCCUUUUAAUACUACUAUUUUCUACUAAUUUCUACCUAUCUUGUUUCUAAGAAAUCCCAUGUUAGAAAAAUUACAUUUUAGUCCCCCAAGAUUCUAAACCCCUAACACUCUCCCCCACUUAAACUGUCGACGUCCUCGUCGACUAAGCUUGUUGGAACUCCUCAAUCUCCUAUGAAUGUUGUUGGAGGUUUGACUCUUUCUCCCAACUGGUUUCUUCAGCACUCAGACAUUUCCAUUUGACAAGAUGUUAUUUGUAAGGAGGACGCUUGGUAGUCUUGACAACUCAUUCAACUAAGAUUUCUUCAAUGCCUUGAUGCACUGAUGCUGCUCGUGAAACGGCUGGUCUUGAGGGUUUGUUUAUGUUAUUGUCUGUCUCAUCUGCAUGGUAUGACUUGAGUCUGCUCACAUGAAGUACUGGGUGGAUCUUCAUCCAUUGUGGUGGCUCAACUUUAUAUGCUACAGGCUCGACUUUAGCAAUAAUUGGAAUUGGCACUUUAUAUUUGCGAACCAGUCUUCGGUCUCGGUUGCAGAGGAAUCAUAGUUGGUCUGGUAGUAGCUUGAUUAUCACUAAGUCUCCCACUGCAAACUCUUGAGGCCUUCGAUGUUCAUCAGCCCUCUUCUUCAUGUACUUAGAUGCCUUCUCUAAUUGAGCUCGUGUAAUAUCCGCAUUUCGCUUCCACUCCUUCGUGAAUUGGUAUGCUUUGGGGUUUCUCCCUGUGUAUAAGGCACAUCGAGUGUAUGUGGUGCCAGUGGUUGUUGACCUAUAACAAUCUCAAAAGGGCUUUUAUUAGUAGCAGAGCUCUUUAAGGAAUUAAAACGAAAUUGUGCAACAUCGAGCAAUGAGGCCUAGUUCUUUUAGCUGGUAUUGACAAAGUGUUGCAAGUAUUCCUCUAACAACCCAUUGAAUUGCUCUGUUUGUCCGUCAGUUUGAGGAUGAAAGCUUGUUGAAACAUUCAGUUUUGUGCCUAAGAUGUUAAAUAGCUCAGACUAGAAGAUAUCUAUGAGCCACCCAUCUCUAUCACUGACAAUGCUUUUAGGAACACCCCAAUACUUCACAACAUUCUUAAAGAAAGCUUUGAUUGUUUCUUCAGCUGAACAAUAUCUCGACAUUGGUAUGAAGGUGGCAUAUUUUGAAAACCGAUCUAUAACUACUAAGAUGUGAUCAUUUUAGUCCCCCAAGAUUCUAGACCCCUAACACUCUCCCCCACUUAAACGGUCGACGUCCUCGUCGACUGAGAUUGUUGGAACUCCUCAAUCUCCUAUGAAUGUUGUUGGAGGUUUGACUCUUUCUCCCAAUUGGUUUCUUCAGCACUCAGAUAUUUCCAUUUGACAAGAUAUUCUUUGUAAGGAGGAUGCUUGAUAGUCUUGACAACUCAUUCAACUAAGAUUUCUUCAACGCCUUGAUGCACUGAUACUGCUCGUGAAACGGCUGGUCUUGAGGGUUUGUUUAUGCUAUUGUCUGUCUCAUCUACAUGGUAUGGCUUGAGUCUGCUCACAUGAAGUACUGGGUGGAUCUUCAUCCAUUGUGGUGGCUCAACUUUAUAUGAUACAGGCUCGACUUUGGCAACAAUUGGAAUUGGCACUUUAUAUUUGCGAACCAGUCUUCGGUCUCGGUUGCAGAGGAAUCAUAGUUGGUCUGGUAGUAGCUUGAUUAUCACUAAGUCUCCCACUGCAAACUCUUGAGGCCUUCGAUGUUCAUCAGCCCUCUUCUUCAUGUACUUAGAUGCCUUCUCUAAUUGAGCUCGUGUAAUAUCCGCAUUUCGCUUCCACUCCUUCGUGAAUUGGUAUGCUUUGGGGUUUCUCCCUGUGUAUAAGGCACAUCGAGUGUAUGUGGUGCCAGUGGUUGUUGACUUAUAACAAUCUCAAAAGGGCUUUUAUUAGUAGCAGAGCUCUUUAAGGAAUUAAAAUGAAAUUGUGCAACAUCGAGCAACGAGGCCUAGUUCUUUUAGCUGGUAUUGACAAAGUGUUGCAAGUAUUCCUCUAACAACCCAUUGAAUUGCUCUGUUUGUCCGUCAAUCUGAGGAUGAAAGCUUGUUGAAACAUUCAGUUUUAUUCCUAAGAUGUUAAACAGCUCAGACUAGAAGAUAUCUAUGAGCCGCCCAUCUCUAUCACUGACAAUGCUUUUAGGAACACCCCAAUACUUCACAACAUUCUUAAAGAAAGCUUUGAUUGUUUCUUCAGCUGAACAAUAUCUCGACAUUGGUAUGAAGGUGGCAUAUUUUGAAAACUGAUCUAUAACUACUAAGAUGUGAUCAUACUCCCCCACUUUUGGUAAGCCAGUAAUGAAAUCCAAGGAAAUACUCUUUUAAGGCCUGCUUGGAA